rnacentral:lncRNA from 1 species
UGAUGAUAUCCUCAAAAAUGUACUCGGAUAUUGGCCGGCCUCCUUCUCCAAUCUUAAUUCCAAUAUUCCAGAGCCAAUAUCUCUCCUUUGCACCUAUAGAUUGGUUUCAAAAUUCUCAUAAGCAUAGAAAAACAAGUCUAAUAUCCUCUCACAUAAGUUUCACUCCAAUCCAACUAAUAGAUUGUAAGAAAUCUCAAAAACCCCCACUGGACCUAAAAUUCUACUUUCUAAGACCUUGAUCCACUUAUACCUCAAUAUCCCUCAAUUCAACCGUUAGAUCAAGCUAAAAUUCACGACACAUAUUAAACACAACUAUAAACAUAAACUCACAAAAUUUCACCCGUAGAUCUACUACAAAACUCUUGAAAUCACCCAAAACGUAAACCCUAUUUUAUUUCAUAAAACCCAAGUCAUCCAAAACAAACCUUGACUUUGCAAAGCUAUUACAAAGUCAAUACAGAUCCAAAUCACCCAAAACCAACACCCAUAGAAACCCUAUCCAAUCUUCUAUCAAACCCCACUCUUCGAUCUGCCAAAGAUUCCUUGAAUUGCCAUCAAAGCGCAGUUCUGUGCCUCAGGGUUUGAUUUCGACCCAGGUUCAUAACCGGUCCUCUUCGGAUAUCAACUUUCGUCUUCUUGAGGUAAUUUUUACUAAUUUUCACUCCUAACUCCUCCUUACAUAUGCCUAUAUCCUUUAUUUUUCUAAUUUACCUUGUUUUGUCUUAUUUAUGGCCUUACAAAGUAAAUAGAAGCAUAAUUUGCAAAAAGGAGCAUUAGCACCUUUAAUUUUUCUAUCCUUUGACUAAUAUCUAUUUUUCCAAGAUAAUUUGCUACAAUAUUUUUGAAGUGAGAUCCUCAAACAUGAUAUUUUUUUUUCACCCUUUCACUUGUUAUCUAUGUUACAUCAUGACACCGCACUGGUAGUUCAUUCUAGUGUGCUUGACAACUUGCCUUGUAUCAACAUAAAUUGAGGCAAGUACACGAAUUUCUUCUUUUGUAGACUCAUCUUUACAAUUCGAUGUGAAUUCUGAACUCGACACUUGAGUUUCUUCGUGAUAUUGGAUAGGAUAUAUUUGAAGCACAAUUUUAUCAUUAUCUUUUCUAAUUGUCAAUGUACAAUGGCCUUAGUCAUUUCAAGCUUUAGCUUGAUACAACCACGAUCACUCCAAUAAAAUUGAGUAUGACAAUAUAGAGCUUUGCAAUCAAAAAACAAUAUAAUCAAUUUUGUAGGUAAUCCUCGCAAUUACUGUAUCAAUACUUCAUAAAAUAUCCAUAGGUUUAACUUGACUAGAGUCAGCCAUUCUCAAAACCACUGUAGUAGGCAAUAAGUGAUCUAAAUCCAGUUCUUCUAUUGUAGUGAUAUUCAUAAGAUUUACACUAGAUCCUCCGUCUACUUGCACUCUCGAUAAUAAUAUUCCAUCAAUUGAGUCAUCAAUCGUAGGUACACCCGGAUCGGGAUUCAAACUUACUUUUUGAAUUUCUUUAUUUCGAGAUCUGCAAUGAAUUAAUGAGGAAUUCAAGAUAAUUCGGCACUCAAGUGCUACAACCAAUAGUUGCUUCAUAGAGAUCGUAGACUGUAUGGUGCCCAAAUCUUUUAGAAUAUCAUAUGGUUCUGUAUUAGUGAUAAUUUUUAAUGUCCGUUUCUUCUUCCCAGUCCUAGACACCAACGUAGAUAAAUUGGUUUUCUCUAUAUUGAAAAUUAAUAAAGCUCUAGGAACUGAAUUUGACGGAGCUUGUAAAAUCGGUUCUUUCAAUGGAUAAGAUUGUUCUUCCAAUUGGACUGAUAUUAGUUCUUUAGAAUUCACGCCUCUUAGAGGAUCUUUGAAUGGAAAGGAUAUUUCCUAGAACUGUGUAGAAAAUGGAACAGCUCGACAUGGAACUGAAGCCUUCGUAAUUGGUACCUCAUUGAGGUGCGCAACCAAUUCAAGUCUUAUAUUGAGUAAGGAGCCAAUGUUAGGACCUAAAUUGGAUGUCCCUAUAAUUGGAUCCAAUUGGUCCUUCGCUUUAGGAUCAUCCAAAUGUUGAAUUGGUUCUUUUCCCUUUUUUUGACUUCUUGUAAGGACAACUUGGAAUAAUUCAAUCUGAUGAACUGGUGAAUCUUGAGGACCUUGAUUUAUCUCAUCCAUUUUUCCUUGGCUUUGGAUCUGCUGAUCUCGAUUAUUGAAAUUGAACGGAGCAUUACAUUGCUGAUAAGUAUAUCCCGACUGCUUGCAAUUCACAAAUACUGGCGCAUAAUCGUCACUAGCUCUGGAAUUGGAACAUUCACUAGCAUAAUGACUAAUCUGUCUGCAACGGAAACAACAAAGUAGUCUUCUUACACUUCCAUCCAGCAUAUUAGGUGUCUCCACCGAUAUAUACCUAUUAGGCUUGUUCCAUGUAGGAUUAGAAAAUGAUCCUGGUUGUCCCAUUGGUAUGGAAGGUACUUGGUUCGAUGACGUUGGUGGAGCAUAUUGCUGAUACCUUUGGUGCUCUUUCCCGUAUUUCUAAAAGUUUGAUGUAGAUCCCUGAUUAAAAUUGGAACUUUAAAAAUUAUUGAAUAUUCAAUUUUGUCGAUUAGAUUGAUUUCCAUUCCAUCCAUAAAUAUUUUCCGUUUGUACUUAAUUGACUUUCCACUAAGUCGAUGGGAUCAUGGUUUGAUUACUGAAUUGUUGUUGCCUUUGUAAAUCCCAACAAUUUUGGGUAGGGUGCUUUCAUCCGCAAAAUGUACACUAAACACUAGUUUGCUUGGGUGAUGGAUAUUUCGUAUCAAAAUGACCUUGUUCCUUACAAUUAUUACACCAUACAUUAGGUCUCAUAUUAAAAGGCUUAUGUCGUUUCUACUUAUCUUUAGCUAAAUUCAUGGCCAAUUCUUCCAUUUUUUUGUUAGAUUUAAUAACAAGACUUCAUUUGGAUCUUUAAUAGUCACAUUUGUGAACAAUUCCGGUUGUUGAUAGGUUGGCGAUGUAAAAUAAGGUAUCAUCAUUAUUGGUGCUAUUGCUUGGAGUGGUAUAGCAUUAAUUGGUUGUUGCAACAUAAUAUUCUUCACAUUCGAGGUAGCCAUUUGUGGAUAAUUAUCCAUCGACACAUUUUCCGGUUGUAUUUGUUGGCUUUCUAAACUUAGAAUCAUCGUGGCCUCCACUAUUAACAAUUGGUCAUAAUGACAUUCUUUCCACACCUUUGCUUGUGCCAACGAUGCCUCUAUCGUAGCUGGUCGAGCCUCUUUUACAAAUAUUUUCAAUUUUGGUAGAUGCAAACCGUUAAUUAAUAUCGAUAAUAUAAACGCAUCUAGCAUUUGAUUAUUUGACCAUUUAUGAAGUAUAUCCGUGAUCCGGCCAUAAUAGGACUCCAUAGAUUUCUCCACAAACAUCUUGCUAUUCAUAAAACUUUCUCAAAGUCGAUCUUCAAAUCCAAUUGGUCUAAAAUGGGUUAGGAAGGCAUUCCUCAGGGCCUCUCAAUUGGGAAAUCUAUCCACUAAUUGCCGAAUAUACUAUUCAAAAGCUGUAUCUUUUAAAGUUGCUGACAACUAUCUCAACCAAAUGUCUUCAGUUCUACCAUUAUUAGCCAUGCAAGCUGUCAAGAAUUGAGAUAUAUGGUGAUCGGGAUCAAAGCCCGACCAACCACUAAAAGUAGAUAAUGGUGCCAUACUUAUAGUUCGAUCUCCUAUUGCUCCCAUUUGUACUAUAAUUAGUACUUCUGGUACUCCUACGGCCAUUGGUGAUUUCAUUGGUCUCUUGACUAUUUGAAUCUGAAUUUUUCUUCCUUUAGUUUUUCUUGGACCUGCAAUUCUUUUUUGUCAUUUCCGUAGGCUAUUUCUUAUGCGUAAUUGCUCCUGUCUUUUUUUUGCUUAUCGAUUAUAUCUUUGAUAAUCCUCCCUCCCAUGAUUAUCACUCAUAAUCUUUCAUUCUGCUUUACAAAAUCAAUACUAUCUUGAAUUAUAACUCAAAUAUUUGUAAUCCUAAAACUGGUUCUUCUCAUAUUUUCUUUCAACAUAUAAUUCCAUCUUCCAUACAAUCAAUUUCUAACAUUUCAUAUUGUUAUCAUUUUCCUCACAGCAAUGCCAAAAUGUUGUUCUCAUUGCAUUCCAGCUUCAGUAGACCAAAGUAAUUGAACUAAUAGAGGUGGAUUCGAAUACGAAAAAAGACUGGUUAUAUGAAUUGGGUUUGUUAGUGUCAUAAUUGACUAUAUUCUGGCUAUUUGAAAUCAAAUAUCAAACUAUAAAAUCCCGAGGCUUACUACUUCCAUCUUAAUUCAACCCAUAAUCCAUUCUACAAUUAUCAAUUCAACAAUACUUCUCUCAAUCACCAUUCUUCAUAAGCAAAUAAUAAAGAAAAUAAAGAGAUAGUACCAAACUUACCCCAGCUUAUGACUCUUAGUUUGGCUCUCGACUUAUGACUCUCUGUCUGGCUCUCGACUUACCACUCUCUUUCUUCAAUCUAUUUAUCCUAUCAAAAAAAUGAUCCGGUUGCCAACAGAUUUCAAAGGUUAUGACCUUUUGAAUUCUUAACCAUUUAUUCUACUAACAACCUAUUGUUAUCAGCUAAACUACCUAACUAUCAGUCUAAUUGUCAAGGUUAUCAAUAACCAAUCAAUAACUUAUCACAAAUUUUAUUUACCUAUUUUACAUAGUCUUAUUACCCAUAUAGAAUGGUGGUUGUUCCUUUUGAUAGACAUCUGUAUUGACCUUUUGUUGUUUUUGAGCUUCUUUUAAUUGCGCCUUCAUCGUUGCAUGUAGCUUUGACAAAUAAAUUUCUAAAUCUUUUGUAAUAGGAUUAUCAACUUUUGAAAAAUCAAAAGUAUCAAAUUGUAGAUGAUAAUCAUAAUUGGCAAAGAAAGGUGUUUGUUUUGUUGAAGAAUGUACUGUGUUAUUGUAAGCAAACUCUGCCAAUGACAAAAGAGUUGUACAAUCAUCUUGUUGAUAGUUGAUGGUACAUCUUAAAUACUGUUUUAAAACUUGAUUAAUAUUUUUCCAUUACUUUGAAGAUAGAAUGUCGAAGAUAGUUUUAUAUCCACUUUUAGAAUCUUGAAAAGAGUCCGCAAAAAUCUUGAUACAAAUUGAGUUCUCCUAUCUUAUAUAAUAUCCUUGGGUAAUCCAUGAUAGCGAUAGAUAUUGUCAAGAAAGAGCUUAGCUGUUUUUUCACUUGUGAUGGAUUUUGUACAUGGUAUAAAAUGUGCCAUCUUGAUAAAAUGAUCUACUAUCAUGAAUAUAGAGUCAUAAGAACGUGAGAUUGAAAGAUCCAUGAUAAAAUCCAUAAAAACAAAAGACCAUGGUUGUUCUGGAAUGGAUAAUGGCUGAAAAAGUCCGUAAGGUUGAUGACAAAGAGUUUUUGAUGUUGAACAAAUAAAAUAAGAUUGUACAAAAUCUAUGACUGCUUUCUAUAUUUGUAGCCACCAAAUGUCCUUGGAUAUUAGUUCCAAAGUUUUAUUGUACCCAAAAUAUCCUACUGUUGAAAAGCCAUGACGAGUUUGAAGAAUAUGUAAUCAAGCUUUACCUUCUGGAACAUAUAGGCAUCCCUUGAAAUAUAGUAGAUUAUUCUUGAAUUCAAACUUGGAAGUAUCACUAGACUUUGAAGGAUUUUUCUUAAUAUCACAAAUAAAAGAAUCAAAAGAUAUACUUGAUUGAACUUGCUUAAUGAAAGUUGAAUCAAAAAUUAGUGUUGAUUUCAUUGUUCGAAGAUGGAGAUGCUUUGGCUUCAAGAGAAUUAUCUAUUGUUGAUCGAAAGGAGCAUUUGACAAACCUUAUUCUUUUUCUAGUCGAUAAGUGAUCUUGAAUUCAAAUCUUAACAAAGACAUACUCCAAUGGAUUUGGUAAUGAUUCAAAAUACAUGCUGAUAUAAAAUAUUCAAGAUUCUUAUGAUCCGUAUAUACGAUGACUGGUUUAUAAGCACUUUUUUGAUAAUAGCACCAUUCUUGAAAUGAAUCCACCAUUACAAGAAGUUCUUUGUCGUGGAUCUUGUAAUUGAUCUUGGUUGCUAAAAUUUUUUUAGAAUUAAAAGCUAUUGAAUGAAUUUUAUCAUUUAUUUUUAUUUGUGACAAUACGGUACCUAGAACAAAGUCUGAUGUAUUUGUUUCCAUAAAAAAUGGCUUUGAAAAAUCAAUGCAAUACAAGAUUGGUACAAAAAUAAAGGUUGUCUUUAAAGCUUCAAAUGCUACUUCGGCUUCUUGAUUCCAUUGAAGUUUGUCUUUACAAGUCAAAUGUGUAAGUGGAGCUGCAACUUGAGAGAAGUCUUUGAUGAAGAUCCGAUAGUAGUUGGCAAAUUCCAAAAAGAAUUGGACAUCUCUUUCCAUUUUUGAGAUGUUCCAAUCUAUAAUAGUUUGAAUUUUCUUAGGAUCUAUCAUAAGUCCAUCAUUUUAAAUGAUGUAUCCUAAGAAGUCAACUUAAGUAGUAUAAAAUACACAUUUUUUUAUCUUGGCAUAGAGUCUCGCAUCUCUUAGUUUUUGUAACACACGAUGAACAUGAAAUUCAUGUUCUUCUAAGUUCUUAGAAUAGAUUAAGAUAUCAUCUAAAUAACAGAUAACAAAAUCAUCUAAAAACUCCCAAAAGACAUCAUUCAUUAGAUGUUAGAAUGUUGCUGGUGCAUUUGUAAGUCCAAAAGAUAUGAUGUUGUAUUCAAAAUAUUCAUACCUUGUUCGAAACACAGUCUUCCAUUCAUCUCCUUCUUUGAUGCAUACUAGAUUGUAUGCUCCUCGUAGAUCUAUUUUUGUAUAGAUCUUAGCUUAAUUCAACUAAUCAAGGAGUCCAAAUAUCAAAGGUAGUAAGUACCUAUUCUUAAUGGUGAUUUUGUUGAGUCCUCCAUAAUCGACACAUAUUCGCAAUGAUCGAUCUUUUUUCUUUACAAAUAAAAUUGGAGCUCCUACUAGAGAUUUGGAAUAGUGUAUGAAGUUCUUGGCCAAAUUUUCUUCAAUAUACUCCUUAAAUUCAACCAACUCAUUUUGUGAUAAAUUGUAGAUUGGUCCAAAUGGUAGUUGUACUCCUUCUUGAAGGUCAAUUGAGCAGUCAUAGGAAUGAUGUUUUGGAAGAGUAUCUGCAUAUUUUUUCUCAAAUAUAUCUUAAAAAUAUUGAUAUUGGCUUGAAAUGCUACUUGAAGUCUUUUUACCAGUAGAAACACUUAUGGCAUAAAUGAUACAAGGUGAUCCUUCUUUUGUAGCAUGCAAGAAAGCUCUUGUACCUACAAAUAUAGGUUUAAUUGUAUUAGACUUAUGACUUUCUACUUGAUUAAUUACACUCCUAAUUAUACUUUUAGGAAAUUUAAGACUACAAGAAGUAUAAUCUAUUUUAGGAUUAUAUUUUUCUAUCCAUGAUAAAUAUAAAAUUAUUAGAUUAAAUGGAGAUGUAAUAGUAUUAAAUAUUAUAAAGCUACUAUGAUCAUUAGUUGCUACUUCUAUAGGAAGGAUUUCAUGAGUAACAUCUCUUAAAGACAACGAAUAACUAUCUAUGACUUCUACAUGAAUAGGUUUAGUUUUCUUUAUUAAAAAUAUGCUAUAUCUUUUAGCAAAUUUUUCAUCUAAGAAAUAUGCUGAGGCUCUUGAAUCUAGUAAGGCAGAGGCUUUGUAUUAUUUAAUUCCUAGAAUAACAUUUAUCGUAAAACACGGAGAGGAUUCCGAGGAGAAAAUAGGACCUUCACUUAGUGUUGUAUAAGGUUCUAGCCGCACGGUCCCUAUUGUAGCUGGACAAAUUUAUUUUUUGACAUGCUAUCUUUUUUGAUCGUCAUACUUUUCAUUUUAUGGUUGAGUUGUUUAUUUGGAAAAUGUUGAGCAUUGUGCUUAGAUUUUCCAUAAUAUAAGCACAAUCCUUCUUGACAAUGGUGAGUCUUUUCUUGCUCAGUAAGAAGUUUGAAACAUACCGUAUCAAUGUACAUAUCUUCUACUUCCGAAUGUAUGUGUUGAAAAGAUGUUGGUAUUGCCAUUGAAUUAUAAUAAUGUUGAGGUCCACUUGUAUAGUUCUCAGAUUGAAAUUCAAAAAGAUGAUUGUCGCACUUCACAACAAAGUCAAUUGCUUGACUCAAUGUUUGAGGAUCAGAUAAGUUGAUCAUUAAUUUUUUUACCUCAUAUUAUAAUCUAUAGAAAAAUUGGCUAAUAAGUGCAACAUCAUCCCCCUUGAUAUCAAUUGCAAGUUAUCAAAACUGUGAAGCAUACAAUGUUACUGAUUAAUUGCCUUAUCACAAAAUAUAGAUCUUGUUAUUUGCAACACGAAUUGCAUCAUGUUCUCUAUACAUGGAUCAAAACUCUACCAAAAAAGCCUCCAGAAUAUCUAAUAUUGGAUCUCAUCAUUCAAAAAAAGAUGAAAACCAUGAUAAUACUAAACCUAAAAGAAGCAUAUCAAUGAAUCUAACUUAUAAUCAUGGAGUUGGAUAGCUUUGGAGUUGAAGUUCAAUCACAAGUUGUACUUGAUUGAUAAAUCCUCUAAACUUUGAUUUGGUACCAUCAAACUUCUUAGGUAGGACAAUUCUAAAUUUUCUAAAACUUAAAGGACGUUCUACUAUAAGAGAAGGGAUAUAAUUUGAUGUAGAUGUUGAAGCAGCUCUAAUCAUUUCUAUAUUUUUACUUCUUGUCAAUCUUAUUACUCUUUGUCAUGGUAAAUUGAAUUGAUGCAUCACAAGCAUUAACUUCUUCAAUUGCUCUUGCAUUUGUACCUUUGCAUUCUUCAUUUCAACAAGUUCUUCCAUGAUAAGACUUAUAAAAAAAAGAUAUCUAAUAUCGCUUAAAACAAAUAGAAGAGAGGACUUGAGAACAAUGAAAAUACUAGAGACAAUAUCAAUUGAGAAGAGGGUAAUCUGUAACUUCUAAUACGCUUAUGUCUUAUUAAGAGAAAGAAAUAAUCCACUCUUAAUCAAGAUUAGACAAAGCUCUGAUAUUGUUAGUAUACUCUUGUCAAUCUGUCAAGGAUAAGAACUUGAUAGAGACAAAUAAACAAGUGAGACUUCUCUCAAAAAAAGAUGACAAAAUAGAAAUAACUCAAUAUGUAUAUUAAGAAAGAAAUUGGAAUGGCUAUUGCUAAAAGACAAGAAAACUAAAGAUCCUUGAAAUUAAACUAGAAGCAAGAAAUAAGUUGACAAGAGUGAAGAAGGCUUCACUCUUGUCUUUAUAUAUACUAUCUAACUAGAGGAUACAUAACAAUGUUCUAUAGGACCUCCAAUAUGUAUUGACUUUGUAGGACACAUGCCUUGACUUAUAAGGCAAGUUUUUCUAUAGGUGGGCUACCUAAUUAACUUGGUCUUCAAGCUAACAACAUAUGUGAUACACGGCCAACUUGUUGACCACGUUUCUAAUCCAAAAAGUCAACUAAAGAUAUCUAUAAAGUCAAAGCAACGUCUAUGAAGCUUCAAGAAAGCUUCCAUAAUAAAUAUUAUAGAAUUAACUUAUUUUUACCUACUUUUACUUACUUCUAUCUAUUUAUACAUGUAAUUACUGGCUUAUAUGUGUAUAUCCAUGACAACUUCUCAAAUAGGGAAACUCUUGGUUCUUUAGUAUCAAAAGUAUGUUUUGUUAUAUGAAAAGAGAUAUGAUUUAAUACAGAUGUUGAAGCAACUCUAAUCAUAUCUAUGUCUUCACUUCCUGCCAUUCUUAUUGCUCCUUGUAGUGGUAAAUUGAAUUAAUACAUUGUAAAUAUUAAUUCUCUCAAUUACUCUUAUAUUUAUGCCAUUGCACUCUUCAUUUCAAGAAGCUCUAUCUUAAUAAUACUAAGAAAAAAAAAAAAAAAAAUUGCUCAGAUUCUCUAAAAGAGUGGAUUGGACAUCAAAGAAGAUUUUAAGAAUAAUAUUAGUUUAAAAGAGAAUAAUUUACAACUUCUAAUAUGUUUAUGUCUUAUGAAGAAAAAAAAAUAAUCCACUCUUAAUUAAAAAAAGACAAGGCUUUGAUAUUAUAAGUGUACUCUUAUCAAUCUAUCAGAGAUAAGAACUUGAUAAAUAUAAAUAAAAAAAGUAUAAUAAAAUAAAAAUAAAAAAAUAUGUAUAUUAAAAAAAAAUUGGAAUGGCUAUUGUCAAAAGACAAGGAAAUUAGAGACUCUUCAAUCUAGACUAGAAGCAAGAAAGGAAUUGAUAAGAAUAAAGAAGGCUUCAUUCUUGCCUCUAUAUAUACUAUCUAAUUAACAGCUAUAUGGUGAUAUUCUAUACGACCUUCAAUAUGUGUUGACUUUACAAGACACAUGCCUUAGCUUAUAAGGCAAGUUUUUUAUCUGUGUGCCACAUACUUAGCUUGUUCUUUAAGCUAUCAAUAUGUAUGGCACAUGACUAAUUUUUUGACUAUAUUUUAAAACCUAAAAAGUCAAUUAUAGAUACUUAUAAAGUCAAAGUAGUAUCUAUAAAGCUUUUAAGAAGUUUUUAUAGAAAUUAUUAUGGAAUUAACCUAAUUUUAUCUAUUUUUAUCUAAUCAUAUAAGUAAUUAUUGAUUUAUAUGUAUAUAUCUGUGGUACAAAUCUUCAUAGAAAUCUGUACUUCAUUACUAAAAACCAUUCUUCUAAUAACAAAUGAAAUUCCAUAGCUCUUUUCUUCUUUCAUAUACCAUCAUGUCCUCUUCAAAGGUAUACCUAGCUUUGGACAAUAUGUCUGCCAUCAAAUUUUUUUUACCAGUAAUAUAUACUAAAAUAAGAUUCAGUGUUUUUAUAUAUGCUAUCUAUCUUAAUAUGGUAAUAUCUGAAAUAGUACAGUUAAUUAUCAUCUCAAAUAAUGACAAAUAAUUUGUUUUCAAAACCAUACUUACUCCAAUCAAAUAAUUCUUCUCAACCUUUAGAGCAAUGAAUAUUCUCCAAAACUCUCUUCUAACUUAUAAAUAAGUCCUUUGCCUCUUUAUAAGAAUCCUAAUUUUAAACGUUAUAGUAAAUCUUUUGUGUUCUUCAUUAUCUUGUCCAAUAGUCCAUCCAAUUGUUAUAGGACUUGCAUCACCUGUUACAACCACUGGUCUUUCACAUUGAUAGUCUACUUAACUAAGCACAAGUGAUAAAUUUAAUAUCUUUUUAAGAUAUUCAAGAGCUAUUUUUUGUUCUUCUUUUCAAACAAAUUUCUUAUCCUUCUUUAAUAACUUAUAUAGUGGCUUUGAGAUAUAGAUAAAGUAAGGCACCUAAAUAUAAUAGAAUAUACAUGCUUCUAAAAACCUUCUAAUUUUUGUAAUACUUUUAUAAGUCUUUUUUUAGAUAUAGCAUCAACUUUAUCAAGAUUUGAUUUUCUACCAUAUUUGCCACACAAGUGUCUCACCACUAAAAUCUCAUCAACUCCGAAGCUUGAUUUUUUCUAAGAUAAUAUAAGAUUAAUAAACUCCAAUCUCUCUAAUAUCCUACUUGCAUCUUUAAUAUACCUCUUGACAAAUUUUUUGCAACCUUCAAUUUUUAUGGUUUUAUUUUUAUAUUUUUUUAUUUUCUUUUAUAGAUAUGUUAUUCAAAAAUAGAAUGGUUUUUUUAGAUACAAAUUCUUUUAAUAUUUGGUUAAUAGUAUUUUGCAUAUAAGCCACUUAGUUGGUUGCAUGUUGAAGUAAGGUAUAUAUCCUCAUUAAAUCCAAAGAAGUCUUCAUUAUAGUUAAAUCCCUACUCUCUUUAGCUAAUUGAAAUUGGUCAUAUCCAUAAUAAAAGUUUUUAAUAGAAUAAAUGGCAUGACUUGUAAAUCACUUAGCUACUUCAUUUACUUUAAGACCUCACCUUAUGUUUCAAAUAGUCAUUUUAUUUGUUGGUUUUAUAUCCUAAAUGAACUUUAAUGCUUCUAAUUACUUAAGUAUUAUGAACCAUGUAUUAAAAUAGGAAACAAUUGAAGGUUCCAAAAUAUCCAUCUUUAUUUUCUCUUUUAAUAAUUCUAUCAAUUUUGGAAGCAAAGCUCUAAGAACAAGUAUAGGCUUUAAAUUCCAUGGAAUAUGUGGCAUUGUAAAGAUUAUCAUAGAUAUUAGAAUAUUAAGGUUCAUAUAUCUAAUCUCAUUAGGAGUUAAGACAAAUGCCUUACCAUGUUCAAUAAGUAUUUUAUGAAAUAUAUUUUCUUCUAUUGAUGUCAAGAAAUCACCCCCUCCAAUCUUCAACUUAAAUAAUGUUGCUUGAAUAAAUUGAUGUCCAAUUCUACACUUCUCUCUUAAACUUAUCUUCUCAACUGCCUGCUCAAUAUGUUCUAUAGUAUCAAUUAGUAAUUAAAUAGCUAUAGAUUCUAUUUUUCUUACAUUAGUUUUAUAUUUAAUUUGAACUCUAGCCUUAUAUUUCAAUCCAUAACUUAUAACAAAUCUAUCAUUUUCUACCAUCUCUUUUAACUCCACAUAAGUUCUUUAAGUGUAUUUGUACUAUAGCAUCUCUACCUAUGCUUGUAGCUAAAUUUUUCAAUUUUUUUAUCAAAUCAUCUUUUAAACCUACUUCUUUUAUUAUUCUACCUAUAGCUUCAUCAUUUGAAACUAAAUCCUUCCUUUUUAGGUUCUUUUAUUAUUUUUAUCUUCCUCCAAUUUAUAAAAUCUAAAUCUUUAAUCCUUUAAAUACUCACAAAUUUAUUAUUAGUUAAGUUUAAAAAUCCAAAAUUCAUGGUAUCUCUAUUGAGAUUUGUAAAUGAUUCAUUUACAUCCAUAUGUCUCUAUCCUAAAAGAAUAUUCUCUAAAAAUCCAUAAAGUUAUUUUUUGGCUUCAAAGGCAUCAUUUUUAAUAGUUCUUUGUAUCUCUCAUGAUUAGAUUUCAUAGGAAUAAAUUACACAGCUUUUCUUCCAUGCUAACUAUAAAUCUUGGCAUAAUAUGAAUCAUCAUCCAAGAUUCUAGUUUCUAUUUUAGUAGCUAUAAUAUAAGAUUGAUUAAGUAUUAUUAGGUAUAUAAUAGAGUUUUACAUAAAUAAAAUUUGUUCCACUUCUACAUCUCUAAUUUUUGUCUUUAUAGUUGUAUAAGCUCUAUAUAAAUUACCUUGUUGGUUGUUUGCAAUUCUAAUUAUCCAACCAUGGUUGUUAUCAAUUAGCCACUGUGAUUGUCGUUCUAUUUAUUCCAGAAGAAACCUCUCAAAAUAAACCUAUAUAGGGGAAUUCGAACACAGGGAAAGACCAUAUAUAUGAGCUCCAAUUGUUAGAGUCACACAAUUAACUGCUACUGCUGAAUGCUUACAAUUCCGAAGAACACUUAACUUUUCUUCCUACUGUCCACUCUUUCAUAUCAAUAUGAUAACAACCACAAUAUCAAUUUCAGUAUCCUAUGUAAUUCAUGAACACAUAAGCAUAAUCCAAAUCCUAGAAUGAACAACUUUCAAUCCACAAAAUCUGAUUGAGACAAUUCCUUCAAUUACAAUUCCUCUCCACUGAACUCACAAUCUUGUGAUAAAUAGUGACUAGAAACUUCUAUACAUCAUCAAUCUUUUACAACAAUUAAUAAACAAUGAUCCAUAAAUAACUUUGUAAAUCAAACAUUGAUUCAUUAAAUCGAUUCUCUUUACUAGAAUCAACACUAAUACAAAAGAAACAAGAAAAUUAAAAAGAAGAGAUAGCACCAAGCUUAUCCCGGCUUAGUGCUAUUGCACUCUAGUACCCCGGCUCAUAACUAUCACAGUCUGGCAUUUUCUUCCUCUCUCCCAUCCUCCUUAUACUACCCUCAGAUACCAACUCCUAUACUAUGGAUGAUAACUACUUUUCCUGACUAUUCAUCUAUUCUACUUGUUGAAUCACCUUCUCAGCAAUUAUCUAUCUCUAUUUAUACUAUACACUAGAUAUUUAUAUUCUAAAAAUAACUACUUAUUCUACAUAGCCCUACUCCUAACUGUGUAGUAUUCCCGUAAAUAUAAUAUUGAUAAAUAAAAACCUUUUUUUUUUUUUUUUUUUUUUUUUUUAACUGGACUGUUCAAUCACUUCAAUUUUUGGUGCUGGCUCCAUUUGGUCUUGUUCCAACACUAUAUCUUCUUCUUCCAACUCAUCUUGAAUCUCUACCCUUAAUUGAGCUGUUAAAUCUUCAUUAUAUGCUGCCAAUUUUUAAACCUGAGCUUUCAAUUGGAGUAUUCUGGCAUCUUUAGCUUUCAGUUGUUGCUGCUGCUGUUGCAAUUUCUCUUCCAAUUUUCCAAUUCUUAAUCCCGUUGAGGCAGAUGUCUAUGACUGACCAAUAUUGACCAAAUCACUCUCCAAUUUCAUUAUUGUUUCCUUCAAAAUAACAAUUUUUCCCUGUAGCUCAUCCGUUUUGUUUCAAUAUUGGUCAUCCAAUUGUUUCUUUUCAAGCUCCAAUGCCUCCUUCUUCUCUUGUUCCAUCUUCAGCUGAGCGUUCAUCUUCUCCUGUUCCAAUCUAUACGAUUUGUGAAUUUGUAGUAAUUCUUGCCUUUGAUUUUUCAGGAUAUGCUGAAUCCUCUAUUUCUCCUUUGAUCAGUUUUCCACUCUCUCAUCCAAUUCACGCUUCACUCAUAUCUUGGAUUUCAAUUCUACCUUGAUGACUUCUUUUUGUUCCCUGAUUUUACAAUUUUACUCCAAUAUUAUUUUCUUUCUCGCUUCCACUUACCUUUUUAAGCUACCUUUAUCUUCGAGCUUACUCACCGUAAGUUGUAGCUAGAAAAUUUGAUCCAAUAUAACUUUUUUAAGAUUCUACCCUUCCGUUACACCCCGUUGAAAUCCUAAUUGUUUGCUUUUCCUUGGAACUGGUAUUGGUGUCGUCAUCUCUAUUGUCAACCAAAUUGGAAUCGAAAUCCAACUCGCUUUGGUAUAGAUAUUCAUCUUGCUUCCUGUUCUGCAAUUCUGCUAGAUUCUCCCAUUUCAUACACCAUUACCUCUGGGCUAAUAGUUCUCGUUUGUAAACUUGGAACUAGUGGUUGAGAUUCCUGUUUCAAUAUAUACUCAACCAUUGAAUUUACAUAAUUGGAACUUAAUAGUGAAGCAAACUUCCCCGUCUUUUGCUUAGCUCCUAUUUUUGCAUGUAUCCUUGUGGCCACAUAAGCUGCCCAAUUGAAUACUAUACCUUCCAGUGUUCCUAUCGCGAAAAAUAGUAAUCACUUCGCCAUGUAGGUGGUAUGCCGAUUCAAUGCUAACCACUUCUGAACGAACCACAUCCAUUCCAUAAGUUCGAGCGUAAGUGCCUCCUAUACCUUCCAUUCUUGAUUUUGCUCGAGAGACGACAUUCCUCCUUUGAAGUAGUUUCUUGGCCUGAAGUCAUUUGACGCAUCUCCUCCUACCUCAAGCUCUCCGGUUGGUAAAUGCAAGACCUUGUUUAAGAUAUUCUCAUCUAUUCCAAUCAGGACUCCUCUUAUCACACUCAAACCAUCCUCCGGAUCAUAAUUUUCUACAUAUUCUGCCACUCGUUCUACAUCAAUUAGUGGUAGUUUAUCCGAUCCUCGCAAAAACGUAAAUAACUGUACAUUUCUAAAAUCUUUUUACCUUUUCAAUGACCAACACAUAUCUAAUUUCAUCGGUUCCAUGUUGGUGAUAACUAUAAGAGACUGCGAUCCUAGAUCGCACUUAGAUCCCACAUUGCGGCGACUUUUCAAUCAUUUUGGUACUCUCUUCGCUCUUUCUAUCGACAUUGUGAAAAUCAAACUCUCAAUACUUCCUCGCGCUAAUACUAUUGCUGAUUAUUAUUGUAAAGCUUACAAUUCAAAGCACAAUGUCUAAAAUUUGCAACAAUGAAACCUUCUAUUAGUGCCCCGCCCCUAACUGCUUACUCGGGGUUCGAAUCAAGAACGUCUAAUCUAGUAUACCUUAAUCUCAUGUCUAAUCAAGAAUGUCUAAUUUCUUGACUAACCAUCAAUCGUUUUCUAGCUAUCACAAUCUUUCCAAUCUUGUCGGGUAAUCAUUAUUACGGAGACUCCCUCCUGCCAUUGAGUAAACCUGUCCCAGAUUUACAUAUAAUACAAACAUAACCAGUUUCCAUUAACGUGUAUUGUGAAGUGGGUUUCCAAAAAAUCUUCCAAUUGAAUGGAACCAUUAGAGAAACCUUCUACCACCCGAUAUGGCCCAUGCCAUCGUACUUAAAAUUUACUGAGAAAGUUGUUAAAGCAGCUAUCAUAAAGUAGCACCAGAUCAUUCGACAUAAAAUAUUUUGACCAUAACUUACUGUCAUAAUAACUCUUUCUGCAGUACUGUGUAGCUUCCAUGAUCAAGAGAGCCGUAGUCCUAGCUUCAUCCAAUUUCUCUAAUUGGACUACCCUAUAUUGAAGAGAUUCUCUGUAUCCCAUACGUUCAUCCAAUGUAAUUCAUAAAUUUUGGACCUCCAAUUCGAUUGGUAGAAUUUCUUCCUGACCGUAUACCAAUUGAAAUGGGAUAGAAUUUGUAGUUACUUUAUAUGCAAUACGGUACGCCCAUAAAGCUCCAAACAAUUUAAUGUCCCAAUCGAUUCUCGCUCCUGAAAUAGUCUUUGUUAAGAUCUUACAUAGAAUACCGUUGGUCUUUUUUGUCUGCCCAUUGGCUCGUGGAUGAUAAGGUGUAGUUUUACGGUGCUUGAUCUCAUACUUCGCUGUUAAUGCUUCAAUUUUUGUAUUAAUAAAAUAUGUUCCGCGAUCACUAACCAAUUCUUUUGGACAGCCAAAACGAGUGAUAAUAUUCUCAUAUAAAAAUGUUGCUAUGGUAUUGACAUUAUCAAUUUUCGUUGCCAUAGCCUCUGCCCAUUUGGUGAUAUAAUCGGUGGCUACUAGAAUAUAACGUUUCUAUCCAUUUUGAGAGGUAGGUGCAAUGGGUCCUAUAAAGUCAAUAUCCCAUUUUUUAAAUGGUGCUUUUACCAAAAUUGGUACCAAUGGCAUUGUAGAAGUUCCAGUAAGAUGACCAAUUCGUUGGCAAAGAUCACAAUGACGAAUAUAUUGGUGUGCAUCUGAAAACAUUGUAGGCCACCAAUAUCCAGCCAUUAAAGCCUUACGUGUGAUGCUAUCACCUGUAAAAUGUCCUCCACAACAAUCCAAAUGACAUCCUUCUAAAAUUGUACGAACUUCAUUUUGAAAGAUGCAAUGACAUAAAAUUCCAUCCCGCCCUUAUUUGUACAAGGCAUCUCCAAUCAUGGUAUAUGGCACACUUUUUAAAAUCAAAUGCUUCUUUAAUUUUUUAUUAUAAGAAAUUAGAAAAGACUGAAACGUUAGAUAUUAGAUCAAUUCACCAUAUUCGGAUGUAAUGACAUCCACAGUGAAUAGUUGUGUGUCCAGAAGAGCAUUGUUUAUUGGCUCAUUAUCCAGUAUAUUAGAUAAAUAGGAUAAGUGAUCUGCAUUGGCAUAUUUCUUACCGGAUCGAACAUUAAUCAUAAAGUUGAAUUCUUGGAGGAAUAACAUCCAUCGAGUAAUUUAUCCACUCAAUUGAGGUUUAUUUAUCAAGUACUUAAGCGCAUCAUGAUCAACGUGGAAUACAAAUGGGUAUCCAAGUAGAUAGUGGCGGAAUUUUUGCACAAAGUACAUCAUUUCGAGGGCUUCUUCCUCGGUAGUAUUAUAACUUCGUUCUGUAGCAACAAAUUAUCGGCUUGCAUAAUAUAUGGGAUGAUCUAAUCUUUUUUCAUCCUUUUGAUUGAGAACGGAUUCAAUAGCAACAUUAGAUGCGUCGAUAUAGAUAUAAAACGGUUUUGUCCAACAAAGUGUUACAAGAAUGGGAGCAGCUACCAAUUUCCAUUUCAAUUCGUCAAAUGUAAAAGUACAGUCUUCAGUCCAUAUUGGACUAGAUCCGUCUGACGGGGGUUACUUUAACAAGUUGAUUAACGAUUGACAGAUAACCACAAAGGAUUCAAUAAAACGUCGCUAGUAGCUGACAUGACCAAUGAAACCACGCACGUCCAACAUCGUAUCUAGCUUUGGUAAACCCAAUAUACGAGUAACUUUAUCAGGGUCCAUAGCGAUACUUUCAACAGAGACAAUGUGUCCCAAUAACUUCCCCGAUGGUAUGCCAAAUUGAUACUUCUCCGAAUUUAGAGAUAUUCCAAACUUAUCGCAUUGAUUCAAACAGUUAUCCAGACAUGCUAGAUGUUCAACCAUUGUGCUAAAGGUGCAAAAAUUGUCUAUAAACAUCUCCAUUCAUAAACAUAGAUAACCUUAAAAUGCUUGUAUCAUUACCAGUUGAAAAGUAGCCAGGGCAUUACAUAACACAAAUGACAUUACUUUAUAAGUGAAUGUAUCCCAAUCUGUGGUAAACGUUGUCGUAUUACGUGCUUUCCUGCUCGAGAAUGCACCGGGCGUCUAGUUGUAGGAGGUAGUAUGAAGAUUCGCUAAUAAUCAAGCAGUCUAUCAGUUUUUUACUGUUAGAAUAUAAAUGAUUGCAAGAAUAUAUCAUAAAUCUAUACGGAUGUCCUUCGAUUGCUCGCCGAAAUCCCUUUUGUCCCAGCCGAUAGGUCUCUAGAUGUUAUAGAGAACCCCAAACAACCCAAUCUGCUGUCACGGACAUACAUAUAAUUACCUAUAUGAAUAGAUAAAAGUAUGUAAAAGUAGAUAAAAGUAGGUUAAUUGUGUAAUAUCUUCUAGAGAAGCUUCUUAGAAGCUUCUUAGAAGCUUCAUAGACGCUGUUUUGACUUUAUAGGAGUCUAUAGUUGACUUUUAGGCUAGAAACUUGGUCAACAAGUUAGCCAUGUGCCACACAUGUUGGAAGCUUAAAGAACAAGCUAACUACGUGGUCCAUCCAUAGAAAAACUUGCCUUGUAAGCAAAGGCAUGUGGCCUAGAAAGUCAACAUAUAUUGGAGGUCUUAUAAAACAUCGCCAUGUGGCUCUAGUUAGAUAGUAUAUAUAGAGGCAAGAGUGAAGCCCUCUUCACUCUUGUCAACUCCUUUCUUGCUUCUAGUCUAGUUUCAAGGGUCUCUAGUUUUCUUGUAUUUUGGCAAUAGCCAUUCCAGUUUCUUUCUUAAUAUACAUAUUUCUAUUUUGUCCUAUUUCUUUUUGAGAAAAGUCUCACUUACUCUUUAGCUUUCAUCGAGUUCUUGUCCUUGACAGAUUGACAAGAGUACACUUACAAUAUCAGAGCUUUGUCUUUUCUUGAUUAAGAGUGGAUUACCCCUUUUUCUUGAUAAGACAUAAGCGCAUUAGAAGUUGCGGAUUACCCUCUUUUAAACUGAUAUUGUUCUUAGUAUUUUCUUUGUUAUCAAUUCCUCUCUUCUAUUUGUUUUGAGCGUUAUUAGACAUCUUCUCUUUUCUAAGUGCUACUAUGGCAGAGCUUGUUGAAAUGAAGAGUGCUAUGGCACAGAUGCAAGAACAAUUGAGGGAGUUAAUGCUUGCGAUGCAUCAACUCAAUUUACCACCACAAGGAGCAACAAGAAUGGUAGGAAGUGAAGAUAUAGAGAUGAUUGGGGCUGCUUCAACAUCUGCACCAAACCAUGUCCCUUCUCCCAGAAUGGAACACCCUUCGAGUGUUAGAGAACCGAGAGUUGCCUUGCCCGAGAAGUUUGAUGGUACCAGAUCCAAGUUUCGAGGAUUCAUCAAUCAGGUCCAACUAGUGAUUGAACUUCAAUCCCAAAGCUAUCCAACUCCAGGGUCACAAGUUAGAUUCAUUGGUACACUUCUUUCAGGUUCAGCAUUGUCAUGGUUUUCAUCUUUUCUUGAACGACGAGAUCCAAUAUUGGAUAAUUUAGAGGCUUUUUUGGCGGAGUUUCGAUCCAUGUUUGGAGAACAUGAUGCAAUUCGUGUUGCAACCAACAAGAUCCGUAUUUUGCGACAAGGCAAUCGAUCAGUAACAUUAUAUGCUUCGCAAUUUCGACAACUUGCAACUGAUAUCAAGUGGGAUGAUGCCGCACUUGUGAGUCAAUUUCUCUACGGAUUACAAUAUGAGGUAAAGAAAUUGAUGCUUAAUUUACCUGAUCCUCAAACAUUGAGUCAAGCAAUUGACUUUGUUGUGAAGUGCGACAAUCGACUUUUUGAAUUUCGAUCCGAGAGUCGCACAAGUAGGCCUCAACAUUACUACAAUUCAAUGGCAACACCGACGUCUCCUCAACACAUACCUUCAGAAGUAGAGGAUAUGCAAAUUGAUGCGGUACGUUUCAAACCUCUUACUGAGCAAGAAAAGUCUCGUCGUCGACAAGAAGGAUUGUGCUUAUAUUGUGGAGAACCUAAGCACACUGCUCAACAUUGUCCAAAGAAGCGACGUAACUACAAAAUGAGGAGUACGGCUGUCAAAGAAGACAGUAUGUCGGAAAACGAGUACGUCCAGCUACAAUAGGGACCGUGCGGCUGGAAUCUUGUACAACUUCUAAUGAAGGUCCUAUCCUCUCCUCAGAACCAUCUCCUUGUUUUAUAAUAGAUGUGCAUUUAGGACCUAAUAAUUACAAAGCCUCUGCCUUGAUAGAUUCAGGAGCCUCAGCUUGUUUUUUAGAUGGAGAAUUUGCUAGAUGUCAUAGAAUAUCAUUAAUACAAAAAACUAAACCUGUACACGUAGAAGUCAUAGAUGGUCGUCCGUUGUCUUCUGGAGAUGUAACUCACGAAACACUUCCUGUAGAUGUAGUAAUAAAUGGUCAUAGUAGUUGCGUAAUUUUUAAUAUAAUUAGAUCUCCCUCUAAUCCAGUAAUUUUAGGCUUAUCAUGGUUAGAAAAGUAUAAUCCUCGAAUAGAUUGGAUUUCUCGUAAACUUGAUUUUUCUCGGAGCAUUAGUAACAGUUCUAUUAAUCAAGUAAAAAACCAUGAGUCUAGUAUAGUAAAACCCGCACUUAUAGGUGCAAAAGCAUUUAUACACGCAGCAAAAGAAGGAUCAACUUUUGCUAUUUAUGCUGCACCUAUUUCUGAAAGCGUAAAGACUUCAAGUGGCAUUCCAAGUCAAUAUCAGGAUUAUCAAGACGUUUUUGAGAAAAAGAAUGCAGAUAUUCUUCCUGAGCAUCGCCCAUACGAUUGUUCAAUCGAUCUCAAGGAAGGAACUCAGCCACCAUUUGGACCAAUUUACAGUUUAUCGCAAGAUGAGUUGGCUAAACUCAAGACAUAUAUGGACGAGAAUUUAGCGAAGAAUUUCAUACGCCAUUCAAAAUCUCCAGCAGGAGCUCCAAUUUUAUUCGUAAAGAAAAAAGAUGGAUCUUUACGAAUGUGUGUUGACUAUCGAGGACUCAACAAGAUCACAAUCAAGAACAGGUAUCCAUUACCUUUGAUAUCAGGACUCCUUGACCAGUUAAAUCAAGCUAAGAUCUAUACAAAAAUAGAUCUAAGAGGAGCAUAUAAUCUAGUACGGAUCAAAGAAGGAGAUGAAUGGAAGACUGCGUUUCGAACCAGGUAUGGACAUUUCGAAUACAAUGUCAUGCCUUUUGGACUCACGAAUGCACCAGCUGCUUUUCAACAUCUCAUGAAUGAUGUAUUUCGUGAAUUCUUAGACAAUUUUGUCGUCUGCUACCUAGACGAUAUCCUGAUUUAUUCUAAGAAUGUUGAAGAACAUGAAAUACAUGUUCGUCAAGUAUUACAAAAACUUAGAGAUGCAGGAUUGUACGCCAAGAUAGAAAAGUGUGUAUUUCACACUACUCAAGUUGACUUUUUAGAAUACAUCAUUUCAAAUGAUGGUCUUAUGAUGGAUUCUAAGAAAGUCCAAACAAUCAUGGAUUGGAAGAUUCCAAAGACUGUAAGAGAUGUCCAAUGUUUCUUGGGAUUUGCCAAUUACUAUCGGAUCUUCAUCAAAGACUUCUCACGAGUUGCAGCUCCACUUACACGCUUGACUAGUAAAGAUAAAUUCCAAUGGAAUCAAGAAGCGGAAGCAGCAUUUGAAGCCUUGAAGACAUCGUUUGUCUCUGCACCAGUCUUAUAUAGUGUUGACUUUUCCAAGGUAUUUUUUAUGGAAACAGAUGCAUCGGAUUUUGCCUUGGGUGCAGUUUUAUCACAAAUGGGAACAGAUGACAAACUUCAUCCGAUAGCUUUUCAUUCAAGAAAAUUCUCAGCAGCCGAGAUCAAUUAUGAGAUCCACGAUAAAGAACUUCUUGCAAUCGUGGAUUCUUUUUAAGAAUGGCAUCAUUAUCUAGAAGGUGCUUCUAGUCCAGUCACUGUGUAUACAGAUCAUUAGAACCUCGAGUAUUUCAUGUCAGCACGCGUGUUGAAUCGUCGUCAAGCUCGUUGGAGUAUGUCUUUGUCAAGAUUCGACUUCAUUAUCACUUAUCGGCCAGGAAAACAACAAGGUUUGUCCGAUGCCCUAUCUAGACGUUCUUAUUUUGCACCAAAAGAAGGAGAUGCAGCUUUUGAGCAACAAAGAACGGUCCUCUUGAAACCGGAGCAAUUUCAUCUCCGAGCAGUGAAAUCAACACUGACUGUUGAUUCAACUUUUCUCAAGCAAAUCCAGUCCAGUAUGUCCUCAGACCCUCUUGUUCAUGAUAUCGAGAAUAAUUCUUCCAAGUCUCAUGAUUCUUCUAAGUUCGAGUUCAAGAAUAAUCUAUUAUAUUUUGAAGGACGCCUAUAUGUUCCAGAAGGAAAAGCACGUUUGCGUGUUCUUCAAGCACGUCAUGACUUUCCAGCAGCAGGUCACUUUGGAUAUAAUAAGACUCUGGAACUCAUAUCAAGAGAUUUUUGGUGGCCACAAAUGUGGAAGUCAGUCAAAGACUUUGUACAAUCAUGUGAUAUUUGUUCAAGAUCAAAAAUUCCUCGACAUCGACCUUACGGACUUCUUCAGCCAUUACCUAUACCAGAACAACCAUGGUCUUCUGUUUCUAUGGAUUUCAUCACAGAUCUUCCAAACUCAAGAUCUUAUGAUUCUAUAUUUGUGAUAGUAGAUCGUUUCACCAAGAUGGCACAUUUUAUGCCAUGUACAAAAUCUAUCACAGGUGAAGAAAAAGCUAAGCUUUUCAUUGAUAAUAUCUAUCGCUAUCAUGGAUUACCUAAAGAUAUCAUAUCGGAUAGGGGAACUCAAUUUGUGUCGAGAUUCUGGAGGACUCUUUUCAAGAUUUUAAAAGUGGACAUAAAGCUAUCUUCAGCUUUCCAUCCUCAAACUGAUGGACAAAUAGAGCGCGUAAACCAAGUCUUGGAACAGUAUUUAAGGUGUACCAUCAACUACCAACAAGAUGAUUGGACAAACCUUCUGCCAUUGGCAGAGUUUGCUUAUAAUAAUACGGUACAUUCCUCCACGCAACAAACACCUUUCUUUGCCAAUUAUGGCUAUCAUCCACGACUUGAUACUUUUGAUUUUUCAAAAGUUGAUAAUCCUGCAGCAGAAGAUAUGGCAAAUCGGUUGUCAGAGUUACAUGCAAUAAUGAAGGCGCAGUUGAAGAAAGCUCAAGAACGACAAAAGAUAAAUGCAGAUGUAUAUCGUAAAGAGCAACCACAACUCAACGUGGGUGAUAAGGUAUGGCUACUUCGUCGCAAUAUCAAGACCACUCGACCUUGUGACAAAUUGGACUAUCGUAGGCUUGGCCCCUUUUUUGUUUCUGAACAGAUCAACCCAGUUGCAUAUCGGUUACAUCUACCGGAGUCAAUGAAGAUCCAUCCUGUAUUCCACGUGUCUCUUCUUGAACCAUAUAAGACAAUGGAUAUACAAGGAAGAAGACAAAUGCCACCGCCUCCUAUAGAAGUAGAUAAUAAUGAAGAAUUUGAGGUGGAAGAGAUAUUAGACUCAAAGCGGCGCCGAAAUAAGCUGGAAUAUCUUGUUCAUUGGCACGGAUAUGACAUUAGUGAGCGCACAUGGGAGCCAUCCAGGAAUCUAGCAAAUGCAUCAGCUAAAGUCAAAGUUUUUCAUCAACGACAUCCAUCAAAACCAAGAUGAAAACCUCUCUUAUAAAAGAGACAAGAUUGAGGCAAGAUAACAUUCAAUUUCCUAUCCUUGUUUGUAACUUCUUUACAUUUGUGACACUAAUUAGAUGGAGAGCCAACAACCAGCGGAUUCAACUCAAGAACCUUCGUUUGCUGACCUGCCGGACGAGACAUUACGAUUGUCACAACCUUCAAGACGACGCAAUCGAGAUGAAGAUCUUCAAGAACGACAUGUUCUUCCUCGAACAGAUGGUGAGAUACAACGCGUUUGGUAUCACGAUUUGGGAAGGGAUUCUCGAUGUUUGGUGAUAUUAUUAGAGAUAGGAACGACUCCUGAUGGUAUUUCAAAUGUAUUAUUUGAAGGAAGUUAUGAAGGCCUCAACAGUGAUCAAAUAACAGGGUGGUCUUCUCGCCCUGGAAUGGGACACUAUCGAUGGCUAAGAGGACCCAUCAACUAUCUUCGAAGAGAACAAAGAUCAGAGUAUGUAGCAAAUACAAUUCGCCGCAUAUUAGACUUUCUCAAUAUAUAAUCACCGCUCCUCGUGGAACUCGUCCCUAGAAGGGGGGGUAAUGUCACGGACAUACAUAUAAUUACCUAUAUGAAUAGAUAAAAGUAUGUAAAAGUAGAUAAAAGUAGGUUAAUUGUGUAAUAUCUUCUAGAGAAGCUUCUUAGAAGCUUCUUAGAAGCUUCAUAGACGCUGUUUUGACUUUAUAGGAGUCUAUAGUUGACUUUUAGGCUAGAAACUUGGUCAACAAGUUAGCCAUGUGCCACACAUGUUGGAAGCUUAAAGAACAAGCUAACUACGUGGUCCAUCCAUAGAAAAACUUGCCUUGUAAGCAAAGGCAUGUGGCCUAGAAAGUCAACAUAUAUUGGAGGUCUUAUAAAACAUCGCCAUGUGGCUCUAGUUAGAUAGUAUAUAUAGAGGCAAGAGUGAAGCCCUCUUCACUCUUGUCAACUCCUUUCUUGCUUCUAGUCUAGUUUCAAGGGUCUCUAGUUUUCUUGUAUUUUGGCAAUAGCCAUUCCAGUUUCUUUCUUAAUAUACAUAUUUCUAUUUUGUCCUAUUUCUUUUUGAGAAAAGUCUCACUUACUCUUUAGCUUUCAUCGAGUUCUUGUCCUUGACAUCUGCUAAUCUCCGAUACUGAUUUAUACUCAUGACCUUGUAUCCACUGACUGUCUUCUUAGAUUAACCCAAAAAUUUUCAUUCACUCUGCAUACUCAAUUCUAUAGACACCUUUUUAAUUCUUCAAUCACAGACGUAACUUCGAUUUCACAAAACAGUCAAGAGUAAUCACACCCACUUCAUUAAAACCCUGAUUCAUCAGUACAACACAUCGAUCUUUUAACAUUGAUUGCCAAAAGUUCCUUUUCUGACCCCUAUCCAAAAACCUUGUAUCCUCCCUUUUUCUUAACCUCCCUAAUUCCUGAAUCUCUGAAUCCUCUCCUCUACCCUAAUCAUUUCUGAAUGUUUUUUUCUCUCCCUCUCUCAAACCCUAGCCUUUGAAUUUCUUCAAUCUUCUGUCUUGGAUCUGGAAUUGGCCCUGCCAUCAAAGCUUUCUCUUCCAUUUUUUGCCUUUUAAAAGGUUCUUUUUUUAGAAAUAACGUUCCCUAAAACGGCACAGAGAACAUGACAACCUGAAACGAAAUCGAAACCCCUGUAAUCGGGACCACAUUGAGUCGCCCGACCAAAUCAGGUCUCAUAUUGGCUAAGAGGCUUGUAAUAAGACCUGGAUGUUCCCGUAAUUGGGUCAAAUUGGUCCUUUGCGUCAGGCUCGCUCAGUCAUCGAUUUAGUCCUUUCGAUUCUGUUGACUCCCAUUAUUGGACUCGAAUAGAGCAUUUCAUUAUUGGUAAGUAUGCCUUGACUGAUUGUGAUCGGAUGUCUGAACUAGUCCCUGAAUAUUGGCACUGCAAUCGGUCGUUGCUCCCAAUAUUCGAGGUAAACGAACAUUAAUAAAAGUCCCCUUUCUUUAUAUUUUCAUAGUAUACUCGUGUUACAAUACGACAACGUAAUCUUUAACUGAUCUUCUUCAGCAAUUUUAAUUUGAUUAUACUCCAAAAAUCUGUCCAAAAAUGAGUAACAUUCAUGUCCGGCCACUGCCUCCAAAAUACUGUCUGUAAAUGGUAAUGGAAAAUAGACCUUCUUAAUAGCCACAUUUAACUUUUGAAAAUCCUGACAUAUCCUGAUUUUUCUAUUCUUCUUCGGUACCAUCACGAUUGGCGACACCCAUGUACUAUGCGGAACAGGAUAAAUAAAAUCCACGUUGAGAAGUUUAUCCAAUUCCUCUUUCAUUAAAAGGAAAUAUUUUGGAUUAAGCCGGUGUUGUCUUUAAUGAACUAAUAUAACACCCUCCUCUAAAAUAAUCUGGUGCUCACACUCGUUGGCUAGAAUCCCUUUCAAAUCCGCAUACAACGACGCAAAGGCAGAUUUGUGAUGGACAAAAAAUUGUUUCUAAACAUUCAAUUCCAUACUUAUAAUAUCGACAUAUAUUUUAAUUAGCUGUGGCAUUUCGUUGGUGCCUAGAUUAAUGGAUUGACACACAGGGUCUUUUACAACCUUUGAUUUAAUUAUCUUCUCCUGAUCUCAAUAUCUUAUAUUAUCCGACAUAUAGAAACUACCCAAUUUUGGUUCCAAUGUGGUGACUCUACUGAUUGAGGGAUUGUUCAUCCAUUCGGCAAUAGUAUAAUCGGAGUUAGUCGCAUCCUCUUCAUGCAAUAAAUAUUCAUUGGGACCUCCACAUUGGUAGACUCCUGCCUUUAUUGUUGAAGUAUUUUGUCCUACCACAAAUUGUGGUGAACCUAUAACAUCGUCAUCUCCCUCAAUCGAUUGACUCUUGUUGUCCGAUGUAAAUUUUGAUUCUGACAAUUGAGAUUCUCCAUGAUAUUAUACUAAAUACAUCUGUAGAACGAUCUGGUCCCGACCUUUUCCAAUUGUCAAUGUACCUCGGUGCCAAUUGUUCUUAAUUUUGGCUUGAUAAAGCCAAGGUUUGUCCAAUAAAAUGGAAUAUGAUAAUGUAGAACUCUGUAAUCAAAAUACAAUAUAAUCGAUUUUGUAUGUCAAUCCCAUGAUUACAAUGGCAAUAUUGCGUAAGAUUCCCAUUGGCUUUAUCCGACUAUGAUCUGCCAUUUGCAAGACCAAUGUUGUAGGUAGCAAUUGCUUUAGAUCCAAGUCCUCCAUUGUAACUGCGUUCAUUAAAUUCACACUGGAACCACCAUCAACUUGUAUCCUUGGAAUUAAAACACCAUCGAUUGAUACAUCGAUUGUUGGUGCUUCCAGAUCUGGAUUUAAGUUAAUUUCAUGAAUUUCUUUAGUGCGGGAUCUUCAUCGUAUUAACGCUAAAUUCAAUGUAGAUCGAUAUUUUGGUGCUACUGCCAAAAGUUGCUUCAUUGUAAUUGAAGGCUGAAUAACAUCCAAAUCCUUCAGAAUGUCAUAGGAUUUCAUAUUGAGAAUAAUUUCCAAUGUUCUUUUGCAUUUCAUUCGUUUUGAUUUUACUCCGUUCGGCAGCAAUUCCUUCCUGGUGAUUGGAAUUAUCGCUGAUAACUUUGUCAACUUUUUUACUACUAAAAGUUCCUUUAAUGCAUAAGAUCUUUUAUUAGGCUGUACAAGUAUUGGUACUUAGUCAUUUGGGAUCGAUCUUGAAGGUCCCGACAAAUUGGCACAUGGAACCGAAUUGGAUUCUUCAAUCUGUUGAGGUCCCAACAUUGGGAUAUGUCCCAAUACUGAUAUUGGUUUGUUUAGCCAUGUGGAUGGUGCUAGUUGCUCUCCUACGAUUGGUUUAUGUAGGUCUUGAAUUGGAUUCUUGUCUUUUUGUUGGCCUCUGGUAAGCAUUGCAUUCACCACGUCGACAUGAUGUCGGGAUAGAGAAGUUUUGCCUCAAGAAAGCGUUGGACUUCUGGCUGUCACUAAUUGCUCAAUCAAGCUUAAAAUAAGAAAACCCUAAUUUUAUAUAUAUAAGUUCUCCUUUUGGGACAAUUACACCAAAUACUUAAGUCUUAAAUAACCAACAACACCCAAAAUAUGGUAGAAGUACUCUAAAACCUUGUAUAUCCUUGUGUGGAAAUUCUCCCGAACCUCAACACCUCAUAACUCUUGAUCCAAUUGUCCAAACAAGAUCAAACUUUACAUAAAGUACUGAUAUGUUGUUAUUAAUUUGUACAACAAAUUUCAACUGCAAAUUCGUCUCGGAUCUUGAGAUAUCUUCAAAACCCUAAUAGUCGCUUCAAACCCUAAUCUUUAUAUACCCACGCGCAAUUUUCUUCAUAUCUCACAAACCAUAAGUCAAAAUGCCACGAAACUUAUGUAGAUAGCUUUUUAACACAAAUUUUUACAUUGUCCCAAAGUUUGAGCCAAAAUUUCAUUCAAAAACUCAAGUUAUGGCUCCUAACACUACUUUGAACAAAACCACUCACUUACUGCCUUUGAUUUGAAUGCAUUGUCUUUAACUCCCUAUAACUCCUUUACAUAAACUCCAAAUGCAAAAUUUUCUUUGCAAAAGAUGUAUGUCUUGAAGUUGCCCUUCCAGCCGCACCUUUCGAUCUCCAAAAGCUUCCGUGAGACUCCUCUUAAACUCAAAAUAGUAACAGUAGGUCUCAAAUUGACACCUUAACUUCAAACGGCUAUAACUUAUUCACCCUAACUCCAAACCCUAUAAAAUUUGCACAAAAAUUGUAGCCAAAACCCUAAACUUUACAAUCCUUGACUCUGAUUUCCUAAUGGCCUCUUUGAAGUCGCCGAAACCCUUAUCAAGGUCGCGGGCAGCCUCCUAAAAGCCCAUUGGGCAUGGAUUUCGACCAAUGGGGAUGAAGAUCCUUAUUUCUACCUUCAUCCAACCAUGCCUUGGUUUCAUCCCUCCCAAUUAACCUCCUAUUAGUUUAAAUCUUCAUCUUUAGGCCCCUAUCUCCUCUCAAGGCUUCAUACUUAACAUUAAGGUUCUAUAACUUUUAUAUACUAUAAUCAAACUAAGUAAGGAAAAUAAAAUAAAGUUUUUUUUUUAUACCAACUUUUUUUAAUUUAAUCUAUUAUCCACUCUAACAUACAUUUAGAUUUAUUAACAUUUAAUGUGUUUUAAAUAAUUUUUACAUAGUGUAAGUAUUUACAGUACGACAACGAGGUACUGGUGAGUCCCAUUGAAUAGGACCUUUGUCUUCCGCCGGUUGGCUUGUUUGCAUUUACUGGUCUCGGUUAUUAUAAUUAAAGGGCGCAUUGCAUUGCUGAUAAGUGUGACCAGACUGCUUAUAAUUUCCACAUAUUGAAUUAUAGUCAUCACUAGUCUUUGGAUUAGGACAUUCACUCGCAUAAUGUCCGAUUUGUCUGCAAUGAUAGCAAUGAAGUGGUCUCCUGCCAGCUCCUUUAGGGAUAUUGGAUGUCUCUAUUGGGAUGUACCGGCUCGACCUGUUUCAGGUCGGAUGGGUAAAUGAUCCCGAUUAUCCAAUUGGUACUGCAAAAUUCGAAUUUGAUUGCUAAAAGGGUUGAUAUUGGAAAUACUUUUGCUGAUUUUGUACCAUUCCUUGAGCAUUGGUUCCGUAUUCUUGAUUGUAUACCAAAUUUUGAAAUUUGGAAAAAUUUCUAUUUGGCUUAUUGGAACGAUUUCCUUUCCAGCCAAACCUAUUUCUUGUAUGAAUUCGGUUAAUAUCCCACGAAGUCGGUUGGAUCAUUAUCUGGUUACUGAGUUAUUGUUGUUUCUGUAAAUUCCAAUAAUUGGUGGUAAUAUGCUUGCCCCCGCAAAAGGUACAUUAUACAGUCAUUUGAGGUGGUGAAGGACAUUCUGUUACUAAAUGACCUUGUCCUUUAUAAUUGCUGCACCAGACAUUGGGACGCAUAUUGGUUGGUUUAUGCCUUUUUUCUUUAUCCUUGGCCAAAUUCACAGCCAAUUCAUCCAUUUUUUUCGUCAAUGUUAAUAGCAAUGACUCAUUGGAAUUCCUUGAUACCAAUGCAUUUGGCAAUUCCUUCGUAGGUAUUAGUUUUUGAUAUGUGGAAUAAGGCGCAUACAAGUGUGAUGAUAAUUGUGGUACAGCUUGCAAUGGGACGGCAUCCACUAUUCCCUGUGGAAUUGUACCAUAAUCAUUCCUUCUCAAAUAACUUUCCGAUGCAUCAUUCCAAUUUGUCAUUUGAUAACCUCCUUGAGAUGGAAUCAUCUUGGCUCCAAUUGUUAAGUUCUGGUCAUAGUGACAUUCCUCCCAUACUUUUGCUCGCUCAAGAGAUGAUGCAAUGGUGGCUAAUUGGGCCUCCUUUACAAACAUCUUCAAUUCUGGUAGAUGUAGUCCAUUAACUAAUAUGGACAACACAAACGAUUUCAGCAUUUGGUUAUUUGGCCAUUUUCGAAGUAUAUCUGCUACACUACCAUAAUAUGACUAUAUCGCUUCCCUUGGUACCAUUCUGCUGUUCAUUAAUUUUUCUCUAAGACGUUUUUCAAAACCAAUUGGUCAAAAAUGGGCUAAAAAUGUAUUUUUCAAUGCCUCCCAAUUGAUAAAUUGUCCCAUAGGUUGGCGGUUAUACCACUCAAACGCUGUGUCUUUAAAUGUCGUUGGUAGCCAUCUCAGUCAAAUGUCUUAUGUUCUUCUAUUAUUGGCUACAAAUGUCGUCAAGAAUUGAAACAUAUAUUGAUUUGAAUCUACACUUGGUAAACUCCAAAAAGUAGGUAAUGGCGUGACGCUAGUUGUUCAAUCGCCCACUGCACCCAUUUGAAUUGCAAUCGAAACGACUGGUCCUCCUGAUACCAUUGAAUUUUUUAUUUCGCUAAAUUUCAUUUUAAAACAAUCACUGCUUCUCCUUAUUCUAAUUUUCAGGCUCUCAAUGCUCCUUGAUUUACUGUUAUUUUUUGUAAAUAGUUUUAUAGGUUGAAUUGCAGGUAAAAACAUCGAAUUUUGAAAUACAAUAUAUUUAUGUUUAUUGGCGACUAAUUUGUGCCAAUCUAAAGAGCCACUAUUGCUUGUUUCGGUGGUACCUACUAUUGGAAAAAUAUCCAAUGGAGUACCCAAUUCUUCUAUGCUUCCACUUUCAGUUAAUGGCCUCAAGAUUCUCGCUAGAAUAUUAACAAAAUUUCCCGCGAGUGUUGUUGGUAAUUUUUCUAAUGGUACAUACAACUGUAGAAUUAACAGUCUGUUCGGUUCUUGAUAUGUUUGGAUACGGCGACAAGCUUGCAACCACAGUUUAAUCCAACACUAUCGAUGCUUUUUUUUAAGAUUAUGUUCUUGCUUCUUUCUAAGCAAGUUCCUUCCUUGCGCUCUUUUCUGUCUUUCUCUCAACUGAUUUAUUUUCCUCGAUGCAAUAUUUUUAUUCUUAUUAACCAUAAUCUUUCUUUAUAUACUUUUGAAUUUGCUUCAUAUUUCCCAUCUAUUCAUCUGGCAGUUAAUUCCUAACACUCAACGAUAUUGUCAAUCCCCGAUAGCGGUGCCAAAAUGUGAUUGUCAUUUUACUUAUUCUAGAAGAAAACUCCCAAAAUAAACCUAUAUAGGGAAAUUCGAACACAUGAAAAGACCAUGUAUAUGAGCUCUAAUUGUUAGGGUCACACAAUUAACCGCUACUGCUGAAUGCUUACAAUUCCAAAGAACACUUAACUUUUCCUCCUACUGUCCACUCUCUCAUAUCAAUACGAUAACAAACACGACAUCAAUUUCAGUACCCUGUGUAAUUCAUGAACACAUAAGCAUAAUCCAAACCCUGGAACGAACAACUUCCAAUCCACAGAAUCUGAUUGAGACAAUUCCUUCAAUUACAAUUCCUCUCCACUGAACUCACAACCUUGCGAUAAACAAUGACUGAAAACUUCCAUACAUCAUCAAUCUUUCACAACAAUUGAUAAAUAGUGAUCCAUAAAUAACUUUGUAUAUCAAACAUUGAUUCAUUAAAUCGAUUCUUUUUACUAGAAUCAACACUAAUAUAAAAGAAACAAGAAAAUUAAGAAGAAGAGAUAGUACCAAGCUUAUCCCGGCUCAGUACUAUCGCAGUCUGGCAUUUCGGCUCAUAACUAUCACAGUCUGGCAUUUUCUUCUUUUCUCCCAUCCUCCUUAUACUACCGUGAGAUACCAACUCCUAUACUAUGGAUGAUAACUACUUUUCCUGGCUAUUCAUCCAUUCUACCUGUUGAACCACCUUUUCAGCAGUUAUCUAUCUUUGUUUACACUAUACACUAGAUAUCUAUAUUUUGAAAAUAACUACUUAUUCUAUUGCCACUUAUUCUUUUCAUAUAUCUAUCUUGAUAUAAUAUUGAUUUCAAAUCCAUGAUUAAUUAAGGCCAAAAUUGGAUCUUUAGAAUGUUUUGAUCUUACAUAUAUUUCUAUAGUAGUUCUUGUCUAGUAAAAAAUUGAAUGGCUAUUAUUUCCUAUUCCAUCAUUAUUAUAUUUAGAGCAAGUGUUUAUACAUGCUUCUUGUGUAAUCUUCAAAGCUUCUAAAAUUUAUAUACAAAUUGUAGCUCAAAUCCUAAAUCUUAUUGAAGAAAGAGAAAUUAGAGCCAUAACACUUAGCAUCAGUAAGGUUGCAUACAAAGAAAAGUAUGGAAUAAGAUGUUUCUCUCUUUCAACACCCAUUACUUAAAGAAGGUGGCUAUUGCCCUUAUAAACAACUUCCAUCUUUUGAUGAAUACAUCCAUCCAAUAUUCUACGGAGGAUAUCUAUUACUAUCCUAUAUACCAUAGUAACAUCUUUUAAUCUCUUGUUAUCUUUUAACUAUUAGCAACUUAUUAUGAUUUAACUUUAUGUGGUGGCAAGUAUGUAAGAUCUUGUUGAUCUUCAAUACUCCCACUUUGUUAAUUAUCAAAAUAUUUUCAAUCCUAAUGCCUCUAUCACCAUAUCCAUUGCAUCUCUUUUAGUUCUAAAUACCCACUUACAACCAACAUUAAAUCGAUUUGCUAGAAGAUAUGCCAAUUUCCAUAUACCAUUGUUUAUAAGAGAUUUUUAUUCUUCUUCUACACCCUUCUUCCACUUCUUUGCAUCUUAAAACUUUAUAACAUCAAAUGAAGACAAUAAAUCAACAAAGAGAGCAACAUUUGCAUGUUCUUCACUUACUUGAGAAAAGAUGUGGUUCUUCCAUCAUUUGCCAUAAGGUCUUCUAUAAACUCAACAUCAUGACUUUUGAUGAUCUUUUUGGUAUCCAAACACAUUAGCCUAUAUGCCUUAGUACCUUCACAAUAUUCUAAGAAAAUACACUUUGUAUCUUUUGCAUCAAGUUUGGACCUCAUACAAUCUCGUGUCUUUACAUAUACAAUCAUUUCAAAGGUCUUUAUAUGUGAAAUGUAAGGUCGUCUCCUACUCCAAGCUUCUUGUGGUAUCAUUGAUGCAAGAGGACUUGUUGAACACCUAUUCUUUGCAUAUACUACAUUCACCACAACUUCCGUUGAAAACUCAUAGCUAAGAUUUUGAGCAUGAAGCAUGUUUCUUGCCAUCUCUACAAUGGUUUGAUUUGUUCUUUCAGCAAUACUAUUUUCUUGUGGAAUAUAUGGAGUUGUUAUUUGUCUAACAAUUCCUUCAUUCUUCAAAUAAACAUCAAAUUACUUAGACAUAUACUUACAUCCAUUGUCUAUAUAUAGCACCUUAAUUUUGUACUCACUUUGUUUCUCAAAAAAUGCUUUAAAUUCGUUAAAUUUCUAAAAAUACUCAUUUUUUGCUUUAAGAUUAUAAAUCAAAUUUUUUUAAAAAAAUCAUCAAUGAAAAUGAGAAAAUACCUUGUUCUUCUAAUAUUUUUGUUCUUCAUAGGUCUACAUACAUCUGAAUGGAUAAUCUCCAACAACUUCAUAGCACGUUGUCAUACUGUAAAUGCUUACAAUAUGUAAAAAUUAGCUAAAACAUAUUAUAUGUUGAUAAAUCUAGAUGUGUGUUAGAGUGGCUAGUAGAUUAAAUUAAAAGGAGUUGGUAUAAGAAACUUUACUUUGUUUCUUUACUUCUUUUGAUUUUGACAUUAAAAUAUAUAUAUAUAUAUAUAUAUAUAUAUGACCUAAAUAUUUUGUAUGAAGCCUUCGGAGAAGGUGGAAACCUAAGGAUGAAAAUCUAAACUAGUAGGAGGCUAAUUGAAAGAGAUGAAAGCAAGGCAUGGUCGGAUGAAGACAAGGAAUGGGAAACUUCAUCCCUAUUGGUCGAAUACCAUGCCCAAUGGGCUUCAAGGAGGCUGCCCGAGGCCUUAUUAGGGAUUAGGGUUCCUCUUUCGAGGACAUUCACAGAUUACAAGCUAGAUUUGUAAAUUUUAGGAUUUGGGGUACAAUUUGUGUAUAAAAAUUAGAGGCUUUGGAGCUAGGGUGAAAAGUUAUAGCCAUUUGAAAUUAAGGUGUUUAUUUAAGACAUACUGUUACUCUUUUGAGAGUACGAGGAGUUUUACAGCAGCUUUUGAAGAUCGAAAGGUGCGACUAGAACGGCGAUUUCAAGGUCUACAUCUUUCACAAAAGAAUUAUUGCUUUUGGAGUUCAUAUGAAGGAGUUGUAAGGAGUUGAAAGCAGCGCUUCUAAAUCAAAGGCAGUAAGUAAGCGGUUUUGUUUGUAGUAAUGGUUGGAGCCAUAAUUUGAGUAUUCGGAUGAAUUUUUGACUCAAAAUUUUUGGAGAAUGUAAAUUUUUGUGUUAAAAAGCUAUACAUACAAAUUUCGUGGAAUUUAAGCUUAUAUUUUGUGAGAUAUGAAGAAAAUUUCACGCGGUUGUAUAAAGACAAGGGUUUGAAGCGGCUGUUAGAAUUUUCAAGAUAUCUCAAGAUCUGCAACGAAUUUGUGGUUGAAAUUUGUUGUAGAAGUUAAUAAGAAUACAUUAGUAUCUCAUGUAAAAUUUGAGUUUUUUUGGACGGUCGGAUUAGGAGAUAUGAGGUGCUGAAGUUCGGGAAAAUCUCCACAUUAGAAUAAACAAGGUUUUAGAAGAUUUUAUCAUAUUUUGGAAGUUGUGGGUUACUUGAGGAUUGUGUAUUUGGUUUAAUUACUCAAAAGGGAAAAAAUUAUAUAUAAACUUAGUGCUUCUCUUAUUUUCAAGCUUGAUUGAAUAAUUAGUGACAACGAGAAGCCCAGCAUUUUCUUGAGGCAAAUUCUCUCUACUCCAACAAUGUGUUGCUACACCACUUGGAAAUAUUUCUUUUUGUUGUUUGCCUUGUAUGCAUCCUUCACAUGCAAAUUAUAUUGCAUUUUGGUUUGUUUUAUCAAGAUCUAAGUCCCUUAUCAUGGACUUAAACUUUGCCAUGUUCUUCACAUUUCAAUGGCCAAGGCGACAAUGCCAUACAUUCAACUUAACUUGAUUUGAUAUAAACUCAAAAAAUAUAGCUACUUCUACUCUAUUGACCUUCUUACACUUGAAGUAGUAUAAAUUUCCCUUUCUAGAAUCUUUGGAAAUCAUGUUUCUAUACAAUGUUUUUACAAAACAUCCAUUCUUGUUGAAUUGAACUAUAAAACCUUCUAUUACAAGUUUACUCAUUGAAAGUAGAUUUUGCUUCAUCUUAGGUACAUAGAUGAUAUUUUUGAAUUUGAUCUUAUUGGUUUUUCCAUUCACAACAACCUCUACCAUAAUAAAACCAAUUCCAAUGGCUUCACAGGUGCCACUAUCUCCCAAAAUCACAUUUGAUACUGAAAUAGCAUCAUAAGUACCAAAUGAAUACUUACAAGGUGUCAUAUGCUUGGAACAACCUGAAUCUAUAAUCUAUCUUGACAUGGCAGCUAUAGAGAUCUUAUUUGUUGCUAAAAAUAUAUAAUCUUAUCCUCUAAAUUUAUCUUGUAUACUAUUUGCAUUCUUCAUUUCUAUCCUUUUGUCUUUAUAGAAAUUUUGAGCAAAAUGUCCUACUUUGCCACAAAUUAAGCAAGUUUUGAUAUUAUCUCAUUGAUUUGAAUAAUUGCCCUUGUCUUGUCAUAAGUAGAGUGUUGAAUUUUAAUUUAGAGAGUCUUUUUCUUUCUUCUUGGUUACGUUAUGGCUAAGUCUUAUUAUCGCAUAGUCCAUUAUGAGUUCUUUCAUCUUGAUGGAUUUCAAAGCCACAAUGAGAUAGUUAUAAGAUUCCAAAAAGCUCAUGAGUAGAGUCAUGACAACAUCUACUUUCUCUAAGGACUUGUCAACAACUAUAAGCUGAUUUACAAGUGCCUUCACCUUGUUGAUAUGUACCAUGAGGUCUUCACCUUCUUCCAUCUUACAUGUGAAGAACUUCUUUCUUGUGUAGAUGAUGUUAGAUAAGUUCUUGCUCUCAAAGAUGUUGCAAAGAGUCUUCCAUGUUUCCACUGAUUCUUUGUAUGAAAUAAUGUGGGAGAAGUUGGCUUCAUCCGCAUUGCAUGCAAUUAAUCCAAAGGCCUUCUUUUCAGGACAUUUGUAGUUUUAUUUAUUUUUUUAUUUUUUUAUUUUUUUUGUAUCAGCAAGCAUGCUUGGAGGCUAUUUACUUUCAUCUACAAUAUCUUAAAGGUCCAAAAAAGCCAAAAAAAAGCUCUAUUUUGACCUUCCAAUGAUAGAAAUUUUCACCUCUAAACUUUUCAAUUGCUCUCAAGCCUUCACCUUCACUUGAAGCUAUCUUUAAAGAAGAGAAGUAUCAAAAAAAAAUCAAGAAAAAUAGUCCUCAAUCUCUCAAAAUCAGCAAGAAGGAGUUGCUACCUUAAAAUCUUAGAAUGCCUUUUUUGUAAAUAAAUUAGUAUUUUCACUCUCAAAACACUUUCAACUUUACUUCUAAGUCCUCUCAUAAGUUCAAUGAUCAAUGUAAACAUCUCAAAUCAGAUUUUUCACUCUUCUAUCACUUUUAUAUUCACAAAUCAUGUCUAGACAUUAUAAAAGGUCUUUUAAGCACUUUAAGCUCUUUGAACAUAUGAAACCACAAAGUUAGUCUACAAAAGAGCUUAAUCAAUCAGCAAAUACAAUACUAGUAUUCUAUACCAUCACCAUAAGGUGCAAAUCAAACCUUGAAUCCAAGAUGCACUUAAUAAUAAAUAAGAGCAAUCAAAGAUCUAAAUCUAGAUCUCAAUCUAAAAAUUAAGAAUAUCAAAAUCCUAAAAAUAAUAUGAUCUACUCCAUACAACAACAAAAACUUCAUAAAACUUCAAUGAAACUCAUAAAGAAAUGUAAGUGGAUCCAUAACCUAUUAAAGAGAGAGAAGUUAGAAGCGACAAUACUUAACAUCAGCAAGGUUGCACACAAAGUGAAGUAUGGAAUAAGAUGUUUUUCUCUUCUAACACCCAUUACUUAAAAGAAGUGGCUGUUGCCUUUAUGAACAACUUCCAUCUUUGAAUGAAUACAUCCAUCUAACAUUCUACCGGAGCUAUCCAUUGGUAUUUUAUUUAUUAUAGUAACAUCUUUUAAUCUUUUGUUAUCUUUUGACUAUUAGCAACUUACUAUGGUUUAACUUUAUGUGGUGGCAAGUAUAUAAGUACUUGCUGAAUUUCAACAAAUCUUACAAUCCUUCCAUUUGAUUAUCAAAUAUCUUUUUUGAAGUUACCAAAAUCCUUGUUAUAGUUAUAGAUAGCUUGUUUAAUGCCUAUUGGGUAUUGCAUUCAAUUAAUAGGAAUGAAGAUCUUUACCUUUAGCCUUCAUUUAUCCAUACCUUAUUUUCGUCCUUCCAAAUAAGUUUCUUAGAAUUUUGGAUCUUCAUCUUUGAGCUCCAAUCUUUUUUUAAAAUUUUAUACUAAAUAUAUAAAUUUUAUAUAAUUCAAUUAUUAAAAUCAAAAUAGGUAAAUUUAAAAAUAAAUAUUUUUACAUCAACUCUCUUUAAAUUAAUCUACUAACUAUUUUAAUAUAUAUCAAUACUUACAAAUAUAUUAUAUAUUUUAAUUAAUUUUUAAAUAUUAUAAAUAAUUAUAAUACAAUAAUACUUUUACAUAGCUUUUAGAUAGAUAGUAUAUUUAGAGGCAAGAGUGAAGCCUUCUUCACUCUUGUCAUUUUAUUUUUUUAGUCCAGUUUUAAGAAUCUCCAAUUUUCUAGUCUUUUGUAAUAGCCAUUCUAGUUUUUUAUUAAAUAUUUUUAUUUUCUUAUUUCUAAUUUAUCAUCUCACUUUGAUUUAUUUUUAAUUUAUUUAUGUAUCUUUUUUGAAUUCUUUUCCUUGAUAGAUUGACAAGAGUCCUAACUCAUUCUUCUUACUUUGUUUUUAGAAUAAAGCAGAUUAUUCCACUUCAAACAAUAGUUUAAUCAAUAAUAGAAGUAGAAUAAUUUAUUCCAUUCUAAAUCUUUAAUCUUAGUUGAAAUCCUAAUGGACUUCAAUUAAAUUCUAAGCUAAAUUCUAAAUCCUAAAUCCUAAAUCCUAAAAAAAUUCUGAAUUCUAAAUCCUGAACCAAUCCUAAAUCUUAAAUCCUAAAAAAAUCUUAAAUAUCAAAUCCUAAGAAAAUCCUAAAUCUCAAAUUCUAAGAAAAUCCUAAAUUCAAUCUUAAAUUCUAAUCAAAUCCUAAAUCUUAAUCAAACUUUAAUCAAACCUUGAGCAGAUCCUAAAUCUUAAAUCUUAAGCAAAUACUAAAUCAAAUUCUAAAUUCUAAUUUAAUCUUAAAUCUUAACUAAAUUUUAAUCAAAUCCUAAAUCUUGAUUCAAUCCUAAUCCUAAACCAAUUCUUAAUUAAAAUCUAACCAACUCAACUUAAUCCUAAUACAAUUUAAAAUCUCAAUAUCUAUUGAUUAAACUAUUCAUCUUAUUUAAAAUUUUAUAUAAUUUUUAAAAACUAAAUUAGAAAAAAAGAUAUAAAAUUUAAAGAUAACUAUACUUAUCAAAUCAAAAGAAAAUCCUAAAAUCCGCUCGGAUAUUACCUAGCCUCCUAUUUCAAUCUAAAUAUUGAACUUCCAUUGCUAAUAUCUCUUUUUCAAAUAGUUUAAUUUUUCUCAAAUUUCACAUAUGUAUAGCAAAUUAAGUCUAUUACUCUUUCAUACAAAUUUUUUUCCAAUCCAAUUAGUAAAUUGCUGAAGAUCUUAGAAAUUCUAACUGCCCCUCAAAGUUUAAUUUUUGAGACCUCAAUCUACUUAAAAUUUAAUAACUUUCAAUUCAAUUCUUCGAUCAAGCUCAAACUUAAAGCAUAUACUUUACACAACUAUUCAAAUAAGUCCUACAUAUAUUCAUAUUCUUUAUUUUUCUAAUCUACCUUGAUUUGCCUUCUUUAUGGCCUUAUAAAGUAAAUAGAAAUCUACUUUACAAAAAAAUAGUAUUUACACCUUUAGUUUUACUUUCUUUUGAACUAUUGUCUAUUUUCUAAGAUAAUUUUCUAUAAUAUUUGAAAUAACAUCUUCUAUAAUAUAAAAAUUUCUUCACCCUUUUCAUGUGAUAUCAUGACAACAUUAUUAAGAAGAUUUAUGUCUAUAUUGUGGAAAAUCUAAGCAUAUUGCUCAAUAUUAUCUAAAGAAAUAAUAUAAUUAUAAAAUAACAAGUAUGGUUUUUAAAGAAGAAAAUGUAUCAAAAAAUAAAUUUUUCUAGCUACAACAAGAAUCAUGUGGCUAAUAUCAUAUGCAAAAUCUAGUAUAGGUCAUAUUCUCUCUUCAAAUUUUUCACCUUAUUUUACAAUAGAUGUAUAUUUAAGACCUAAAAAUCACAAAUUAUUUACCUUGGUAGAUUCAAAAGCCUCAACUUGUUUUGUAGAUGAAGACCUUGUCAAAAAAUAAGAAAUACAUUUAGUCAAGAAAUCUAAAUCCAUAAAUGUAAAAAUCAUAGAUGAUCAUUUACUAUCUUCUAGAGAUACUACACAUGUAACUAUUUUUUUAGAUGUAGUAAUUAAAGAUCAUAAUAGCAUAAUAAUAUUUAAUUUGAUAAAGUCUCCCUCUAAUCCAAUUAUUUUAGAAUUAUCAUAGUUAAAAGAAUAAAUUCCUAAUAGAUUGAAUUUCUUACAAUCUUAUCUUUUUUUGUAAUUUAAUUCAAAAUUUUAUUAGUCAAAUAGAAAUACAUAAUUUUAAUACAUCCAAAUUCUUAUUAGUAGGUGCAAGAUCCUUUAUGCAUAUGGCAAAAAAAAGAUCAUCUUUUGCUAUAUAUACCAUGCUCAUUUCUGUUAGUAUAAGACAUCAAGUUAUAUCCCUUAUCAAUAUUAAGAUUUUCAAGUAUUAAAUAUAUAUAUAAAAUAUUGUAUAUAAAUAUAUAUAUAAAUAUUAAGAUUUUUAAUAUAUAUAUAAAUAUUUAUAUAUUUAUAUAUAUACAAUUUAUUACAUAAUGUAGUAAGAGCCAUAUUAUUAAAUUUUAAUUAGUUAUAAAAUAUGAUUAGAUUAUUAUUUUGAAGUAAUUAGUCUAAAAGGACUACUAUUGAGAUUGAUUUUAUAUUAAUAAUAGUUUUUGUAUACUUAGAGUCACCUUUAUUAAACAUUGGUGACUCUUAAAAUCUUUUUUUAUUUUUAUUUGAUAUUUAGGCCACAUACUAUAUAAAAUUUAUUAGAAAAGGAUUUUUAUAUAAAAAGAGGUAGUUAGGCCAUCCAUAUGGAUGAUAAAAAUCUACAUUUUCAUUGGCCAAAGGUCAUGCCCAAUAGGCUUCAAGGAUGCUAUCUAAGGCUUUAUUAAAAAUUAGAAUUAUUUUUUUGAAGACAUUCAAAUAUUAAAGAUUAGAAUCAUCAAGUUUAGAAUUUUGAAUAUAAUUUUGGUACAAAUUUUGUACAAUUUGGAGUUUCUAUAAAGAAGAUAUAGAUAUUCACAAUCAAUGCAUCAAUUUUAUACCUAUUGUCUCUCUUUGCAAUAUAGCACAUGUUUAUAAAAGACUGUUGAAGAUUAAAUUGUGUAGUUGGAAAUUUUAUUUAAAAAACCAUAUUUUUCAUAUAAAAAAUAAAAGUUUUGGAUUAAUUUAUAAAAAAAAAAAAAAAAAAAAAAAAAAAAAAAAAACUACUUAAAGAUAAUACUUCUAAAUUAAGAUUUAUUAAUAAACCAAUUUCAUGAGUGGUUUGGCUCUAGCUAUAUCUCACACUGUCAUACUUUUAAUUCGACUAUAUGAUGAAAAUAUAAUCAAAAAUAAAUUUCUAAUUAAUAUUUAAUUAUCUUAAUUCAAUAAUAAUUCAAGAUAUUUAAAUAUGGCUUUUAUAUAAGCCUCUUAGUUUAUUUUCUUAUCUUAAUAUUUAACAUUAAAUGUUAGCUAGUAAUUUUAUCUUCUAAGUUAUAGAGACUCUUUUAUUGCCUUAAAAAAACCAUAAAUUAGUAAAAUCAUAUUGGAAGAGAUAAAUAAUUAAUAUGAUUGAUAAUAGAGUUAAGUUGAGGAUAAUAUUAGGCUAAAAAUUCCCUAAGAUAGAUUAAAUUGAUAUCUGGAGAUUAACCAUUUAUUAGACAAGGUUGAAAUCAGAUUUCUAGUUACUAAAAUGAUCGCCUAGGGCAAAAUAGAGAGACAUUUGAAGAUCAGCAAUUAGAAUUGAAGAGUUAGUUUAGAGCUUGUUUCAAAGACAUAAGGCUUAUUUUUGUAGGAUUUGAGUUUAACUUGGCAAUUAUUAUUCAAAAUCAAGGUUUGUAUUGGUGACUUGGAAUUUAUACAAUACAAUUAUGGCUAUCAUUCUUAGCUAGUUUGUAAAAUUUAUGUCACAUCUAUAAUUUAAAAUUUGAUAGUCCUUAGUUAAGUGGAUGUACUAAGUAUAUGUGGAAUUUUGUGAUAAUCUAAUAGUACAGCUGAAAGAUAUUUGGAUUUUGAUACAAGAAGGUAUUAGAAGUUGGUAGUUUGAGGUUAGAUGGGAUUUCUAUGAUACUUGAAGAUCUACUAGUUGAAUCAAGGUGAAAUUUGGUAUGGUGUUAGAGACUUAAAGAUCAAGAUAUACACUAAUUUUGAGUUGAAGUUAGCAAUUGAAGAAGGAGAAAUCACUGUUGGAACAUUUGCAUCAACUUUCAAGUUGGCAACCAAGUAACAUCAAUGUGGUUUUUGGACGUUUUCUCACAAUUUGUAAGUUGAAUUGAAGUAAAUUCUUUUAAGCAUAUAGAAGACUUAUAAUAGCAUUUGUGUGCAAAUUUUUUCUCUAAGCGGUGUCAUGAUAUAAUACGACUAAUAGGUGAAAGAGUGUAGAAGUUAUUAUAAUGUAGGAGAUCUUAGUUCAAAGUAUUUGAGCAAAUUAUCUUAGAAAUAUAGUUAAUAGUCAAAAGGAUGGUAAAAUUAAAAGGUAGCUUCUACUUACUUUGUAGGACCAUAAAUAAGGCAAAACAAAGUAGAUUGAAAAAAUAAAUGAUAUAGGCAUGUUUAGAAGAAAGUUAAGAAUAAAUUCUAAAAAAAUUUACUUAGAAAAACUAGAUAUUGAUACCCAGAGAGGGCUGGUUAUGAACCAAGGUCGAAAUCAGACCUUGAGGCACAAAACUAAGACGCAAUGAUGACUCCGAGAUUCUUUUACAGAUCUAAGAGUAGAAUUUGAUAGCAUACUAGAUAAGGUUUUUAUGAGCAUUGGUUUUGGGUGAUUUGGAUUCAUAAUGACUUUAUAAGAGCUAUGGGAUAUUAAAAAUUGUAUAUACAUAGAAAAAAAGAGAUAUUGACUCUAGAAGACUGGCAUCAAGGUUGGAGAAGGAGGUCGGCCAAUACUUGAGCACAUUUUUGAGGUUAUUAUCUAUUUGGUAAUUUUGAUCUUUUUCAAAUUUUGAGAAAAAUAUUUUUUAACUUGUUUUAAACUUAAUUUUUAAGAAAUAUGAAAAAUUUGAGUUAAGAUCAAUGGUUCAUUCGUUGGUUAUUGAAGUUUAAAUCUGUUGUAGAAAUUAUUAGGAUUUUGUUAGGAUUUGAUUUAGAGUUAGGAUUUGGUUAGGAUUUGAUUUAGGAUUAGGAUUUGAUUAAGAUUUGGUUAGGAUUUGGUUUAGGAUUUAGAAUUUGGUUUAGGAUUUAAGAUUUGAUUAGGAUUUGGUUUAGGAUUUGAGAUUUGAUUUAGAAUUUAGGAUUUAAUUUAGGGUUUAAGGUUUGAUUAGGAUUUGGUUUAGGAUUUAGGAUUUGGUUAGAAUUUGGUUAGGAUUUGAUUUAGGGUUAGGAUUUGGUUAGGAUUUGAUUUAGGAUUAGGAUUUGAUUAGAGUUUGGUUUGGAAUUUAGGAUUUGGUUAGGAUUUGAUUUAAGAUUAGGAUUUGAUUAGGAUUUGGUUUAGGAUUUAGGAUUUGGUUAGGAUUUGAUUUAGGAUUUAGGAUUUGAUUAGGAUUUUAUUUAGGAUUUGAUUAGGAUUUGAUUUAGGAUUUAGGAUUUUAUUAGGAUUUAUUUAGGAUUUAAGAUUAAGUUAGUUUUUGGCCUAAAGCUUGAAUGAAGUCUAAUAGGAUUUUAAUUAAGAUUAAAUUAAGAUUGAAUUGAGAUGUAUUUGAGAUAUAUUUGUGAUCAUUCUAAUGUUUCUUUGAAUUUGAUUAAAGCUUACUUACCAUUGAUAUGAUCUAAUUAGAGUUUAGUUAGUAUUCUAUUAGAGUUAGGAUUUUGUUGUUGCAAUUUCCAUUCUAUCUUCCUUGGCCAGGUCCCCGGAGCAUUCUCAAGCAAGACUUCACAUAUUACGAUAACGGUAUUGGGAUAGAGAGAGUUUGCCUCAAGAAAGCACUGGGCUUUUGGCUGCCACUAAAUACUCAAUUAAAUCUAAGAUAUAAAAAUUUCAAAUUUAUAUAUAUAAUAUUUUUUUUUUGGAGAAAUCACAUCAAUAUAUAAGCCAAGUACCAAGAAAACAUCCAAAUGUAUGAUAAAAUAUCUUAAAACCUGAUAUAUCCUUAUGAGAAAUAUUUUUUGAACUUCAAAAGCUCAUAUCUCACGAUCAGACUAUCCAAACAAUCCUAAAUUUAACAUAAAGUAUUGAUAUACUUUCAAAAGCUAUCAAAAAAAUAUUCAACUACAAAUUUAUUACGGAUGUUGAGAUAUCACCAUAAUCCUAAUAGUAGCUUUAAACCUUAGCUUACAUACAUCUAUUUAUUAUUUUAUUUAUAUCUCAAAAAAUAAGUACUUAAAUAUCAUGAAACUUUGAUUUAUAGCUUUUUAACCUAAUAAUUCACACUUACAAAAAUUUUGAGCCAAAAAUUCGUCCAAAAACUGAAGAUAUGGCUCCAAUCAUUACUAUCAACAAAAUGACUCACUUACAGCCUUUGAAUUACAUAUACUAUUUUCAAUGCCCUAUAACUCCUUCAUCUAGACUUGGAAUUCAUCAAAAAAUAUAUGUAAAAUAUAGCCAAAAAAGUGUUCUCUCGAAUUCCAAUCACCAAUCUUGCAUUGCUCUCUAUAUACAUGUGUUAUGCUUCAAAGAGUUACAAUAGGUAUAAAUUUGACACCUUCACUUUGAACACCUAUAUCUCCUUCAAAAAAACUCGAAAUCACACAAACUCUUCAUCCAAAUUAUAUCCAAAAUCCUGACCUUGCUGACCUUGGCCUCCAAAGCUAUAAUGACUUUGAAAGAGAAAUUCUAAUCCCUAAUAAGGCCUCAAGCAACCUCCUUAAAGCCCAUUGGACAUGGCCUUUGACCAAUAGGAAUAAAGAUUUCCAUUCCUUGCCUUCAUCCAACCAUGCCUUGCUUUCAUCCCUCUCAAUAAGCCUCCUAAUAGUUUAGACUUUUAUCUUUAGACUCCAACCUUCCCUUAAGUUUCAUACUAACAUUUAGGUUCUAUAUUUUUUUUUUGAAAUGCUAUAAUUAAAAAAGAUAAAAUUCAAAAUAAAGUUUCUUAAAUCUAUUCUCUUUAAAUUAAUCUAUUUAACCAUUCUAACAUACACCAAGACUUAUGAACAUAUUAUAUGUUCUAACUAAUUUUUAUAUACUAUAAGUAAUUACAGUAUAAUAGCAGUGUCGUAAUACGUGAAAUCUUGCUUGAGAAUGCUCUAAGCACCUGACUAUGGAAGGAAGAAUAGAAAUUGCAAUAACAAAAUCCUAAUUCUAAUGGAAUACUAAAAAUGCUCUAAUUGGACCACAAUAAUGCUAAACAAGCUUAAUCAAAUUCAAAGAAACUUCAAAGAAAUUUCAAACAAACAAUAAGAAUUCUUAAAGAAAUAUUAAAAGGAUCACAAAUAUCACUCAAAUACAUCUCAAUUCAAUCUUAAUUUAAUCCUAGUUAAAAUCCUAUUGGACUUCAUUCAAACUUUAGGCCAAAAUUAAUUAAAUCUUAAAUCCUAAAAAAUCCUAAUAAAAUCCUAAACCAAACUCUAAUCAAAUCCUAAACCCAAACCCUAAAUCCUAAACCAAAUCCUAAAUCAAAUCCUAACCAAAUCCUAAACUAAAUCCUAAAUCCUAAAUUAAAUCUUAAACAAAUCCUAAACCAAAUCCUAAAUCCUAAAUCAAAUCCUAACUAAAUCCUAACCAAAUCCUAAUUUAAAUCCUAAAUCCUAAAUCAAAUCCUAAAUCAAAUCCUAACCAAAUCUUAAAUAAAUCCUAAAUCCUAAAUCCUAAAUCAAAUCCUAAACCCUAAACCAAACCCUAUCCAAAUCCUAAACCAAAUCCUAAUCCUAAACCAAUUCCUAACCAAACCCUAGUAAUUCCUACAACAGAUUUAAACCUCAAUAACUAAUGAAUAAACCAUCGAUCUUAACUCAAAUUUUUCACACUUCUUAAAAACUUAGUUGAAAAUAAUCAAAAAAAUUUUGAAAAGGAUCGAAAUUACCAAAUAGGCGAUAACCUCAAAAACGUGCUCGGGUAUUGGUUGGCCUCCUUCUCCAACCUUGAUGCCAAUCUUCUAGAGCCAAUAUCUCUCUUUUGCAUUGUUUGAUUGAUCUCAAAAUUCUCAUAUACAUAGAAAAAUAAGUCUAAUAUCCUUUUGCAUAAGUUUCACUUCAAUCGAACUAGUAGAUUGCAAGAAAACUCAAAAACCCUCACUAGACCUAAAAUUCUACUUUUUAACACCUUGACCCACUUAAACCUCAAUAUUCCUUAAUUCAACCGUUAGAUCGAGCUCAAAUUUACAACACAUAUUAAAUACAACUAUAACCAUAAACCCACAAAAUUUUACCCAUAGAUCUAUUACAAAACUCUUGAAAUCAUCCAAAACGUAAACCCUAUUUUAUUUCAUAAAACCCAAGUCAUCCAAAAUAAACCUUGACUUUGCAAAGUUCUUACAAAGUCAUAACAACUCCAAAUCACCCAAAAUAAAUUUACAUAGAAACCUUAUUCAAUCUGCUAUCAAACUUAAUUCUCCGAUCUACAAAAGAAAUCUGGAGUCGUCGUCGAGACUCGGUUUUGUGCCCUAGGGUCUGAUUUCGACCCUGGUUCAUAACCUGCCCUCUCCGGAUAUCAAUAUCUAAUUUUUCUAAGUAAUUUUUUCUAGAAUUUAUUCUCAACUUCUUUUUAAAGAUGCCUAUAUCAUUGAUUUUUCUAAUCUACUUUGGUUUUCCUUACUUAUGGUACUACAAAGUAAGUAGAAGUCACCUUUUUAAAAGGCAGUAUUGGUACCUUUUAAUUUUUCUACCCCUUUGACUAUUAACUAUAUUUCUGAGAUAAUUUGUUCUAAUACUUUGAACUAAGAUCUCCUAAGUUAUAAUAAUCUCCUAAAUUAUAAUAAUCUCCACACUCUUUCACCUAUUAGUUGUAUUGUAUCAUAACAUCCACCCCCCAGAAUCUAUGCAUCCUUCAGCAUGCAGCAACGAUUCUUCAAUUUGUUGAUGUAGAAUGUUCUUCAUCUUGGUACAAUUCUUGAUCUUCAAUAUUCUCUUCUAUUCCAAUCUCAAUAUCUUAUAUUGGAUUUUGUUCUUCAUCAAAACAAAUACAUUCAUCUCUUUGUUUAAAUAACUUGAUUUAUUUGCGUGCUAUGAGUACCUUCAAUUUUGUACCAUUAAGUUCUUAUAAUGAAUAUGUUCCAUUAUUGUGUGUCUUUUUGAAAAUAUAAGGUCCAAACCAUCUCUUUGUAAACUUCUUCAUAGUGUUAUGUUGAUUGUCUAAGCUACUAUCAUAAACUAGUAUCCAAUCACCAUCUUCAAUAGCCUUAGGUCAUAGUCGAUGUUUUUUAUCAAAUCUUUCUUUAUUCUUUUUCCUUGUUUCUUUCAAUUUUUCUAUUGCUAUUUCAAUAUCAUUGGGUCUUCUUUCUACUUGUCAAAUCUGUAAUGCUAAAAGCUCUUCUCUGUUGAGAUCAUUCUUUCAAGGCAAUACACCCCAUGUAGGUACUACAUCUUCUAUUGGCAUUAUUGGUUUUUGUCCAUAUAUUAAUUUAGAAGGCAUAUAACAUGUUACCGAACUAGGAGUUGUACGAUCUGCCCAUAGUACAAAUGGUAGUAGUCUAGGCCAUUCAUAUGCUUUACCAUUGCAUGCCUUUACUAAUGUCUUAACAAUAAGUAAAUGCCCAUGCUCACUUUUAUCAUUACCUUCUGGGUUAUAUGUUGUUGUUAAAGAAAGUUUAAUUCCUAUUCUACUAAAGAAUUCUCAUGCUUUCUUUGCAUCCAAUUCAUCCCUAUCCGCUGUAAUUUUUCCAAUACAACCAUAGCAACAAAUAACUUCUUUUAAUAGAAAUCGGCAUACUCCUUUAGUAUCCUUUGUUCUUAAUGCUCGUCUUUCAAUCAUAUUUGAUAAAUCUUCUUGUACAAGUACCAAAUAUUUCAUUUGUCCAAGUUCUAUAGGCAUUGUCACUAAAUCUACCACCCAUUUGUAAUGUAAAGCCAAUGGUUAUGUUGGAUGUAAUCCAUCUCGAUGCUAAAUAUUUGAAUACAUUUCGCAAAUCUCACAAGAUUCUACAAAUUUUGCUAUGUCUUUGUACAUUCCCUUCUACCAAUAUUUUUCUCUUAACUUAAUGAAUGUUGUCCAAAUACCUUGAUGUCCUACCCAUAAAUUUUCAUGAAAUUCUUUAAUAAUCCUUUGUUGAGCUUCUAAACUACAUAUCACCCUUUGUGGUACUUCUCCUCUCUUUUUUGGAUGCUUCCAUAAAUAUCCAUAAUGUAAAAAAUAUCCAUAGGCUUUCUUACAGAUUUUCUUGAAUUCUUGAUCCAUCCAAUCUUUUUGUCACUUUAAUGUGCUCAAAUACUCUCCAACAUCUUUCCAUUCAUUUUCAUAUAAAUCUCUUAAAAACAUUUCCAAUGGUAUAUUAAAAAAUACACCCUUCUCCUUUGAUAACGCAUUGGUAUAAAAUUUUGUACCCAUAUCAUCUUCUAAAUCAAUCAUCUUUUCCUCAUCAUUAUACCUUGCUCUUGAUAACAUAUCUAUAACUGAAUUUUCUUUCCCUAUAAUAUGUUUAAUUUCUACAUUUAUAGAUUUGAUAUAUGCUAUCCACCUCAACAUAGCAAUAUCAGGAGUUGAACAACUUAUAAUCAUGCCUAACAAAGGUAGACAAUCUAUUUCUAUAACUACUGAUGUCCUAAUCAAGUACUCUUUUUUAUUUUUCAUAGCUAUUACUACAUUCCAUAAUUCUCUUUUGAUUUGCAUAUAUGCCUUUUGCUUGCAAUUCAAUACCUUUGCUCCAAAUCUUACUACAUAUCUAUUCCCUUGUUCAUCAUCUUAUCCAACCAUCCAACCUAUUCCAAUUGGACUUGCAUCAAUUGUUAAUACCACUCGCCUUCCACCUUCAUAAUUUACUUUCUUCAAAGUUAGAGAUGAAGAAAGAAGUUCUUUCAAUUUUUCCAUAGCAUUUCGUUGUUCUUCUUUCUAUUGAAAUUUUUGAUUCUUUCUUAACAACUCAUACAAUGGAUCUGCUAUAUAUGCAAAGUGAGAUAUCCAUAUAUGAUAGAAAAUACAUACUCCUAAAAAUUUUCUCACUUUCGUUGUAUUUGUACAUUCUUUGAUCUUUUUAAUAAUAUCAAUCUUUUUUAUACUUGGCUUGCAUCCAUAUGAACCACACAUGUGUCCUACCACCAAAAUUUCUUUUACUCCAAACAUUGGUUUUUUUCCCGAUAAGGUUAAAUGAACUUCUUCCAAUCUUUUCAAAAUCUUCUCACAAUCUUCAAUAUGAUCUGCCACAAACUUCCUACAUCCCUUUGAAUCCAAAGUUUCAUCUUUUCCUUCUUCUUCACAUCCCUUAAUAGGUACAUUAUUCAAGAAAGGCAUUAUUAUUCUUGAAAUAAAAUCUCAUAAUACCUUAUGUAUUCCAUUCAUCAUAUGUGCUACAGAAUUUAUAGCCCCUUUUGGUAAUGUGCACAUUCUAACUAAUCCUAAUGGUGUCUUCAUAGUUGUCAAAUUCCUACUUUGUAUUAUCAAUUGAAAUUGAUCAUAACCUGAAUAAAGAUCACCCAUUGAGUAGAUAGCUCUUCCAGCAAAUGCUUCUAUAAAUUCAUCUACAAUUAGACUUGAACCUAUAUUUCUAAUAGUCACUUUAUUUACGGGUUGCAUAUCUUGUGUAAAUCUCAUUGUUUCAUUUUUCUUUGAUAGUGUAAACUAUCGAUUAGAGUAAGGUGCCAUAGAUGGUUCCAAAAUUCCUAUUUUAAUCUUUUCAUUGAGUAAAUCUACUAACUUAGAUAAAUGCGCUCUUGGUACUAGAAUUGGUCACAAAUUCCAUGGUUCAUAAGGAAUAAUAAAAAUAACCAUGGGUGCUACAACAUUUGGAUCAACACACCUAAUUUCAUGUGUCUCAAAUGCAAAAGCCUUUCCAUGACGUGAAAGCAUAUCCCUAAAAUAUUUUUCUUUACAUUUUGUCAAAAAUCCCUCACCUCUAACAUUUAAUCCAUCUAAUGUAACAUCCGUAAAUUAAUGCCCUAUCUUCCUUGGAUCUCUUAAAUUUGGUUGUGUCGAUGCUCCACUUAUCUUUUCUUCACAAUCAAAUGGAAGUGGUAAAGCCAUUGGUUUGACCUUCUUUGCUAUUGAUUUAUACUUAGUUUCAACAUAUACCUCUUGGCGACUUAAAUUUUCUAUAAAUCUUUGAAUUUUAUCAUAAAAUUCUUUAGAACAUACAUUAAUAACUCUAUUUUCUACUUCUAACCCACAUUGUAAUAGAUAAUUGAAUUCUCCCAUAGUAUCUGCAAAACCUACUUCUUCAUAUGCUCCUGAAAUAAAAUCAUUUUCAAUCAAUUCUCCAUUUUCUUUCAAAAUUUGUUCAAUAUUUUUAAUAUAACAUCUGUCCCUCCUUUUCAUCUUAUCAAUAGUCUUAAAAGUUAAUACAAAAUCUUGUUUCAUCUCAAUAAGUUCGGUAGAUAAUGAUUCUUCUUUUAAAUUAAGGAGAAGCUUUUUUUUCUCUAAUCCAUUGCAAUCCCGCCUUACAAUGGUGUACGGUAAAAAUCCUCAAGGUCUUCAAAUUUUUCAUUUCAUAAUGGCUUUUCUCUCAACUUAUCACGAUUUUUCUCAUGAUUAGCACAAACAGUUAAAAAUUGAACUGCUUUCAUUCCAUCUUGGCUUCUUAUUCUUCCAUAGGCUGAACUAUCAUCCAUUACUUUUGUUUCCAUUCAUGUAGAAAUAAUAUAUGGUUGUCCCAAUAUAAUAAGAUAUGUAGACAUGUCUUGCAUAAAGAAAUUUUGUUCAUGAAUAACAUCUCCUAUUGUCACGUUGAUAUUUGUACAUACUCCAUACAAAUCUCCCUUUGAAUUAUUUGCAACUCUUAUCAUCCAUCCAUGUUUAGUAUCAAUAGGCCAUUUUUCCUUGUUAUACAAUUCUUUUGACAUCAAAUUGAUUUCAGAACCAUGAUCAAUUAAUGUUACAACUGGUUCUUCUAAAUUUUCCAAUUUUAUUACAAUCUCCAUUGUAGCCCUUGUCUAAUGACUUCUAGAAUAAUGGCUAGAAGCUUGAAUGACAUCUUCUUUUUCUACAAAUCUUACUCACAAGACAUCCUCAAAAUUUUAUAUUUCAUCUUUUUCAUCUUCAUUUCUUUUCAUUGCUCUUAUUCUUUGUGUAUUUGAUGUCAUAGAGUCUCCUAUCGAUUGUCAUUUUUUCUUUAUUGUAUUAAUAAUAACUUCAUGAAACUUACGCUUUGUAAUUUCUAGAAUUUCACUAAUUGUGAAUUCAACCUUUCCACUUAAAAUCCGUUCCUCCAUUACCUUCUUCAAAUCUGUAACAACUUCAAUAUCUAAUUGUAAUUUAUAAGCAAGAGCCUUUACUUUUUCUUUUAUAAUUUCCCUUCGUUUUGUAGAAAUGUUCUCUAUAGUCUCUUCAUGAAUAGAAUUCUUUUGUUGUCGUGCUUUUUCUCUCCUUGUAGUUCUUUUUGAGGGCCCUUCAUUAUUUUCAUCUCUCCUUCAUUUUUCUUCUAUUAAUGCUUCAUGUUGACUCCUUGCAAUAUGAGCAUGUACUGAUAAUCUAUCUACUAGAUCAUCUCAUCCAAUAAUUUAUCGAAUGUUAUUACCAACACGUUUUAAAUCAUCUCUAAUAAAAUUUCCUCUUUCAGCAUAACUCAUUACACUUGUCUACAAAGAACUAGAUUCUCCUGGAAACUCAAGUUUUAUACUUGAACAUCUACUAGGAUCUGUUUCCACCCAAUAUGUUGAUGCUUCAUUGCUUGAGAUUGUAUGCUCUUUAAAAGUAUCUCCAACAAAUAACUUCAUUCCUCCUUUAUCAAAAUUUGUUUUCAAUUUUCCUCCACUUUCUUUUGAGUGUAUCAUACCAUCUUUAAAAAAAACAACUCUUUUACGUAAUGCCUCUAUAAAAUCUUCACAUUCCCUCCUUGAGUGAUCUAUGCUAUCACACCACAUGCACCUAUGUACUACACCUUCCAUUGGCCCUAAUCUUUAUUUUGUUGAUAUUCUUGAUGAUUGAUCCUUUUCUUCAAGUUUUGUAAAUUUUAUUUACAAAUCUCUCAUCGUACAUAUGAUUUCAUCAAUUUCUAUUUCUUCUUUCUUUGAUGUAGCCAUUGAAGGUUGAAUCAAAGAUGUUGGAUGGGUACUAGAUAUCUUUACCUUAGAUACUUGUAAUGGUCUUUGGUCACCUCUCAUAUCUUUUCUCCUUUCUUUUUUUGUCAACAACUCUACAGCAUCCUCUACCCUUUUCUAAUUUUUUGUCAAUCCUUCAUCUUCUUCUUUAUCUUCAAGCAUGAUUUCCAAGUUCUCUUGCAACUUUCCAUCAGCUGCUUGAAGAAAGAGCUCCACCUUACUUGGAUCCAAUAAUUAUCUUUCUUUCUUUGAUAAAGAAGAAUAUUGCUUUUCAAACUCCCUUAAUAAUUUUGUUGCUAGAAGGUCCUUCUUUGGCCUUUCAAUUCAUUCAAAAAAAAGACCUUAUUGUAACCCUAUCACUAUCUUUCAGGAAAAAUUCAUUCUUCAAUGCUUGAGAAAAUUUCUCCCAUGAACCUCCAAAAUAUUGUAUAAGAGACUUUACUUGAUUUUUUAUCUCUUAUGCAGAGGCUAAUUCAAAUAAUUGAACCAUCUCUUUAUUUAGAAUACGGUUCAAUUCCAUUUCCUUUACAUAACAUCUUAAAUAUUUUGUGAUAUCUUUUCCUUCAAAUUGAUUAAUUUUAUCCACAACUGCUUGUAAUGCUUUGUUAGCCAUACUCUCUUUGUGAUCUUUAACCUGUUGCUAUUGUUGUUGCAUGAAUAAGGCCAAAGCUUCAAACACGCCUACAAAGUUAGAAUCAAAAUGCAUACCUUGUCCUCCAAUCGAAGCUCCUCUUCCAACUCCACUUGAAGCACCAUCAAAAAUUCGUCCUUCUAUUCCCCUUAAAAUCCUUCUUCAAAAUUCAAAUAAUCCAAAAAAUAAACCAAAUUCCUUCUACUUCAAGCAAUUCACGUCGGGUUCACCAAAUAUGUUGUAAUACAUGAAGUCUUGCUUGAAAAUACUCCAAGCACCUGGCUAUGGAAGGAAGAAUAUAAAUUACAAUAAUAAAACCCUAAUUCUAAUAAAAUACUAAUAAUGCUCUAAUUGGACCACAAUAAUGUUAAACAAGCUUAAUCAAAUUCAAAGAAACUUCAAAGAAAUUUUGAACAAAUAAUAGGAAUUCUUAAAGAAAUAUUAGAAGGAUCACAAAUAUCACUCAAAUACAUCUCAAUUCAAUCUUAAUUUAAUCCUAGUUAAAAUCCUAUUGGACUUCAUUCAAACUUUAGGCCAAAAUUAAUUAAAUCUUAAACUCUAAAAAAUCCUAAUAAAAUCCUAAACCAAAUCCUAAUCAAAUCCUAAAUCCAAACCCUAAAUUCUAAACUAAAUCCUAAAUCAAAUCCUAACCAAAUCCUAAACUAAAUCCUAAACCCUAAAUUAAAUCUUAAACAAAUUCUAAACGAAAUCCUAAAUCCUAAAUCAAAUCCUAACUAAAUCCUAAUCAAAUCCUAAUUUAAAUCCUAAAUCCUAAACCAAAUCCUAAAUCAAAUCCUAAAUCCUAAACCAAACCCUAUCCAAAUCCUAAACCAAAUCCUAAUCCUAAACCAAUUCCUAACCAAACCCUAGUAAUUCCUACAACAGAUUUAAACCUCAAUAACUAAUGAAUAAACCAUCGAUCUUAACUCAAAUUUUUCACACUUCUUAAAAAAUUAGUUGAAAAUAAUCACAAAAUUUUUGAAAAGGAUCGAAAUUACCAAAUAUGCGAUAACCUCAAAAACGUGCUCGGGUAUUGGUUGGCCUCCUUCUCCAACCUUAAUGCCAAUCUUCUAGAGCCAAUAUCUCUCUUUUGCAUUGUUUGAUUGAUCUCAAAAUUCUCAUAUACAUAGAAAAAUAAGUUUAAUAUCCUCUUGCAUAAGUUUCACUUCAAUCAAACUAGUAGAUUGCAAGAAAACUCAAAAACCCUCACUAGACCUAAAAUUCUACUUUUUGACACCUUGACCCACUUAAACCUCAAUAUUCCUUAAUUCAACCGUUAGAUCGAGCUCAAAUUUACAACACAUAUUAAAUACAACUAUAACCAUAAAUCUACAAAAUUUCACCCAUAGAUCUAUUACAAAACUUUUGAAAUCACCCAAAACAUAAACCCUAUUUUAUUUCAUAAAACCCAAGUCAUCCAAAAUAAACCUUGACUUUGUAAAGUUCUUACAAAGUCAUAACAACUCCAAAUCACCCAAAAUAAAUUUACAUAGAAACCUUAUUCAAUCUGCUAUCAAACCUCACUCUCUGAUCUACAAAAGAAAUCUGGAGUCGUUGUCGAGACUCCAAAUCACCCAAAAUAAAUUUAUAUAGAAACCUUAUUCAAUCUGCUAUCAAACCUCACUCUCUGAUCUACAAAAGAAAUCUGGAGUCAUCGUCGAGACUCGGUUUUGUACCCUAGGGUUUGAUUUCGAUCCUAGUUCAUAACCGGCCCUCUUCAGAUAUCAAUAUCUAGUUUUUCUAAGUAAUUUUUUCUAGAAUUUAUUCUCAACUUCUUUUUAAAGAUGCCUAUAUCGUUGAUUUUUCUAAUCUACUUUGAUUUGGGUUACUUAUGGUACUACAAAGUAAGUAAGAGUCACCUUUUUAAAAGGUAGCAUUGGUACCUUUUAAUUUUUCUACCCCUUUGACUAUUAACUAUAUUUCUAAGAUAAUUUAUUUUAAUACUUUGAACUAAGAUCUCCUGAGUUAUAAUAAUCUCCUAAAUUAUAAUAAUCUCCACACUCUUUCACCUAUUAGUCGUGUUACAUCACGAUAGCGGGCAGUUUGAUUAACAGCUACAACUCACUAAAGCAUAUUGAUUAGAAUUAAGGCUUAUAUAGAAAAAUAAAAAUUACCUAAUUAUGGAGUAACAAGGAAAUUGGAGUUUAUUUAUGAUUGAAAUUAUUAAAAAGAGUGUUUUUAAGUACUUUUUAUUGGAUUUAAGUACUUUUGAAUUAAAAUUCAAAUAACAUUCUUCUUAUAAGAAUGAAUCAUGUUAAGAUUCUUGCAUACUUGUAAAACACAACCUCACCUUUCACAACCAAAUAUUUGGUGCAUUCUCAAAUAGGACAACAUGUAAUCUAAUAACACAUUUAGAUAAAAAUUUAGCUAAUUUUUUUUACAAAUGUGUAUAACUAUGUCAAAAAGUUAUAUACCAAAUUUUGUUGUAUUUGAAUUUUGGAUUUUUGAAAUACAAAGAAAAUAGUACUCAAGUGCUUGUAAAUUGGGAUUUAGAGUACCCAUUGUCAUGUUGUGAUUUAGCUACCAUGUGAAAAUAAUGUGAUUAUGUAUUUAAUGUAUAAUUUACUUAACAAUAUGGUAAGAGUCAUGUUAUUGGAUUUUAGUUGGUUGUAGAGUGUGGUUAAAUUACUACUUUAAGAGGAGGUUGUUUAAAAAGAUUACUAUUAGAAUUUUAUAACUUUGUUUUCUUUUGAUAGUGGCUUUUGAGAUUGAUAUUGUUGGUAAUAACUUUAAAUAUUUAGAGUCAUCUUUAUUAGACAUUGAUAAUCCUUGAAGUCUUAUUUUGUUUCUUUUUUUUAAUAUUUAGGACAUAUAUUAUAUAAAUCUUAUAAGAGAAAGGAUUAGAAAAGAGUCUUGAUAGCAAAAAAGAGAAGUUAGGGCAUCUAUAUGGAUGAAUGGAGAUAGAUGAUGAAAAUCUCCAUUCCUAUUGGUCAAAAAUCGUGAUCAAUAGACUUCAAGGAGGUUGCCCGAGGGCAUAUUAGAAAUUAGGGUUAUUUUUUUGGAGUCAUUCAAAUUUCGAAGACUAAAUUUAGAUAACUCAAGUUUUUGGCUAUGAUUUUGGUACAAAUCUUGUAUGAUUUGGAAUUUAUAUGAAAGAGAUAUAGGUGCUCAAAGUUAAGGUAUUGAUUUGGGAGCUACUGUCACUCUUUUUGACAUAACGCAUGCGUACGGAGGGCAAUUGAAGAUCGGCAAUUAUAACUGAAGAAAAUACUUUUGCGGCUAUAAUUUUUGUAUAAUACUUGCUAGAUUCCAAAUUGGAAUGAAGGAGAUAUUGGAUUUUGAAGUCAGUGCAUGCAAUCUAAAGGUAGUAAGUAACCCAAUUUACUAGUGGUUGUGUCUUGAGCUAUAUCUUAAGGAAUUUGACAAGAUUUUGGCUCAAAAUUUCAGAAAAUUUGUAUAUUCAUAUUAAUAAACUUUAUACAUAAGUUUAAUGGCAUUUAAGUAUUGAUUUAUGAGAUAUUAAGAAAAUAGUGCUCACGUGCUUGUAAAUUAGGGUUUACAAUAUCUACUAGGAUUUCUUAGAUGUCAAAAGAUUAGAAGUGAAUUUGUUGUUGGUUUCUUUUGUUAUAAAACUUAAGGGUGAAUCCUACUUAUCCUAUAAAUUUGAGACAAAUUAAAUAGUUAGACCAAGAGUUAUGAAUUUUUAAAGUUUGAAAAGAAAAAAUCCUUUGCAGAAAAAAUGUGUUUUGAAGGAAUUUUGCUAUAUUUUGAAUUUUAUGCAAAAUAAAGGAGUUUUGGAAGUUAAGUCAAGAUACAUAUAAAAGUAUAAGCUAAAAUUUCUACAACUAGAUACUUCAUGUAUUCCCAGAUAGCAAAUCAUGUAAUACAACACUACUAGUAUUUUCAAGAUAUUAGAGGAUUGGAAGUAGAUCUAUAGUUGGUUGUUUUUAGUAGUAAAUCUUGAAGAUAUAAGCUAUAUUUUUAAUAAAUUUGAAGAAAUUUGAAUGGUUCAAUCAAGAGAUAUUAGAUUCUAAAGUUUAGAAAAAAAAUUAACUUUUGUAGAUAAAAAAAAUAUAGGAGGUUUUUGGCCACAAGUUUGGAUCUUUUAUAUAAACCAAAGUAUUUUUGGAAGCCAAGAUUUUAUUUAUAUGUUGAAGAUAGAUAUAUAGAGCUAUGAUAAAAUUUUGAUAUAAAGAUAAAUUUUUGAAAGGAGAUUAGAUUUUUUUUAAAAUUAUUGAAAUCCUAACUUAUCAACAAAUGGCUAGUUAUGAUUUGGUAAAAUAAAAGAUGUUAGAGAAUUUUCAUAUGCUCUAAAAAGCCUUAUGUACAAACCUUCUAGAAUAUUAAAGGAUUUUAUUAGUAGAAUAUUUUUUCUUAUUAUUUUUUUUUUUAUUAUUUUAUUAAGAAAAAUUUACUUAUUGGAGCUUAGCCAAUAAUUUAAAGCUAAAAAUUCUAAAAUUAUAUACCUACUGUAUUCUUAGAUCAUAAAUUAUAUCAUACAACAAUGGAUGUACAUAGACUAUUGAAGACUUAAUAAAAUAACCAUUAAGAAUAAGUAUUCUUUAUCUUUGAUUUAAUAACUUAAAAAAUUUAAUUAAAUAAAGAUUUUUAUAAAAAUAGAUCUAUAAGAAGCAUACAAUCUUGUCUGCAUUAAAAGAGGAUAUGAAUAAAAGAUUACUUUUUGAAUUAGAUAUAGACAUUUUAAAUAUAAUGUCAUGAUUUUUGGACUUGCAAAUGUAUCAAUCACUUUUUAACAUCUUAUCAAUGAUGUUUUUUUGUAAAUUCCUUGAUGAUUUUGUAAUCUCCUAUUUAGACAAUAUUUUAAUUUACUCUAAGAAUAAAAAAAAGAUGAAUUUUAUAUUUUUUGUGUGUUAUUUAAAAAUAUGAGAUUAUAUAUUAAGAUGAAAAAGUGUGUAUUCUAUACUAUUCAAGUUGACUUCCUAAUGUACAUCAUUUCCAACAAAGACCUUAUGAUGGAUCUCAAGAAGGUCCAAACUAUAAUAGAUUAGAAGAUCCUCAAAAUAAUAAAAGAUAUAUAAUAUUUUUUAGACUUUGUCAAUUACUAUCAGAUCUUCAUCAAGAAUUUUUUUCAAGUUACAAUUCUAUUUAAAUAUUUAACUUGUAAAGAAAAAUUUUAUUAGAAUAAAGAAGCCAAAGCAUUGUUUGAUGUUUUGAAGAAAGAAUUUAUUUUUGCACCAAUACUAUAUCAUAUCAACUUUUUCAAGGCAUUUUUUAUGGAAAUAAAUGCAUCAAAAUUUGUUUUGAGUGUGGUAUUAUAACAAUUAGGAAUAGAUGAUAAAUUCUAUUUAAUCGCUUUCUAUUCUAAAAAAAAUUAAUAUUAAAAAUCAACUAUAAAAUCUAUAAUAAAAAACUUCUUUUAAUUGUAGAUUCUUUUAAAAAAUAGAGUCAUUAUUUAAAUGACACUUCUAGUCUAAUCACCAUAUAUAUAGAUUGCAAAAACCUUAAGUGCUUCAUGUCAACAUGCAUGUUGAAUUGUUACUAGACUUGUUAGAGAAUGUUAUUAUCAAGAUCACAUAUCAACUUAAAAAACAAUAAGGUUUGUCAAAUAUACUUUCUAGGCAUUCUUAUCUUAUAUCAAAAGAAAGAGAUACAGAUUUUAAUCAACAAAGAAUAGUCAUCUUAAGGCCUAAGCAAUUUCAUCUUCAAGCAAUAAAAAUAAUAUUGAUUAUUGAUUCAAUAUUUAUCAAGCAAAUUUAAUCAAGUAUAUCCUUUGAUUUUCUUAUUUAUGAUGUCAAGUAUACUUCUUUUAAGUCUCAUGAUACUUUUAAGUUUGAAUUUAAGAACAACUUAUUCUAUUUUGAAGAUUGCUUAUAUGUUCCAAAAAGAUAAGUAUAUUUAUGUAUUUUUCAAGCUCAUCAUUACUUUCUAGCAUUAGGAUAUUUUAAAUACAAUAAGAUUUUGGAACUAAUAUUGAAAGAUUUUUAGUGGCUACAAAUACAAAAGGCUAUGAAAAACUUUAUAUAGUCAUGUGACAUUUAUUCAAGGUCAAAAACUCUUCAUCAUCAAUCUUAUAGACUUCUACAACCAUUGUCUAUACCAAAACAACCAUAGUCUUGUAUUUUUAUAAAUUUUAUUAUGAAUCUUUCAAGUUCAAGUUUAAAUAAUUUUAUAUUUAUAAUAAUAGAUCAUUUCAAAAAAAUAAUAUAUUUAAUAUCAUGUACAAAAUUUAUUUUAGAUAAAAAUAAAUAAAAAAAAAAAAAAAAAAAAAAUCUUUGAUAAUAUCUAUUGCUAUCAUGAAUUAUCAAUAGAUAUUAUAUUAGAUAGAAGUAUACAAUUUAUACUAAGAUUUUGGAAAAUUCUUUUUAAAGUACUAAAGGUGGAUAUAAAAUUAUCUUUGGUCUUUUAUCCUUAAACUAAAAAGACAAAAAAAAUAGAUGAAUCAAAUUCUAGAGCAAUAUUUGAGGUGUACCAUCAAUUAUCAUUAAAUCAAUUGAAAAAUUCUUUUGCCAUUGGUAGAGUCUGUAUAUAAUAAUUUAGUACAUUUGUGUACUCAACAAAUACCUUUCUUUAUCAAUUUUGAUUAUCAUCUAUAACUUGAUACUUUUGACUUUUUAAAAAUUGAUAAUCUUGUAAUAAAAGAUUUCGCACAUUGCUUUGCAGAAUUAUAUGUAAUAAUAAAGACAUAGUUAAAAGAAGCUCAUGAAUGACAAAAGAUUUAUCUUAAAGAUAUAUAAGAAUUUUAAAUAUUUUUAUCACAUUUUAGAUGUUUUUUGAUACUUAGGACUUAUGUAUUGAUAUAAUUAUUCCUAUAGAAAAAAAAUUAUAUAUAAACUUUAUAUUUUUUUAAUCUUGAGACUUGAUUGAGUAAUUAGUGAUAGUUAAAAGCUUAAUAAUUUCUUGAGGCAACUCUCUCUAUCUCAACAAUGGAUGCCAAUUGCAAGAAACAACCACAAUUCAAUAUGGAUGAUAAUGUGUGGUUACUUCAUUGCAAUAUCAAGACUAUUUGUCCUUGUGACAAAUUGGAUUAUUGUAAGCUUAGACUCUUUCCUAUUUGUGAAUGAAUCAUUUUAGUUACUUAUUAAUUAUAUCUAUUGGAAUUAAUGAAGAUCCAUUUAAUGUUCCAUAUGUCUCUUCUUAAGCCAUAGAAGACAAUUGAUACAUGAGAAAGACAAUAAGUGCUAUCUUUUCUUAAAAAAAUGGAUAAUAAUGAAGAGUUUGAAGUUGAAGAAGUCUCAGACUUAAGGUAGUGUAAAAAUAGGUUAAAAUAACUUAUUCAUUGAAGUGGAUAUAAUAUUAGUGAAUAUACAUAGGAGCCAACUAAGAAUCUUAUAAAUGCAAUGAAGAAGGUGGAUAUUUUUUAUUAAUAACAUUGAUCAAAAUUAAGAUGAAAGAUAUUAAAUCUUUGCUAUAAAAGAAUUAUAUUUUAAAAAAGAUUGCAUUCAAUCUUCUAUCCUUGUUUAUAAUUUUUAUAUAUUUUUGAUACUAAAAAAAUAAAGAAUCAAUCUCUACCAAAUUUAAUUUAGGAAAAAUCAUUUGCUGACUUAUUGGAUAAGACAUUGCAAUUAUCAUAGCCUUUAAGAUGACAUAAUUGAGAUAAAGAACUUUAAAAAUGAUAUAUUCUUCUUUAAAUAAAUAGUAAGAUAUAAUACACUUGGUAUCAUGAUAUUAGAGAAGACUCUCAAUAUUUGGUGAUUUUAUUGGAGAUAAGAAUGACUCUUGAUGGUAUUAUAAUUUUUUUGUUUGAAGAAAGUUACAAAGGCUAUAAUAAUGAUCAAAUAACAGAGUAGUCUUUUCACCUAGAAUGGAAUAUUAUUAGUGGCUGAGAGGACCUAUCAACUAUUUUUAAAUGAAAUAACAAUCAAAGUAUAUAAAAAAUAUAAUUUUCCAUAUUUUAGAUUUUUCAAUAUGUAAUCACUACUCUUUGUGGAACUUAUCUUUAGAACGAGGAUAAUGUUAGGAACAUAUCUAUAAUUAUCCAAAUAAUAUGAAUAGCUAAAAGUAGAAGUAAGUUAAUUUGAUAAUAUCUUAAGAAAAAGUUUCUUAAAAGCUUUAUAGAUGUGACUUCAUCUUUAUAUAUGUCUAUAUGUAAUUAAUAGAUUAAAAACUUUGCCAACAAGUUAGCCAUGUAUUACAUGUAUUGGUAACUUGAAGUAUAAGCUAACAAAGUCGUAUACAAGUUUAGACAUAUGUCUUAUAAAUUGUCAUUAAUACCAAGAAAUAUUAUAUUAAAUAAAAGAUCUUGAUUUGUAUUAAGAUUAAAGAACUUUUUUUAAGAUACUAAAAAUUGACAUAAAACUAUUUUUGACUUUUUACUUUCAAAUUAAUAGACAAAAAAAAUAAGUAAAUCAAAUAUUUGAGAAGUAUCUAAGAUACACCAUCAACUACUAUUAAGAUGAUUAGAUAAAUAUUUUGCUAUUGGAAAAGUUUUUCUAUAAUAAUAUGAUAUAUUUUAUAUUUAAGAAUCACAAUUUUAUGUUAAUCAUGGAUAUUAUUUAUAAUUUGAUACUUUUGAAUUUUUAAAAGUUGAUAAUCUUAUAAAAAAAGAUGUAGAAUUUUUUUAUCAAAGCUAUUUAUAAUAGUUAAGGCAUAAUUAAAAGAAGAUUAAGAAUAAUUAAUUAAUUAAUAUAGAUGCCUAACACAAGAAAUAAUUUUAAUUAUAUAUUAGCAAUAAGAUAUGAUUAUAUUUCAUAAUAUCAAGACUAUAUGUUCUUUAAUAACUUUAAUUAUUAUAUAAUUAAAUUAUUUUUUAAUAAAAAAAUAUUAAUCUAUUUAUAUAAUAAUUACACUUAUCAAAGUCUAUAAAGAUCCAUCUUACAUUUCAUAUGUUUCUUCUUGAGCUAUAAAAAAAAAUGAAUAUAAAAAUAUGUAUAUAUAUAUAUAUAUAUAUAUAUAUAUAUAUAUUGUUUCUUCCUAUUAAAAUAGACAACAAUUAAGAAUUUGAGGUUGAAGAGUUCUUAGAUGAAGGUAGCGCCAAAAUAGGUUAAAAUAUCUUGUACAUUGAAACAAAUAUGAUAUUAAUAAAUGAACAUAUGAGACAUUUAAGAAUCUUACAAAUACAAUAGAGAUGAUCAAUAGUUUUUAUUAAAAAUAUCCAUCAAAAUCAAGAUGAAGAGUAAAGAAGAUCUUUGCUAUAAAAUAAAGUAGAUUGAAUGAAGAUUGCAUUCUAUCUUCUAUCCUUGUUUGUAGUUUCUUUGUAUUUGUAGCAUAAAAGAGAUGAAGAAUGAAGAACCACUAAAUCAACUUAGAAAAUAUUAUCUAUUGAACUAUUAGAAAAAAUAUUGAUAAUUUUACAACCUUCAAAAUGAUGUAAUAAAAAUGAAGAUUCUUAAGAAAAAUAUAUUUUUUAUUGAAUAUAUAGUAAGAUACAACAUGAUUAAUAUCACAAUCAUAGAAGAAACUUUUAAUGUUUGAUAAUAAAGUUAUAAGUAGAAACCACUCUUUAUAAAAUUUAAAAUAUUUUAUUAAAAAAUAUUUAUGAAAGCUUCAAUAAUGAUCAAAUAGUAGGGUGGUCUUUUUGCCUUCAUAUAAGAUAUUAUUGAUAGUUAAGAUGACCUAUCAACUAGGGAUCUACUUGGAAAAUAUCUAAAUAGUAGAUAAAAAUAAAAAUAUAUAUUUCAAAGAAAAUUUUGUGGUAGAUAGAAUGUUAAAGAAUAUUUUAGAUAUAUCUAAUCAAUAAAUAUAAUAAUGAACUGAUGGAAGUUGUUUUAAUAUCCAAGUUUUUAUCUUUCUUAUUAUUUUAUCUUAUAUUUUUAACUAUUAAUUUUUAGCUCACUUAAAGAAAAGGAGAUGAGCAUCAAUUAGAGAGUCUAGUGAAAAAAAAAAAAAGUAAGAUAAGUUAAAUGUGUCAUUAUUUAAGACCUUAUUGCUUUGAUUUUUUUAAUUAUUCAUCUAUUUUUUUUUAUAAUAGAAAUGGUGGAAUUUAUAAAUAUAAAGUUAUUAAUUCUUUUGUAUUUAUAAUUUUAUUUUAUAUUUAGUUUUUUAUUUUUCUUAUUAGAAUUAGAACAAAACUUUAAGGCUUAUGUAUAACUUAUAAUUUAUACUUUUAAAGAAAUUAUAAGUUGGUUGUUUAAAUAGUCUAUAUUAAGGUGUAUCAACAAGCAUAUAGAAUUGAUUGGAGCAUUGUCAAUCUUGCUAUUAUAGCUUUAGUAGAUAGAAAGCCAUUUUUGUAAGAAACAAUAAAGAAUAACAUAUAAUACUAAUAAUAGUAUUAUAUUUUUUAAAUGAUAAUCAAUGGAUGAAACAAGUUAUAAAAUAAUAGGCUAUAAUGAAUUUAAAAAACUUGUUCUUCUUUUAAAAAAAACAUUGGAUGCAAAAUAUCAAAGAUAAAAUAUUUGACAUGUCUAUUUUGAAGAAUCAACAAUAGAUUGUUCGAAAUUUUAUCAACUCUAAGUAAUACUUACUUUGAAGGUGAUAACUUUAAUACAAGCAUUGUGGAUUAGCAAGUUGCUAAUUUCAAGAAGAUUGAAAUAGCAAACUUAUUGAAGAAUAAAGAAGUUGUAUAUAGAUUGAUGGUGAUUGUAGCAAAGGCAAAGAUAAGGUUGUUUUUUCUAACUCCAAUAAGCCUUGGCUAUGCACUCAUUAUUACCACUAGUAAUGAGUAGACAUAUAUUGACAUAAUAUUAGAGUUUGAAGAAAUGUGCUUAAAUAGCCUCUUAUUCUCAUUUCUCUUCCUUGUUUUUUAUCUCUUAUUUCUUUUUUAUAGUCUUUGUUUCUUAUUUUUUUUCUUUCAUUCCUUAUCUCUCAUUUUAAAGACUCUCUCCUUCUCUUCUCCUUCUAUUCUUAUGCAUAUCUUCUAUUUCUUGAUGCCUAGUAUUUUUUAUAAGAAAUUAAUAUAAAUUAAUACAUUUUAUCUCUGAUUCUUUUAAGUUCCAUGCAUUAUAAUGUCAUGGACAUACAUAUUUGCUCCAAUAAUUACCUACAUAAUAUGAAUAGAUAGACUUAAAUUAAAGUAAAUAAAUUAGAUAAUAUCUUAUAAAAUAGGUUCUUAGAAGCUUUAUAGCCAUGUCUUUAUCCAUAUACAUGUCUAUAAUUGAUUAAUAGGUUAAACACUUGGCCAACUUAUUAGCCAAAUAUCACACAUAUUGAUAAUUUGUGAUGCAAGUUAGAUAUGUGGCGUACAUAUAAGAAGCUUAUUUUAUAAGUUAGAUAUGUGUCAUGUAAGUUGGACAUAUAUUUGAAGCCUUAAAAAGCGUUCAUACAUAGCUCUUAAUUAAAUAGUAUAUAUAGAGGCAAGAAUGAGGCCUUCCUCACUCUUAUCAAUUCUUUUCUUACUUCUAAUUUAGUUUCAAGGAUACUUAAUUUUCUUGUUUUUUAGAAAUAGCCAUUUUAGGAUUUUUUUUUAAUAUAUAUAUUUUAUCAUAUUUUUUAAAAAAAAUAUCUCAUUUAUUUAUUUGCAUUCAUCAAGUUUUUAUUUUUGAAAAAUUAAUAAGAGUGCACUUAUAAUAUUAAAAAAUUAUCUUUUUUUAAUUAAAAAUAGAUUAUUAUUUUUUUAAUAAGACAUAAAUAUAUUAGAAUUUUUGGAUUAUUUACUUCUAAAUUGAUAUUAUUCUUAGUAUUUUUUUUGUUCUCAAGUCUUUUUAUCUACUUGUCUUGAGGAAUAUUACACAUCUCUUUUUUAAUUAUGUUAUCAUGAUAAUGCUUAUUGAAAUACAGUAUAUAAUAGCACAAAUACAAAAGUAAUUAAAAGAAUUAAUACUUACAAUACAUCAACUUAAUGUAACACCAUAAGAAGCAACAAGAUUGGCAGAAAGUAAAGAUAUUUACAUGAUUGGAGCUGCUUUAGUAUCUAAAUCAAAUAUAUUACUUUUUUUAUGAUAAAAAAUCUUUCAAAUAUUAAAGAACCAAGAAUUGCCUUACCUAAGAAGUUUAAUGGUAAAAAACCAAAAAUUUGAGGAUUCAUCAAUCAAAUAUAAUUGGUGAUUGAAAUUCAACCUCAAAGCUAUCAAACUAAAGGAUCACAAGUCAAAUUUAUUGAAAUAUUACUUUCAGAUUUUGCUUUAUCUUAAUUUUUAUCUUUUUUUUUAAUAAUUUUAUUCAAUAUUGAAUACUUUGGAGAUUUUUUUCAUAAAUUUUUAAUUCAUAUAUUAAAAAUAUGAUAUAAUUAAUAUUUCAAAUAUUAAUUAUUAAUAAGAUUAAUAUUUUAUGGAAAAAUAAUUAAUUCAUAAUAUUAUAUACUUCAUAAUUUUGAAAACUUGUAAUUAAUAUUGAGUGAAAUAAUAUUAUAUUUAUUAGCCAAUUUCUCUACAGAUUACAAUAUGACAUAAAGAAAUUAAUGCUAAACUUACUUAAUUCUCAAACAUUAAUUCAAGCAAUUGAUUUUGCUAUGAAGUCUCAAAAUCAGCUUUUGAAUUUUUAUUUGAAAGUUAUACAAUUUAACUCUAAUAUUUUUAUAAUUUAAUAGCAAUAUCAAUGCAUUUUCAACAUAUAUAUUUGAAAGUAGAAGACAUGUAAAUUAAUAAAAUACAUUUCAAACCUAUUAUUGAGCAAGAAUAGACUUAUUGUCAUUAAGAAGGAUUAUACUUAUAUUAGAGAGAACCUAAGCAUACUACUCAAUAUUGUCUAAAGAAGCAAUAUAAUCACAAAAUAAAGAAUAUGGCUAUCAUUAAAGAUAAUAUGUCAAAAAAUAAGUUUUUUCAGCUAUAAUAGGAACCAUUGUUGUAAUACAUGUGGCCUUGUUUGAAAAUGCACUAGGCACUUGGCUAUGAAAGAUGAAGUUGUGUUUUAUAAAUAUCCAAGAAAUCUUAAUAGGUUUUAUCUAUAUAAGAAGAAUGCAUUUCGAAUUUGAAUUCAAAAGUACUUAAAGUCAAUACAAAGUGCUCAAAAAUAUUCUUCUUCAUAAUCUCAACUAUACAUAAACUCCAAUUGACUUAUUACUUUUAUAAUUAGGUAAUUUUGAUUUUUCUUUGUAAGUCUUAAACUUAAUCAAUAAGCUUUGGCAAAUUGUAUUUCCUAAUUUGAUUAUCUGCUUAAUUUAAAAUUUUGUAUAAAAAUGCUAUUAUAAACCUUCUAUAUGUUUAGAAAAAUUUAAUUCAAUUAAAUUUAUAGAUGGUAAAAAAAAAUCUAAUAACUCUAUUAAUGUUACUUGACCAUCUACUUGAAAGUUGAUGCAAAUAUUCUAGUAGUGAUUUCUCCCUUUUUAAUUAUUAACUUUAAUUCAAAAUUGGUCUAUAGCUUGAUUUUAAAGUCUUCUUCUACUAUGCUAAUUUUUACCUUGAUUCAACUAAUAGAUCUUUAAAUAUCAUAGAAAUCCUACUCAACUCUAAACUACCAACUUUUGAUAUGCUCUUAUAUCAAAACCUAGAUAUCUCUCAACCACACUAUUAGAUUAAUACAAAAUUUUAUAUAAAUUUAGCACAUCCAAUCAACUAAGCAUUGUUAAAUUUUAAUCUAUAGAUAUGACACCAACUGCAUGAAUUAGUUGAGAGUGCUAGCCCUAUUUAUAUUAUAUAAAUUCCAAGUCACCAAUAUGAGUCCUAAUUUUGAACAAAAAUUACAAAGUCAUUUCAAAUCCUAUAAAAACUAACCUGAUACAUUUGAAAUAAGCUUAAAGCUAGCUCAUGAAUUCCAAUUUUUGAUCUUUGAAUUAAUUCUUAUUUUGCCUUAGGCAGCCGUUUUAGUGGCUGGAAGUCUGAUUUUGACCUUGUCCCACAAAUACUCGACCCUUGAGUACCAAUUCAAUUUAUUCUAGGAUUUUUUUUAGUCUGACCCUAAUUUCAAUUUAAUUUUAAUAUCAACCAUACUAAUUAUUUACCUCUUUUAUUCUAUUUUUAUUAAUUUAUGGCCUUUUUAAGAUACUAAAAAAAAUUCUAUAGUUUAAAAGGUAAAAUUAUUGAUCAACCUUUAAUCUAAUAGCUAUUAAGAUAAGAAAAUAAAUUAAGAGGCUUUUAUAAAAGCCACAUUUAAAUGACUUGAAUUACUAUUGAAUCAAGAUGAUUAGAUAUUAAUUAAAAUUAUAUUUUUUAUCAUAUAGUUGUAUUACAACAUGAUAUCAUGUGGUUGAGAACUUGUACAAUACCUAAUGAAGGUCUUAUUCUCUCCUAAGAACGUUCUUUUUAUUUUAUAAUAGAUAUUAGUUUAGGACCUAAAUAUCACAAAGUCUAUACUUAAUAAAUUCAAGAAUCUUUUUUUAUUUUAUAGAUGAAGAAUUUGUUGAAAGUCAUCAUAUAUUUUUAAUAAAAAAACUAAAUCAAUACAUGUAGAACUCAUAAAUAUUUGUUUGUUGUCUUUUAGAGAUAUUAUCUAUAAAAUUCUUUCUAUAAAAGUAAUAACUAAUAGUCAUAAUAAUUUGUAAUAUUUAAUAUUAUUACAUCUUUAUCUAAUCUAAUUAUUUUAGGUUUAUCAUGGCUAAAAAAGUAUAACCUUAAAAUAAAUUGGAUUAAUUGUAGUCUUGACUUUUUUGAGAGUGUAAUUAAGAGUUUUUUUAACCAUGUAAAAAUUCAUAAGUCUAAUACAAUCAAACUCGUAUUUAUAAAAAUAAGAACUCUUUUAUAUGUUUUAAAUGAAGAAUCACCUUGUGUUAUUUAUGCCACACUUAUUUUCGAAUGGUAGAAAGACUUUAAAUGGUAUUCUAAGUCAAUAUUAAGAUUAUUAAAAUAUUUGUGGAAAAAAAAAUGUAGAUACUCUUUUAGAAUAUUGGCCCUCAAAUUAUUCAAUUGACCUUUAUGAAGAAGCUCUAUUACUAUGUAGAUCAAUCUAUAAUUUAUUAUAAAAUGAGUUAGUUAAAUUCAAGGAGUAUAUUAAUGAGAAUUUAGCUAAGUAUUUUAUAUGCCAUUCAAAAACUCUUAGAGAGGCUUUUAUCUUAUUUAUUAAAAUAAAAUAAAAUAAAAAUAAAAAUAAAAUAAAUAAAAUAAAAAAUGAAUCAUUGUAGAUGUGUGUAGAUUAUCAAGGACUUAAUAAGAUUAAAAUUAAGAAUAGGUAUCUUCUAUCUUUGAUAUCCAAACUUCUUGAUUAAUUAAAUUAAGCCAAGAUCUAUACUAAAAUAGAUUUAUAAAGAACAUAUAAUCUAAUAUGCAUCAAAAAACAAAAUCAAUAGAAGAUUUGUUUUUAAAAUAGAUACAAGCAUUUUAAAUAUAAUGUCAUGCCUUUUGGAUUCACAAAUAUAUUAGAUAUUUUUUAACAUCUAAUAAAUGAUGUCUUUUGAAAAAAAAUUGAUAACUUUAUUGUCUGUUAUUUAGACAAAAUUUUAAUCUAUUCUAAGGAUACAAAAGAGUAUAAGUUUCAUAUUUUUUUAAUGUUAUAAAAACUUAAAGAUACAUGAUUAUACACCAAGAUAGAAAAGUGUAUAUUUUACACUAUUGAAGUUGACUUCUUAUGAUACAUCAUUUCAAAUGAUGGCCUUAUGAUAGAUUCUAAAAAUGUCCAAACUAUCAUAGUUUGGAAGAUUCUUAAAAAAAUAAGAUUUGACUAAUUUUUUUUAAAAUUUAUCAAUUAAUAUUGGAUCUUCAUCAGGAAUUUUUUUCAAGUUGCAAUUUUACUUACACAUUUGACUUGUAAAGGUAAAAUUUAGUAGAAAAAAAAAUUGAAGUAUCUUUUAAAGCUUUAAAGAUAAUUUUUAUUUUUGCACUAAUCUUAUAUUGCAUCAACUUCUCCAACGCAUUCUUCAUAGAAAAAAAUGCAUCAAACUAUAAUUUAUAAAAUCUUCUACAAAAAAUUCAUAUUAAAUAUAGAUUUCUAAAUUAUAUUAUUGUAAUUUUAUAUAAUCUAUUUAAUAUCUUAUGAACAAUAUAACAAGUCUUUAACAAUCAAGUCUUUAUGUGAUAUUAUAGAUCUUAUAAUUGAACUUCAUUGUGGACUUUCUUUUAAGCACAAUAUUGUCACAAAUAGGAAUAAAUGACAAACUUCAUUAUAUUGAUUUUUAUUUUUAAAACUUUUUAGAAAUUAAAAUCAAUUAUCAAAUCUACAACAAAGCAUUUUUUGUAAUUAUAGAUUUAUUUUAAGAAUAGCACUAUUAUCUAGAAGACUUUUUAAGUCCAUUGAUUAUUUAUAUAAAUCAUAAGAACCUUAAAUAUUUCAUAUUAGCACGUAUCUUAAAUUAUUUUUAGGUCUAUCAAAAUAUAUUUUUCUCAAAAGUUGAAUUCAAGAUUACAUAUUGGCUAAAAAAAUAAUAAGAUUUAUUAUAUGUCUUUUAUAGACGUUCUUAUAUUGUGACAAAAAAAAAUGUAACUUUUAAUUAACAAAGAACUAUUCUCUUAAAGUCAAAAUAAUUUCAUCUUUGAGUAAUAAAAGCAAUAAUAAUUAUUAAAUCAAUUUUUCUAAACUAAUUUAAUCAAGUAUGUCUUUUAAUUCUCUUAUUUAUAAUAUAAAGUUUUUUUUUUUUUAAAUCUCAUCAUACUUACAAGUUUGAAAUCAAUAACAAUCUAUUCUAUUUUAAAGACACUUAUAUGUUUAAGAAGGUGAAGUAUAACUACAUGCUCUUCAAGCUUGUUACAAUUUUUUAACUACAUAAUAUUUUGGAUUGUGAGUCCCACCAAUGGAUCUUAAUUGAUGGAUUAGUUAAAAAUAUAGUAUUGAGUCAUUUAAUGAGAUAAAUACUAAGAUUAGAGAGUCUUUUUGACUAUUUACAUAGUAUUAGAAUUUAGAAGUAUUUAUAAGUAUAAACGUCUUAUUAGAAGAAAAGUUACAAAAAUGGAGUCUUAGUAAGUCUUAGAGGUAAUUAUCUUAGUUGAUUUAGUAUUUUCACUCAUUAUUGAAUAUUAAUGAUUAGUAAUUGAGACCAAUUUCUAUACUAGCCUCAUAUCUAUAUGUAUUACUUACAAAAAUCCUAUCAAUGAUUAGUUAAUAGUUAAAAGAAGCAUGAAAAAGAACUUCAUGUCUUUUAAGUUACAUAUGUAAAAAAUAGGAUUUUUAGUAGAUUUAAAUUUAUUUUAUUACUAUAAAAAUCAAAAAAAAUAGAAAAAUACAGUAUUUUAUGGAUAUUAGUAUUAUAAAAAUAUUAUAUAAUGUUUUAGAAUUUAUUUAGGAUUUUUUUAUGAAUUUUUAGAGAAAAUUUUAAGAUCUUGGUAAAAUUGAGUUUUAUCACCUUGAGAGCCACUAAGAAGAAAUGAAACAAGAUUUGAAGACUAUACAAGGAUUUUAUGCUAAUUAGGUAUUUUUGAACAUCAUGGUGAAGUUAAAAAUACAAAAAAUUAGUUUUACUAGUAGAAAAUAGGAGGACCAGCAACUAGUAUAGUCCUUGUUUGAAGAGAGGUGCACAAUUUCUAUAUGGGUUGUAGCACCUUAGGUAUAGGUAGGAAGACAAGACUAAGGCCUCAAGGCCUCUUUAGAAAACCAAAAUACACUACUUGUAAGCCUUAGUGAAGUUCGAACUCCUAAUUUCUUAAGCAAGUUAUCCUUGAGAUAAAAAUUAUUCACUUAAUUUUUCUAUUAUUUACAUUCUAUCUUUAAUCUAUCAUAAUUUACUCAUAGUAACUUAAAAUUACAUGAUUUUUAUGUCAUUGAAAAGAUUAAAAAAUUACAUAUCUAAAAAUAUAGUUUUUACUUUUUAUUUUUAUUUUAACUAUGUAAAAACCUAGAGAACAAACUAUGACUAGUUUUGUAGUGUACAAUUGCUUGAUUGCACUUGUUUCACUUGUUUGGUGUUGUCCUUCUUUGUUCCUUGUUUAUUGCUACUUCUACUUCUCACCACCAAUUACAAGCAACUCUUAAUUGAGGCCAUCUUGUAGUUUGAGAUGAAAGAAAAAUUUACCCUCACAUAGAUAUAAUAAGACCUUAGAAUUGAUCUGAAGAGAUUUUGGGUAGUUUUAAAUGUAAAAAAUAAUAAAAGGCUUUGUACAAUCAUAUGAUAUUUAUUCAAGAUCAAAAACUCUUUUUUAUUAAUCUUACAACUUCUAUAAAUACUAUCUAUAUCAAAAUAACUAUAAAAUUUCUAUUUAUAUGGAUUUUAUGACAAAUCUUUCAACCUUAAGUUUAUAUGAUUUUAUAUUCAUGAUAGUAGUUCUUUUUACUAAUAUAUUUUGUAUCAUGUAUAAAAUCUAUUACUAAUAAAGAAAUAACUAAGCUUUUCUUUGAUAACAUCUAUUUCUAUCAUAGAUUAUCUAAGGAUAUUAUAUCUAAUAAAAGAACUCAAUUUAUAUCAAGUUUUUAGAAGAUUCUUUUUAAAAUAUUAAAUAUAGAUAUAAAAUUAUCAUUGAUUUUUCAUCCUCAAAUGAAUAAACAAAUCAAAUGGGUGAAUCAAGUUCUGGAGCAAUAUUUGAAGUAUACUAUCAAUAACAAUCAAGAUGAUUCAACAACUUUUUUUCUAUUAGUAAUUUUUUUUUAUAAUAAUAUAAUACAUUAUUCUAUUUAAUAAACAUAUUUUUAUGCUAAUCAUGGUUAUCAUCCAUAAUUUUAUAUUUUUGACUUCUCAAAAAUUGAUAAUCAUACAACAAUAGAUUUUACAAAUUUUGUAUUAGAAUUACAUACAAUAAUGAAGGUACAAUUAAAAGAAACUAAAGAACAAUAAAAGAUCAAUGUAAAUUCCUAUUAAAAAAAAAAACUUAAAUUUCAUGUUGGCAACAAGUUAUAGUUACUUUAUUAUAAUAUUAAGACUAGCUAUUAUUGUGAGAAGUUGGAUUAUUGUACACUUGGAACAUUCUUUAUAUGUGAAUAAAUUAAUCUAGUUGCAUAUGAAUUAUACCUACCAAAGUCUAUGAAGAUCCAUUAUAUAUUUCAUGUGUCUUUUUUUGAACCAUAUAAGAUAAAGAAUUUAUUUAAAAAAAAAACAAAUACCAUUGGCUUUUGUAGAAAAGAAUAAUAAUUAAGAGUUCAAAGUGGAAGAGGUUUUAGAUUCAAGGCAAUGCCUACUGAGGUUAGAAUAUAUUAUUCAUUGGUGUAGAUAUGAUAUUAACAAAUGCACAUAGGAGCAAACAAAAAAUCUUAAAAAUAUAAAGAAAAAAAAAUAAAAAAAUAAAAAAAAAUAAAAAAAAAUCAAAGCUUUUUAUCAAUUGCAUCUAUCAAAAAAAUGAAGAGAUAAGCAAUUCCUUACUAUAAAAGAAAGAAUGUUUAGGAUUUAGGAUUUAGGAUUUUUGAAUAGGAUUACAUUGUCACAGCCUUCAAGUCAAUGUAAUAGGGAUAAAAUAAUAUUUUUUUUUUGAAUAGAUGGCAAGAUACAACAUAUUUGGUAUCACAAUUUCAAUAGAGACUUCAAAUAUUUGAUAAUUUUAUUAGAGGUAAAAAUGACUCUUGAUAGUAUUAUUCAUAUUUUAUUUGAAAGAAGUUACAAAGGCUUCAAAAAUAAUCAAAUAACAUGGUGGUCUACCUACCUUAGAAUAUGACAUUAUUAAUGGCUAAAAAAACCUAUUAACUACCUUCAAAAGAAAUAAAAAUUAAAGUAUGUGGAAAAUAUAUUUUAUUAGAUUUUGAACUUCUUCAAUAUGUAAUUAAUGCUCCUUAUGGAACUUGUCUUUAGAGAGGAGAGAAAUAUCACAGAUAUACAUAUUUAUUUUAAUAAUUAUCUAGAUAAUAUGAAUAAAUAGAAGUAGAUUAAAAUUAAUAAAUUUUAUAAUAUCUUAUAGAAAAUCUUUAUAAAAGCUUUAUAGACACAGUUGUGCAUUUAUACAUAUCUAUAGGUAAUUAAUAACUUAAAGUUUUGGCCAAAAAGUUGACUAAGUGUUAUACAUGUUGAUAAUUUAUGAUACAAGUUAGACAUGUAGUGUGUAUAUAUAUAUAUAUAUAUAUAGAUGAAGUUAGACAUGUAUCAUGCAAGUUGGAUAGGUAUUGAAGGAUUUAUAGAGCAUUGCUACAUAAUUCCUAAUUAGAUAAUAUAUAUAGAGGCAAAAGUGAGGCCUUCUUCAUUCUUGUCAAAUUCUUUCUUGCUUCUAAUUUAGUUUCAAGGAUCUUUAGUUUUCUUGUCUUUUGGCAAUAUCUAAUUUAGUUUAUUUUUUUAUUAUAAAUAUUUAGUUUUUUUGUUAUAUUUUUUAAAUAAAAGUCUUAUUUUUUUAUUUAUAUUCAUCAAAUUUUUAUUUUUAACACAUAAUAUGUUGAUCAAUUUAUGAAAUCUUAUUGAAAAUCUUUACAAUCUCUUUUUAAUAUAACUAAAGAUAUGGCAUAUGUAAUCAAUACUAAGGAAGACAAAACGUUGAUUCUUACAUUAUUAAUAAUAGAACAUCUGAUGCUUCCAACAAUAGUUAAGAAAGGAAUAAUGUUAUGUAGUAAUAUGGCCAUUUGAUUAAAAUAUAUAUAUAUAUAUAUAUAUAUAUAUAUAUAUAUAUAUGUUUUUCAUUAUAGAAUAGCCUAAUUAAAAAGAUAUAGUAAAAAAACAUAGAUAAAAAAUAGGCAAGUAGUAAAAUCUUAUAGUAUUAAAAUUACUUUUUAUGAAAAAAUAUUGUACUUAUUUUAUAUUACCAUAAAUAAGAUAAAUAAGGUAGAUUAGAAAAAUAAAGAAUAUUAACACAUAUAAAGAGUUAGGAGUUGAUUUAAAUAAAAAUUACCUUGAGAAAAUAAUAAUUAAUACCCAAUAAGGACCAAUUGCCAACCAGAGUCAAAAUUAGACCCUAAGGCACAAAAUCAAGUACCUAUAUUAUUUUUGGGAUUCCUUUGUCAAUCAAAGAGUGGAAUUUGAGAGCAAACUUGAGAAGAGAUUUUUGAAAGUUGGUUUCAUAUCAUGUGGAUUAAUAUAGAUAUUUUUAGGGAUUUUCAAAGUUAGUAAUAUACUCAAUGGAUUUAGAUUUUGAGAAAUAAAAAUAUAUUUACAAAUUUGAAGGUUUUGUAAGUUUUAUUGCAUAUUUAUAGAUGAAAAUUUGGUGGUUUGUUGUGCUUUUAGUAAAUGUGUGUAAGAAAUUUGAAGUCAAUUGAAUGAAUAGAUUAAAUAAUAUAAGAGUUUUAUAGAUUAUGGUCUUAAAAAUUAGAGAUUAAAAGUUUGGUGAGGAUUUCUAAGAUAUCUAUCAAUCUGCCAACUUGAUUGAAAUACAAUUUUGUUCAAAGGUAGUUAGUUUGACUUCCAAAAAUUUUGCCAAGUUUGGGAUCAAUUGAAUUGUGAAAUUAAGAGACCAUGGUUUAGAAAUGAAAACAUCAAGAUUAGAGAAAGAUGUUGGUUAACACUUGAACAAAGUUUAGAGAGUAUCAUCUAAUUGGUAUGUGCAAUCAUCAUCAAAUUUGUUAUAAUUGUUGCUAACUUAGUUGUUGCAAAGUUAUCAAAUUUUAAAUCAAAAGCAAGAAUUCAAAUAUUAGUUUUUGAAUUUUCAAUCUGCUAUAAGAUUUGUUAAGAAUUAGUUUAAGAUUUAGGAUUUACUUAAGAAUUAAUUAAAAUUAAUUUAGGAUUUAUGAUUUCAUUAGGAUCUAAUUUAGGAUUAGGAUUUGAUUAAGAUUUGAUUAAGAUUCGAUUAAAAUUUUAUUAAAAAUUAGAAUUUCAUUAGGAUUUGAUUUAAAAUUUGAUUAAGAUUGAUUUAGGAUUUUAUUAGAAUUUAUUGAAGCUUACAUUAAAAUUUGAUUAGGAUUAAAUUAGGAUUUCUAUUUUUGAUAUUUUUAUAAAAAUUCUUUAAGAUAUUUUUAUCAUAUAUAUAUUUUUUAAAGAUUAAUUUAAGGUUUUUUUAUAUUUCUUUUGUAAGUGCUUGAGACUUAUUUUGGAUUUAAUUAAAUAUUGAUUAACAUUUUAUAAUUUAAUUGGAGUUUGUUUAAGAUUCUAUUAGAAUUGUUAGGAUCAUCUUAUUGCAAGUUCUAUUUUUUCUUUCAUAGCUAGAUUUCUAGUGCAUUCUCAAGGAGACUUUAUGUAAUACAACAUUAAAAUGAAAGUUUGUUAAGAGCACAAAUCUAAGCAAACUUAUUAAAUGUACCCCCAUUUAAACUUUUCUUGCGCCUUAUUUAAGGACAAGAAAUAAAAGAUGGGAAUAGAAAUAAGAGAGGAGGGAACAUAAGAUGGAGAACAAGGAACAAUAAAAGAGAAUAAUGACAUGGAACAAGAGAGGAGAAUAGGGACAAGGGAUUGGAAACAUGAACAAGGGAUUUUUAAUGAGGUAUAGGAAAUGGAAACAUGAAACAAGAGAUGAAAACAAAGAUAUGGGAUUCAAAAAAAAUAACAAAGACAAGGAAUGGAUAGAAUCAAUCGUGAAAUGAUAAGGAGAGGUGUGGCUUUAACAACAUUGAGGUGUAGCUUUAUUAUAUAUAUAUAUAUAUAUAUAUAUAUAUAUUAUUUAAAAUAAUAUUUUAUAAUUUUAUAUUUUGAUAUUACAUAUAAAAUAUAUAGAAUAAUAUAUGUAAUAAUAUUUUAGUAGAAUUUAAAUAAGUUAUAAUCUAAUUUUACAUAUAUGAAACCCUAGCCCCGGCAGCCGGCGGCGAAGGCUAGGAUUCCCAGCGCCGGGCCAGGGCUGUGUUGCCAACGGGACCAGUUAGGUGCCGGGCAGCUUGCUGAGGCUGCCCGUCUAGGUGGCGGGCACCUGGGGAGGGCAGCCGGAUGGAUGCAGGGCACCCCCACUUGAGCUAGACGGAUGGACACACGGGAUCCGUCCGUCUGCUCACGUCUCAGUCUGGGGGUGCUUUCGAACUCUUUCGUCGCUGUCUUCAACCAACUCUUCAAAUCGAAGUCUUCCCUAUUAAAUAGUUGGUUAAAGCCUUCCACGUUUCGAGGUCUGAACCAUUUGUACCUGAACAACGCCCUAAUCUUCACGUCAUCGCUACCAGACACACGCCAAAUCUGCAUACUCUGCUUCAUGAAGGCAUUAUUUUUCUGAUGUGCUGCAUGAUUAGCCCGUCUUGGUUUGAAGCAUCGGUCACCUGUAUAAAUCGGUAACGUUUCCUCGGAGCGAGCAUAGGUGAAUGCGUGACUGGAGAAAAUCGUGGAAUGACCUGAACUUGAGGCCGGGUUAGGACUGUUGCAGGCUUUAUUAUUUGCUCAAUCGGUUGUGUGCGGUUCCGUACUCUGAAUCUUGUAAUCGCUGAACUGAUGAGUACUGCACCAGACCACCAGUGAGCAAGGUCAUAACAUCUAACGCAGCGCUUACGUCAGGGAACAUUGAUUCAUCGGUUUAGAGGUUUCGCCGGAGCCAAGAGGUUUGGCUAAGUAGGUUUCGUCAUGGAUUUGUGGAAUUCAAUUCUACUUCAUUCACCGCAGCGGUAUACAUCUGGAGCCGUUGGGUCCAGUGCUCGUGUGCUAGAUCCUGAAUUUAGGAGAUCAUGGGCUUGGAAACAGGGCAUUAUCGUUGAGCCUGACCUGAGCUCCGCAAAGAGAUUCAAAAGUGAAACUUCCCUCGUGAGGUAUAGCCUAAAAUUCAGUAUUACUCCAAGGGCCUUGAAUGGUCAGGCAUCAGCUCCACAGAACAACGAGGAAUUCAUCCCAGUCCAUUCUGAUCCAGAAGAUGCUGCGGUCCGAAGAUUGCUGGCCUCGCCAUGCUCAGAUGUGAUCCUCAAGGUGAAAAACUCAGGGUCUUUACAUCGGUUAUUCGAAGGAGAAUUCGUGGAGAAUUCUAACCGCUUAUUGUACAGGCAAAUGUUCGUGAUUAGAUCAUACGAAGUUGGAGCAGAUAAGACUACCGAUAUUACCACUAUCAUCAGCUUUUUUCAAGUGAGCUCUACUCUUUAGUUCUGGAAAUAAUGGAUGAUAUGUGGGUGGUCAUUGUAAACUAAAAAGCACAACACAAAAAGUACUUCAAAAUGUAUUAUUCUUUCGCUACAUUUUGAAACAUCAGUUGCAUUGUGAUUUAUGACAUUCGUUUCAAAAGAAAGAAGCCAACUUUAGGAUUUCAUGAAUACAAGUGACAGAAUUCAUGAACUGUUGAGCACAGGUCUAGAAAGAAAUCAAAUUAUUCAUCGGUAGUAGUAAUAGUAUACUGAGUUUUGUGCUUUUGUUUAAGCGACCCUCUAGAUUUUCCAAUUGGUAUGUGACAGGAAGUGUCCUUGUGCCAUGUGCAAUUAAUGGGGAUUAAAGGAGAUGGAUUUGGGGCUACGAAGGCCAUGAACUCUCAGGGGCUCAUCUGGGUGGUUUCUAAAAUGCACGUGGUAGUGGAGAAAUUCCCCAAAUGGUAAGAAUUCUACUGAAAGAAUCCAUUAGCAAACUUUGAGGCUCUGACACCAUGAAUGUAAACUCAACCUUGGGCGGAAAGGAUGGUAUUUGGAGGUCCCACAUGAGGAAUACAGCAAACAAACUACGAUUCAGGCCAGUAAGGAAGUGCAGUUGCAUCGAAGUGGCUGAACUUUUCUUUCUUACGUUUUCUUACCUCAGAUCUUGUGUGAGAAUUGCGAAUAUUAUGAGUAACACCGGUUGACUAGAUAUCACCCAUUUCAUGGAAAUGAAGAAUCUCACUGCCGAUGAUCAAUGGAGAUUAAUCGUGAUUGAGAACAUUACUGUGCCAUAUCUGCUGCAGGUCGGACGUAAUUGUGAUCGACUCUUGGAUUGCUCGCUCUGGUAAGAAUGGAAUGCGCCGGGACUGGAUUGUGCGUCGUAGCGACACAAAUGAAGUGCUUAUCCGGGCCACGAGGUAGCUUGACAGUAAACAACUUACCAGAUGCUCAGUAAAUUUUAGCACCAACUACACUAGGUCAUGAGUUUUUUUUUUUUUUUUUUUGUCAUGGAGGUUAUCAUCUAAUCCAGAGACUGAGUCAGUUGCAAUGAUGUGCAGCAAUUGGUGCAAUAUGGACUCCAAAACGCGAAGAGUUUGUAGGAUGCCGGACACAGUUCGAGCAGAGCUCGAUCCUUUCUUUGAGGACGAGCAAUCUGCGUUUCAACAGAAGAAUAUGCUUUCCACCAAAAUAGUGAAGCUUGACAACCUCACGGCCAAGUACGUGAGCUCCCCGAUCACGGUAACGAUCAAUUCCAAACAAACUUUGUGCCAACUUUCGGAUCACAUAAGAUCAUGCAAACUGGAGUCACCUGAUGUAAAUGUGCAGUCUUGCAGGGCAGAUCUUGAUGUGAACCAACACGUGAGCAACCUCAAGUACAUCAUCUGGGCUCUUCAGGUACCACCAAAUUCGUCCUGUUUCCGUAGCGUCCAAUUCAACAAUAUUUGUUAGGGCAGUUUUUUCACAAAUGCCAAAUUGGAUUGCAGAGUAUUCCAGACGAUCACAUAGAGACACACAACUUGGCAAGCAUCACGCUGGAAUACAGACGCGAAUUAAGUAAAAGCAAAAACGUCGUCGAGUCUCUCACCAGCUCCAAAACAGCUACUGAAGAAGUGCAACCCUUUGCAGCUUCAGUGCCUUCGCAGGGCUUUUGGCUUUCCCCUAGAUGCGAAUAUACUCAUCUUCUUCGAACCCAUGACUCCCAGCAGCUCGAAAUUGUUCGUGCCAGAACGACAUGGCGCCCAAAGUCGUGCAACACAGCACCUCUCGUCGUGGCCGGCAAUUGAGCUUCAAGUAGCAAGAGCUUGACACUAAUAUCUAGGAACCGAACCUGAGAUUUUUUAUCUUAAAUACUUCACUUGAGUGGAUAAAUAUGUUUUGGGGAUUAGCUUUUGAUAUUUGAGUUUUCCAAAAACAGUUACAUGAUUUGCCACAUUUUCUUUUAAAAGAACAGGCGGUUUUAUCAACUUUAGCAAAAUAUAUGUCGUUGAAAGUUAUACAUACCAUUUCAUUAUUUACAUGUUUUAUUUUUUCAAUCAUCGGUUAUCCAAGAUUUUGGUUAAUCAGCUAUUGUGUUACUAAGUGUUAUCACACAUAUGUAUUAAUAGAAAACUACAGAAUAUUACAAAAACCUUUAGAUACGUAAAACCAAGAUAACAUACGCAGAGAAUCUCCUCAAUCUAAAACAUGUUGAACUAUUUAUAAGUUUUACAAAUUUCAAACUAUAGAAUGAUAUAGUUUUAACAACUACAGCAUAAUACAGUUUUAAUCAACGCAUCAGAUCUCACUGCGGAUGAAUGAAAACCCUAGAUUCUACGGAAAGGUGCCAUACGCAACAGAGACCUCCACGUCAACAUAAGUUCUUCCAGGGGAGUCACGAAUAGUAGAUUAGGGAACCGAGCGAGGGAGAAAUAAACCGGGAAAAUAUGAAUUUCCCUCGCUUUUUUCAAUUCCCUCCAGUUUCUCUCACCCCUCCCCCGCCCCGCCAAACCCUUUCCCAGGCCCCCGCGCAGCGCCUUCUGGUUGCAAUGUUGAGAUUGCGUUCACGGACCUUGCUUGCGUUGGGGAGCAACUUGGAAUUCGAGCAAAGGCAUGCUGCUUGUUCUUGUUUUUAUCGCAAGGUAUGAAAAUCCGUUCUUGUUGGUUACCUAGUUUUUCCUCGAUUCGUCGUUUAGUCAAUUGUGACUGCGGCGCAAGAAUGAGAGACCUUGCAAUAUCGUGUGGCUCGAAGAGAUUCAGUUGAGGGAGCGAGCUUGGAGCGGUAUGUAGGGGGUCGGAGUUGGCUUUUGGUGACUGUGGAUGUGUCUAGGUGUUUGAUUUGAAGUACUUGCAAGGGUUUUGCGUCGUGGGUGAGGCUUGGGUAGUGCUGGAGUUGGUGGCAGUUUGAAGGGAAUGUUAAUUAUGUUCGUUGUGUUUUUCACUAUAUUCCGUGUCGUUUUCAUUUAUUUUGUUAAUAAAUACUUGUAGAGGAAGUUCAAGUGUAGUGGAGGAUGAGUUUCUCCGGGAAGGGUAGUCGAAUCUCGUUGCACUCCAAGUUUCUGCCUAAUUUCUCGCGUGUGAGUUUGUGCUUUUAAGAAAUAUAGCGUCUUGUUGUCAGUAGGGGCUGAGAUCUGUGACUACCGAUAGAGCUGAGGCAAGUGGGGAUUUCAGAUGGCAUUAUGUAGUGAUUUUGCUCUAUUGCGCUAGUGAGGGUUUGAAAGACACCUUAGAAGUGCGGGAUGUUGGUGCUGAGGUGUCCAAGAUUAUGGUCUGUUGCGGCAGUGUCUUAGAUUCAGGGUUGACGCUUUUGUUUUUGUUACUGAAUGGGGCGAGUGUCGUUACUUCCGUCAACUACAUAUCAGUCAGCGAAUUGGAUAUUAUGCUUGAUAGUUUUAAAAUACCUUACACCCUUUCUUCUCUUCACUUUCCCUUUUUUGUUUUUGUCUUGAGUACAGAGGAGCUGCGAAUGAGCGCAACAAUCUCUGCACGUCAUUUUCGUCUUCUGAAUGAAACGAUAUUCGUGCUACAUGAAGUUCUAAAUCUUCUACUGCUAUUCCCGAGUAGUCACUCCGACGGAUUAUCUGUCUUCUUCUUGAGUGAAGGGACAACGACAAGGUGUCACAAUGGCAGGCGAGGGGUUGAAAAAAGAAAAGUGCGAGUUAUUUGACCUACCACCGCGUAAACGGUUUAAAUUGCUAGAGGAGCAGCGUAGAGAGAAGGAAAUGGAGUUGCAAACGCGCGACUCGUGUUGUAAUGACAUUACGAAUUAUCCUUCCCAUGGGGUAUCUCCGAAGAAACUGGCAUUGCAGGAGCUCCUUAUGCUGGAUAAGGAGAAUCACAAUUAUAAGCAACGGAGAGUAAAGCGGCCUUUAGUGCAAGCAAUGCCGCCAGUGCCACCACGGCCUGUCGCCGUCAAAAGAAAAGAUCCUCCAUCAUUGCUUAUGCCGAUUACUGCAAGGAGUGCAUCGCCAAUGAUGAAGCUGAAGUCGCCCGCUUCCGGUGCGUUCAAGAGCUGGGGUGAUCCUCCUUCAAAAGGUUCCUUUACUGAGAUCAAGGGCAAUUUGGAGGUUCACCAGCCAGCAAAUGUAUCGUCUCCAGGAUCCAGUCAAUUAUUCAGCGAAGCAUCUGAAGAUUUGAUUCGUAGGUCCGUAUGCUAUCAAUCAGAUGUUCCGAGAAAAGAAUCUCGUGCUGCACAUCUAAAGACUCCGACCACAUGGGUGAUGUCGAAAGGUGUGACAUGCUCAAUUAACAAGGCACAGGAAGAUGCUGACACGAUCGUGUGUGAGAGCCCUUCGCCUAGUUCCUACACAUCCAGCUCAGAAGAGGAUAUGACAGAGAAGGUUGUGGAGUCGGUUUCCAUGAACACGACAUCGUUUCCUCCCAUGGUGCCAGUCGGUCUCAACGUGUUGAUCACACGAAGCGAAGAUACUCACCAGCUCGCGACUGAGAUUCAAGAGGAUAGUCUCGUGGAUGAGGACGUGAUGGCAGCAUCUCAGACUGCUUAUCCUUCCACUAGUGAUGAUAUGAUGAAGGCUUCUACUUUUUCUGUUCCCAUGGGCCAAGGUGUGAACAGACGUGGAAUAGAAUCAGAGACUGAAUCUUCAACUGAAGCCGAGGUUAAGCCUGUCGACGCUGAACAAUCUGUGUGUUUGGACGCCACCAAUACUGCUGCUUUAAACGUCAAGACAUCAAUCCAAUUGACAAAUGGCGACAUUCUGCUAGCGAAGGAUGGCGACAAGAAUCGUCCAUCCUUGGAUGCAGGAGCAACAAUUGAAACUACUUUGCCAACCAUGGUGAAUGGGUUAACCUUGCGAAUCCCUGCCGAUGGCUAUGAACUUAAAGUAAAGGAAACCAAGAUGGAAUAUCCAUGUAAAACAUCGGAGGAGAAUCUCAAAGCAUCUACCACCGGUAGUAUAAUUAGAGAACCAGAUGCUUGUUCUCUCACCGCUUCCUCUUCUAUAGUAGCGAGUGUCAAAAGUGCUGGAACAUCAAGCAAUCCAGGAUCUUCGGAGGGUGUGACUGUUACUACUAACCAAGUGAAGGACAAUUUGUGUGAAAAAAGCGACAGUGAUUGUCCAGCAAAACAGCAGGAAGAGCAAACUCCCCAAGUGGCGUCGGAUGCUUCAGAUGAUUUCAAUGGAAUUGGGGUGCAAGAGAACCAAGAACGAAAGGUAGUAACGACCUUGGUUGACCCACUUGCAAUCAAUGAGGGAGAUAGGAUAUCAGCGACUGACGCGCUACAAAAUCUUAUGACGGGGCAAGAAAGAUUACUCGUUGAUUUGGAUCGGCGUAUGAAACGCCUUUUUAAGCGAAUGCUUGGAAGGGAGGGUUGCAAAGGGGGUGACUUAGAGCAAGGCAGGAGCAAUUCUUCGUCAAAUUCUUUUUUGGCUUUCAGUGAGAUGGAGAGUUUUAAUUCUACGGUCGAGGACGGUAGGAAACUGAUAGAUGUGGCUACCUCGAAAUUUCAGGACCUACGGCAAUUAUCAAUAUCUUGGAAUGAUGAAGUUGUUGAUACGAGAAGUGCAGAGGACUGUCAAGUAGAACCAAGAUCCAUCAACAACGGAGUGGUGCAAUCCCAGAAUUCUUCAUUCGCCUUUACAGUGAGCUCCUGUAAAGCUUCUCAAGGUGAUGAGGUUUUCCCAUGUUCGGAGAGUCCAGAAAAAGACAGUCCAAUUCCACCUGAUUUAAAAACCUCAAGCUUCAGAUUACAAGAGCAGUCCCAUGAAUUGGUCUGCAAAUCAUCAAAAGAAGACAAUGGCUGGGAUUGGGAGAUGGAUGUACCUAAUUUCACUUUCGGUAUGCGAAGUGGAAUGACACAACGUGUGAAAGCACCUGGUCGAUGGUCAGACAGAUCAAAAGUCGAGGCCACCAGCGUAGAUGAAGACGAAGAUGAUGAUGGCGCUUGCGAUGUAUGCCGCAGCGCCGAUGGCACCCCAUCGGAUCCCCUUGUUUAUUGUGAUGGAUGUAAUGUUGGAGUUCAUGCCAACUGUUACGGCAACCCCCUGCAUCAUGAAGUCCCAGAAGGAGAUUGGUUUUGUGUUCAAUGCCAGAGCAGAAGCCCGGAUUCUAGAAGCUGCUGUCUGUGCCCAAGAUCUGGGGGUGCUAUGAAAUUGACUACCGAUGGAAACUGGGCCCAUUUAUCAUGCGCUAUUUAUGUACCCGAGGUAUGUGCAAUCUGGUGGUUUUGAUGCCCUCAAGUUUUCAUUGAAACUCUUGCUCCAGCAGCCUUGUGACGUGAAAAAAAGAAAAACAUCCAAUACAUAUUAAUAUUCUGUUGAACUCAGAUUGGAACCAUUUGUGGAGGCAUAUUUUUAGUGUAUUUAGAUCACAAAGUGUAGGUGCACAAAUUUGCAAUCACAUUUGUUGUGCAGACUUAAGCAGUGUUGUUUUUAACACGGUGUAUUUUUUUUUGUAUAAAACUCAGGUAUUUUAUCGCCAACCAGAUGACUUGGAGCGAAUUGAUACGUCGCAUGUUCCCAGUAAACGGUGGCUUUCCACGUGUAGUGUGUGCAAUUCAACCGGAGGUGCUUGUAUCGAUUGCACGGAGAUUGGAUGCACGUUACGUUUCCAUGUUUCUUGCGCUUUGAGAAAGAACCUUGCUAUGGAGUUUCGGGAUGGCCGAAAUGGUGCCAUCGUUAUCUCGUUCUGUGAGGAACAUACGGCUGCUUGGGAAGAGGUACUUCCAACAUCUUCCAAUUACGUGUAAAUAAUUUGUAUGUGGGUCAGCAUGUUCUCAACCGAAUCGUAUGUGUAAUUGCCCCGGCACUCAAUACAGCUUCUAUCAUGAUGAUUUGUUUCAAAUGCUGACUUUAAUGGGGGGUUAACAGGAUAGCAAAGAUGUCUCCACCCAUUUUUCGAGUUAAGCUGACGUCUUUCGUUGGUUGUUGGUUGCAGCAACAGGAAUCUAAAAAGGGACAUUCGAAGUACAAAAUUGUCUCCCGUGAACCAAAGAAGAUGAAAAUGCCUUUGAAAAUGAGGUUUUAAGCCGCGAUGAUGGUUGAAAAAGAGAAUUCCUUGUUCGUAUAUGGCAUUUGUUUGUUUCCAAUGGUUGGGUUCCACGAUGACCCUCAGCUGAUUGUAUCAUACUCUGUGGUGCUUGGAUUCCACCUUAGGUUUGAGGGGUUAGAAUUCAUAUUUGAUUUUUUAAGAGCAUUGAGUCUCAAUUUAAUUCAGUGCGAACACAGUCUAGCUGUAUUUUCGCUCAGCUGUGGCUUUGACACACGACUACUGCAUCUUCAUCAUUAUCCUGCUUGCUUCGAGUGUGCUUCUUGGAACAUAAAAUCAAUUUGCCAGUAGUUGAAAUGUACUUGAAUUCAUUUAUUUGUUACUGACGUUCAAAUUUCUACUGCCCCUUCUGGCAGAAAACCGCCCCUCUUAAAAUCUUGCUUGUGGUAUUGGAAGGUAUAUAAUUUUUUGAAAAUUUAGAGGAAAUAGAAGCUUCGCUCACCUACAUUUCCUGGUAAGGUUCUUUCUCAGUGGUUGUCAUCUACGUUACAUCCAGGCCCCAGUCUUUUUUCCAUUUCUUUGAGGCAAACUUAAAAAAGAGGCCAUCUCGUUGUUUCGAAUGUUCUUCUGCGCACGUGUUCUCUUUCAUGACUCAACUACCCCACUAAUCACCGAAGACUAAUUUUGCGUUUCAAUACGGAACAACUCCUGUACCGUAUAAAACAAGUUUUUGUUGGCUUCAAUGGAUAAUUCUUCUCCACUUAAGUAUGCCUCUUCAAGUUGAAGUCUGAUCCUCCUAGCAACUAGCUGUGUAUUUAAUAACAACUAUAAUAUCAACAAUAAUAAAAGGAAAUCAUCAUUAUUGACAUUCCUCUUCAAACUUAUCUAGUUCUAGGGGCAAUUUGUCAGCAGCAUGAACUGAUCAGUUCAUUACUUGAACUGGAUUCCUGGCAUGCAAGAUAAAAUAAUAUGCAAUUCCAACUUCUUUCAUGUCUGUAUGGCACCAAAUGGCUGGAGACCAGGAGAAGAGAAUGAGAGUUUGUGCAUCAGCAGACAGAGAAGACCCACAAAAUAGAGUCAAUGGUGCCAAUAAGCAUUCAGUCAUGGGUGCCAUGACUGCAUGGCAAUGUUCACCAUUAGUGUAGGGCAAAAACCAAUGCAAGAUAAUUACUGACUCAAAACCAAACCCAAAUAGAAUAUGAUGCAUGAGAUGGUGGUUUUAUUGUAUCAUAUUUUGUUCAUUUCCAAAUAUAUGUAUUCAUACAUGCAUACACACUCAAACACACAUACUACCACCAUAAACAACAGUUUCUACUUAAAAAAGAAGGGUGCAGAUUAUUAUCACCAUUACUGGUUUUGAUUCUCCUCUAAGGCAAAAGGAAGGGUUGAGGAAGGUCAGGAGGCAGAAAAAAAGCCUGCAUGGGGAUAUUGGAAGAAAGUGGUUAAGGCAAUUGCACACCUGUGGCCAUUCUGCACUCUCAAAGGCUGGAAAUCAGAGGCCAUGCUCCAUAUUUGUAAAGAGCAGACUGAUACAUACAGAAUAACCUGAGGAGUGACUGAGUGCUUUGGGAGAGGCUGCAAACCCAUGUCCAUUUUUAGCUGUGCAGCAGCAGCAGCAGCAGCAGAAAAAGUAGCAGCUGAGAAGCUGAGAUCCAGUACCUCCAUGACCUCUCUGAUGGCUGCAUUGCUUGCAGGUGGAGUUUUGUAGGCUUGCAGCUGCAGAUGUGAGGCCAAAGGAGACAUGAAAAAAGGCAAAGGGGAAAGGGCAAAAGGGAAAACUGUAAACCAUCAUUUGGGGUCUUGCAUUUGUUCCAAGAUAUAUUAGUUUCAUUGGAUGUUGAAGCACUUUUUGUGUGUACUUCAAAAUAGUUGCAAUAAUAUAAUGUACAAUCCAUUUUUCAUUAUGUUGUUUGCUGUUUUUUUAAUGAGUCUUCAUACUUGUCACAUUUGUGUUUCUGUUUUUCUUUAUCACCAAUGUGUUUUGUUGACUCCUUGCAAUAUAAACUCAAACAACUAACUUAUAGAUCCAUCUCUUUUUGACACACAGAUUAUCAAACAAUAUUAUUGAUGUGAGUUGAAUAAUGUUUUUUUAAUUCAAUUCAUAAUAGUUACAUGAAUGAUUAGGUUUUUCACUAUUGAAACUAGGUAUAGGGGUACUACUAGUCAGUCUCAUAUUAUUUAACUAAUGAGAUCAAAGUAUACCUGAGCCAAAAAUACAACUAAAAAACAAGUUAGAUCUCAAUAGCAAUAAUGCAAUUUUUUUUUAUGUUUUUACUCCACUCAACAAUCUAGUUAAUAAAAAUUAAAAAUCAAAAAUCAAAUCUAAUAAUAGAAUGAUCCCUAAUUUCUAACAUUCUCAUAUGUGUGUUUGAGAAUAUAUAUAUAUAUAUAUAUAUAUAUAUAUAAUAUUUCUCUAUACUAGUAUCUUUUUAAUGCACUUCACUUAGUGUUUCUAUCUGCAAACAGCAGCACUUUCUCAUAACACUUUGUCAUAAUACUCCAACUAAUAUCCUCUGGCAUUAGUUACCAGUUUGCCACAAUAAACCCCCUAUUGAUUUUGCUUCAUUCACUUUUUCUCAUUAAGACAGUGACAUUAACACUGACUCAAAUGCAAACUCCACAAUUUAAUUACUUCAACAAACGUAACAGUUAGAACAGAGUGCAAUUGAUUGUUAAAAAUGAACCUGUUGAUUUAUUAGAACCAACGAAGCAUUCUUUUGCAAUCAAGACCAUUCAUUCACAGCUCAAAUCCGAUUGGCAUAAUUGCAAUAAAUAAAUAAACAAAAUUAGAUUAUAUUAGUCUGACUCUUAUAUGUAAGAAAUGUCUUGGCCGAAGUAAUUUUUUUACUCAUUGAAAUGCUGUGAUAUGUAUGUGAAUGUGUAUAUAUUUGUAUAUAUCUAUAUAUAAUUUACAUGCUCACAUAUCUAGUUUUUUUCAAUAUAAAACAUUUAUCACACUGGGAUAACUUUCAAAAUACUGCAAACUCUAUCAAACUACUUGAUUAUUUUAUAUACUUAUAUAUAUAUAUAUAUAUAUAUAUAUACACACACACACACACACAAACACAGUUCAUAUAUUUUCUACUAAAAUUUUAAAGUCAAUGUUGAUUUUUAUUUGAUAUUGGAAUUAGAAUAAUUAACAAUUAUAAAAUAUGUCACUUGAUUACAGCAUCAAUUAAUUUAUAUUCAGUAACUUCACUUUUUUUUUCUUUUUUUUCUUUUUUUUCUUUUUUUUUUCUUGAAACAAAUAGAAUUGAUAGUAACUUCACUUUUUGAAAAUUUCAUAGUACUUGGCUACAAUAUAAUUACUUAAUUAUUUCAAUAUUUACUCAAAGAAAAUCACAAUUAAGUUGAUCUACUACAACCCUAUAUCUGUUUUUUUAAUUUUAUUUAUUCCUUUUUUUAACACAAAAAGAUGCUUCACUUCCAUUUAAGUAAUAGACCAACCUUGUUCCUUGAUGGAUUUCUAUUUAUGAAGUUGUGCACAAUUAACUUAGACUUCCCUCUUCUCUAUUGGACUAGACAAUUGAGGUUGAUUUGGAGUUCUUGUAUUGACAAUCAAUCAACCAUCCAUCUCCUCAAACCAUUGUUUCAUUUAUUUUCCUAAAUCUAUUCCACCACAUGAUAAAUUUAUUUUUUUACUUUUGAUUUUAUAUAUUUUUUAUGACUUUUUAUUGCAUUGUUUCUCUAAUUCAAAUAUCUAACAACCUACUUCCAUUGAAAAUAUUGUAAAUUUUACUUAUUUAACUUAUUUGUAUGAAAAUUCUUGAAGAGAGUGUCUAGAUUUAUAAAAGCAAUAAAAUGAUAUUAUAAGUUUUUUUAAAUAAGAAUACCUUGUUGCUUCAAAAAACAUAGUUGUAAUCCUAAUUACUUUUAGUUGAUAUUGAACAUAUUUAUGGAAGACUAUGCCAAAUUCUACACUCCAUUUUCUUAAUUAUAUGUCUAAAAUCAUGAAAAAUUUAUUUAGGAGAUAUCAAAAUUUUAUACCCAAUAUGCAUCACUCCCUCUAUACAAUGUUAAUUGUUUUUCGAGCUAUUUAGUAUACCAAAUUUUUGUUAUACUUGCCAUUAAGUUAUAGUUUGUCUAAUUAUUCUUCAACAAUGAUCUACUAUUUAAAAAAAUAAUAAUUUAUAAAUUUAUUAUUAUUAUUUCAGUUAUAUUAUAAAUAUUCUAAAUAUAAAUUAAAUAUUGUUUUAUAAAUAAUAGUAAUAUUAUCAACUAAUAUUCUUGUUUUCCAUGAAGAAGUUAAUUGUUAAAACUACAUCUAUCACUUUUGUGUAACAAGCUAAUAGAAAAUUUGACUUAACUACGUAUCAAAUAUUUUUUUUAAUAUUAUUAUAUAUAUAAAUAUAUACACAAUAAAUAAAGAAUUAAGAGUUAUAUGAUAGAAUAUUAGAAUUUAUAACUUCAAAUAUAUAAAGAACAAAGAGUUUCAAAAUUUUACAUACACCAAUCUUUUUUUAGCUUAAAUUAUGUAAGAUUUUUUCACUCUAUUAUAAUGAUUCUUUGAUAUAUAUAUGAAAAAACCGAAGCACCUUUUACUGUGCCAAAAAAAUUAAAAGCUUGUAUAUAUUAUUUUUUUAGUUGUAGGAAUUGUCUUCUUUGUAGUUGCACAUAUUGUGAAAAGUUUAGAAAAUUAUUAAUGCUAUAUCUCCAAUUGAUAUUAUUACAUCCUACCUAACCUUUAGCUAACAUUUAGCUAAUAAUGUGCUUCUUUCUUUUGCACAUUUUUUUUUCUUUGCUUUAAAAAAGAAUGGUGUUUGAAAGAGAGACAAUAAAUAUUUAAUAAAAAAAUAAGUCACAAAUAAUUUUUAAAAAAAACAUAAUAUUUGCCUAAAAAUUAUUUAAAUCCAAAUUUGAUUUUAAAAAUUUAAAAUAUCAAAUUAAUUUUUUCUAUUUUUUCUAUUUUUAUAUCAAUAUUAUAGUUAAAUAUUAUGCUACCAAACAUGCAUUAUGCAAAGAAACAAGCUUUAUAGUCAAUUUAAGUCAUGUGGAGGUCAAAUAAGGUGUAGUAAUAUGAAUUGAGAAUGUAGCAUUAAAAAAUAAUAAUGAUAAUAAUAAUAAUAAUAAUAAUAAUAAUACUUUAGUAAUAUAUUACAAUAUUUUUAAUUCAAGAAAGUAAUAAAAUAUGAAGUGAGUUUGUAUCCUACUGCAAUAGAUCAAUUUUAAAUAUAAUUUUUAUUUUUUAUAAAUUAAUAUAAUAAAGGUGAAAACUUUGUGUAAGAUUUUGAAAUUGUUUUUCUUUUCAUUGGCCCUUUUUAAAGCUAAGAAUGUAAUACAAAUAUCUAUGUAGGGUCCAAAACUUUAUCACUAUUAUUAUUAUUAUUAUUAUUAUUAUUAUUUUAAUUUUUAUAUUUAUAUGUAUAAUUAUAUAUUAUAAUUUUUUUGAUUCAUUCAUUUAUAUUAUUUUUUUUAGUUGGAUGAAAAAAAUUAACAAUUUAUUUUAAUAUUAGUUUUAUAAAUUAAAAAUUAAUUCCAAUAGUUUAAUAUAUAUAUUUCAUAUAUUCUAUAAACUUAUUAAUUUAGAUAUAUAUAUAUAUAUAUAUAUAUAUACAUAAGCUACUCUAAAGAAAAAUUUUAAAUCAAUAUAUAACCCAUCAUAUGUAGCUCUUGAAACCAAGAUAAAAGCUAUAUUGAUAAGAGUAUUACAUUAUUUACAACCAUUGCACAAUUUUUUAUGAUUGAAUAGAUUAGAUACUUUUUUCUUUAUUAGAUAAGAAUUGAUUUAGACUAUUUUUAUCCAAAAUGAUUUCAGAUAAAAAAAAAUGAAAAAUUUAAUAAAAAAAAUUACAUGUUUAUAUAAAUUUUUAGUCUAAAUUUGAUGUAGUGUCUUAGCUUGUAGGUAAUUUGUUUGUUUGUUUGUUUGUUUGUUUUUUUUCCCCACUUGAUGAUGAAGCUUAAUACAAGACUAAAUUGAUUAGGAAUUCGAAGUAGAUUCUUUGUUCAUUUUUUUACUACAGGCAUUAAAAUUUUUACCAUCUAUGUAGUAGAAAAUGAAUUGAGGAUAUAAAUUCUUUAUAAAUUUAAUAAUAGUAAUAAUAAUAAUAAUAAUAAUAAUAAGACUCGUGUCUUGUAUAGUUUAACAGGUAGAAAUAUUUAAGGCCUCUAUCAAAGUAAAAAAAUAAAAAUAAAAAUAAAAAACUAGACAUCUUUGUUAUACUCAUCUUUUAAUUUAAUUGUAAAUGUAAUUUUGAUUUAUUUUCAUAAAAAUAUAAUGAUUUAAAUUUAAGUAAAAUAAACUACCAUUAUUAUCUUUUUCCAAAUUACUUUCUUCCAAGGAAUCUUACAUAAUUAAUCAACUUCUGCAAAACUAUUUUUCUGUAGGGCCAUGUUGAUGAAUAUUGUUUUGUAAAUUACCAACCACAAAUUACGUAUAGACUUAGAGAUUUGCUCUAUGCUUGCUACGUGCCUAGUGGAGGAGGUGUCACGAUCACAUCCAAAUGUCGGUGGGUCGAAUUAAAUAUUACUCGUUUAUGAUAGUGUUUUCUGAUUCUUUACUUGAGCUACCUUAAACACCUUUGCCACCCUUGUACUACUCUCAUCACCCUCAGGCUAUCAAACUACACUAAUGCACCAAAAGAAUCGAAUGAACAUUUGUCACAAAUAUUAUUCAUCUUCAACUUCCAAGUUGGAAUAGUUUCGUGGUGGCCAACUUAAGCAUCCUCCAACCCAUUGUGUCACAUGGACGACCCCCACAUCUGCAAUCACUCACUCUGCAAAGGAGGAGAACCACAUAUCAUUGAGGGAUUGGGAGAAGCAACAAUGGAGGGAGGGAGGGAGGGAGGGAAAAUUAACGGAGGAGGAUGAGGCGAGAGGAGACGAAAGGAGGUGGAAGACAGCGUCGUCUGCGGCGAGGUCUGCUGCGGGAGCUUGGAGGCCACGACGCGUAGAAAGGAGGCGGGAGGUGUGGCAGUCAAGAGGGGCCAAAGGCGGCGCGGUGCUGCCAGCUCCGUUACCUGCCCUGUUGCCUGGACUAGACUGGACUGGGACUCUAGCUAGGCAGCCACAACACCCUCCAGCUUAGCCAGUCCAGCCCAGUCCAGCCCCAGCCCACCCGCGUCCAACAAUCACGCCGCCCGAGAAAGCUUCCAAACAUACAGUCACCCCCCUUCGGUUUUCCUCUGAAUCACUGAUCCGCUUCUAGACCCCUUAUUCUCCUCGCCCCCUCUGCACGUCUGCACACUCACAGGUCCCUACCCACUCUAGUGUUGUAGCCCAUAAAGGUGCCCCUCAUUACUGCAAGUACUUUUUGGCUCCAGGGAUCCUCGUCUUACAGUCUGUUUCGUUGAUUGUUGGGUUGCAGGGUUAGGCAUUCCUUUGUCACCCUACCAAUGCUACUUGGCUCCUUGGAGCUGUGGACUUGUACUCUCAAUCCAUCCAUGUGCACAAGAACUGUAAAAGCUUUGCGUGGGUUUUCGCCCUUUUUUUCUUUCUCGCUCUCUGUGUGUGCGUCUGCUUGCUUGGAAAUUGCUGCCACGGUUGCGGAGAUCUCUGAGCUGUGGGUCAAAACUUCGAGCCUGCCAGCGGCUCGUCCCUCAUCCCGCUUCCACUCCCGUUUAUCAUUCCCCAUCGCCCACGUAACUCCAUCCUCUUUGAAUUAGUAAGUUCGUAGCCCCCAAAACCAAAGAGAGCUUUUAAAGACUGUGUGUUAGUGGCCCACACUGUUCAUUAGAUUCUCAAGUCAACUCUGUUGCAUGCCAGAUUUUAGGGUUUUCCAUGCUGUAACUGUCUCUCUUGUUGCUGAUGCUUCUUCAGGGAAGCAAUUUUACUACGACACACACGACUUGAUUACAAGGGCUGAGGUGCUGCUGAGGGGCUUGAUCCAGUGUGAGAUAAUUAUGGUGGAAACGGAAAAGCUGGAAGCUAAAAAGAAGAACGGAACAAACAGUUUCCUGUUUACUGUGGUUGACAGGGCACAGGACUGACUGGUACAAUGCUAGUAAGUCAGAAAUGUGGCAAAGCCUCUAUCUGUUGAGAUAGAGUGCACCAACUUUCAACUGCAAAAAACUCUGGAUGUAAUCAUAAUGAGCUAAGGGUUUUUGGCACUUUAGUUCUAUGGCAGUUAUGGCACCAAUGUGACCCAGAAUGAAACUUAGGUGCAUUGGCCUUAGUCUUGCAUCCAUGUUCUCUUCACGUGUUCUAAUUAGCUUUAUGGGAGCAGAUUCCCAUAAGUACCUGCAAACCCUUGUGGGAAUUUUCUAAUCCUGUACCCAACUGUGUUAGGUACUCAAAUGUCCUUUGGCAUUGGUCACAAAGUGUAGCCUAAAAGAGCUCCACCCUCAUAUAUAUAUAUAUGCGCGUGUGUGCAUGUAAACCAGGAAAUCUCUUAUCAAUUUCAUUGUCUGGUUUCUAUGAUUUGGCUUCAUGAAAUUAAUGAAACAAUUUCACCCAGUUGCUGGAAAAUCUUGUAACUGACGGCCAAUGUUUCUGUGACUGCAAUAGGCCUGGUUGAUGGUUAUGUGAGUGAUUUUUGUCCAGCCAAAAAUAUCAUCUGUGCUGCAUACUGCCUGGCGUAAGAACCAAAGGGGCAGUACAACCAACUAACUCCAUAAUCCUGCUCCCUUCUCUGACAGAUUUUCUUUGUUUUUUCAAAAAACAAAAUCCCAACUCUCAAUUGAAAGAAAACAAUUGCUUUAUUAUCAGUAUGGAUCUUACAAAUGGCUUUAAUUGCAGGAGUUAUAUGCCUGAGCAAUCCUGUCUUUCUUACAAAGUUUUUUUCUUGUUUAUUCAAUGCUUUAACUUUUAGUCCAGCUGAUAAGUCAUAGCUUAUUUGGAGCUCCUUUUGGCAAAGGGAGGGUUGGAGCUUAUGUUCCUUUUGACUGAUAGGCAGUAUUCUGUUUGCACUUUGAGAGACCUUUUUGAGAUGGUUGACUUUACACAGUUAUGAGCUUCAAAGAAGCAUGAUCUGCUGAUAGUUUUGAUUGAUUUUUAUUUUUUUGAAAAAAAUAAUGUUAUUUUCCACAAUGGAGAGUUGUAUUGCAAGAAAUUGGUACAGUUAUCAGCUUUUGCAUUGCUCAAAAAAUGUCAGCAAGCUCUAGAAUGUUCCAAGUGGCUAUGGAUUUAGGGUUGAAGAACUAGCAACUUUUUAUCCGCUCAGCAACUUACUCUUUCUUGAUACUGGAGAAAAGAAGAAGAAGAAGAAGAAGAAAGGAUUCAUGCUAACUUUCCAUUUUAUAUUGAAUCAUGCUUGUGUUCUGAAGUUCAUUGCCUUCUUCUAAACUGUAGUUUGCAAUAAGUCAAAUUCCACAUUAUGAUACUAAAAAUUGUAAACUCAAGCCAUAUCACUUGUUGUGACUUGAUAUCUGACCAUUCUGGCUCACUGUGAACAUCACUAACUGUUAAGCCUAUAAAGUGGCAUCUCUCAUUUCAAACCCUAGGAGAGUGUAUUGUGACAAGGAUCAAUUUUGCGUUACCAACAUCACCUAUUUUCACUUGUAUAAAUAUAUAUAUAUAUAUAUAUAUAUACAUUUACUUUCUACAGACUCAUUGUGCUUGAUAUGCUGAUGAACAUUCUCACUUGUUUCAUGAUACCCUUUGGAUGUAUGUAAGUAUGUAUGUGUGUGUGGAGCUUGCAUAGAAUGGUCUUUGUCACACUACAUUUUUGUAUUGGAUCAUAAAUCAAUGGUUCUAUCUAUUUUAGCUUUCCACUUGCUUGAUGCAAAGAUGUUGUGAUUGAUAUAUCCUAUUGUACCAAACUUUUGGAUAAAUAAGCAAAAACAUAAUUAAAAUAAAAGAUAAAAACCUUAGGACAAUUUGUACUCAUGUCAACCUAAAAGUAGGUAUCAUUGAUUUUUAUUAGUGCAUGUAAAUAUCUAUUUUAUGAAAAUGCACAGUUACUUCUUUCUAAAAGUAUGAACAUAAAACUAAGUCAAAUAAUUUUAUUAUUUCUCAGUAAUCUCCUAAAGUAACUAAAACUGGAUGAGAACAGGGAAGAAUGGGGAUUUGUGAUGCUCCAAACCCUGAUUUAUGUAAGUAUAAUGGCUUCAAGCAGUGAUUGAGCUUGGCUAGAGGGAUUUAUGGGGCCAGGCCCAAGAAGGUAAGGUACAGGCCAUUUUCUUGAAGGCUUCGCCGCCCGCCACCACCACCAUCACCACCAUGAAGUUGGAGCCAUGCAAAGCCCAAGGAAACAUGUUUGUGAAGCUGAUACUGCACCCGACAUGUAGGGACAAAAUCAGCCACUCGAGGCCGGUGAGGUAUCCAAUUCUUACAUGGGAAGUGAGGAAGAAUGAGAAACAGACACCCAGCUGGAGUUGGUGGACAAAAUGCCCCUGUGGAGUCCUUGGACAAUGGGAUGUUGGAACAAGAAUAUUAAAUGAGGGGGCUCUUUUAUAUGUGCACUUGUGCCUGCCCUUUCUCACUCCUAAAGAUACCUACAAUGUGUUUUCGACUGGGAUGGAAAUGGGGCCCAAGGUGUUGUUAACUUUGAUCCAAGUGGGUCUCAAGAUUAGCUUCUAUUGAGGAAUGUGACAAAGUAAGAACAUAUCAAGGAAUCAUAUGGUUAAUGUUGUGAUUACUUAACCAGGCAUCCAUUCGGUUUUCUUUUACAAAAGAUCAUUUUGCUGUAGUUAUUGUUCAUGUGUUUUGCACUGUAUUCUACAAUAAUUCAAAUUCUUCAUAUCCAAGUUGCAUUCUGAGCCAACCCAAAAACAUACCAUUCAAAGCUUUACCAUACAAAGCUUGAGAUUGGAUGUUAGGAGACUAAAAUUGUAAACCAACUUCAAGGCCUUUGUCCAGAAGCUACUUAUCUUGUAGAGUGUCCCCAUCAAUUUGGCUGCACCGAAGUGUCAAAGUCAAAUAAGAAAGAAUUGAGAAGGAAUAGGAAAAUUCAAAAAGGUGCAUCGAAGCUUGCAAUGAGGGAUAACAGUAAUAAUAAUUGAAGGUGGAUUACGCGGAUGAACGAGCCAGGCAAAAAAUCUCGCAAUCAGCACCUGAGGGAGAUGAAGUCCCCGAGUAUUGGCGGCUGAGCGGUGAUGAAGCCCCUUGGAGGAGGUUCGGAUGAACCCAGCCGUCCACUACAAGACAUAUUGGGGAGGCAGGGCAGAGAAUGGACAGAAGAGCGAAAGCCGAAUCGUCGACGAUCGCGGACGCGGACACAAGACUGUGAGCAGCUUGAGCAGAAGAGGAGAGCCCGCACACCUACGGCGCGCGAGUCAGAUUUGUCGAGAUCGGAUUUUCCUGGCAAGUGCUUCCAGCAACUUCGCAAGGAUCGCUCAUGUAGUGCCAGACGCAGCGAUCGCCCGUCGUCCAUGAGAAUUUGCCUUCUAGUUAAUCAUUCAUAACUGGGUAGACUGCUAGUACUGUCCCGCCCGCCCAAAACUGGACAUCGAUCAGACACACAAUCUAGUGUUGUAAGGGUUCGAAGUUUUAACGGUGCGGGUUCUAUAGCAGAGGAUCCCCGCUGCAGGCUACGGAUCCGUAGUGCGCACAGAGCGUUGCAGGCGAGGAAUGAGUGCAUCAGUCGAUUGAUAGUUAGGGGGUAUUGUACUGAUGGGUGGGCGAGUGUCGGCGAACGGUAUGUACCGUGGUUGUGAGGCUAUAUAAAGCGAGAGCUAGUGGAUCUGUGGGUGUGUGCAGAGGUUCCGGGCGCUCAUCCAUGUUUGGGUGGUUGUGGACGAGAGUGUAGGAGCAAAAGGGAGUGGAGUUGUGCAUAGCUCAGUUUAGCAUCGAGGUUGAAAUAUCACGUGCUGAAAGGGCUACUGGUUGUGUGGGUUGUUUGAAGGAUGUCUAGAUUGAGGGUUGUGUGAGUAGGAGAGAGCUGGUGUGUGACGAGGUCUGGGGUAGGUUCUGGAGGGGUUCGGCGAGCUUGAUUACUAAAUUGCUUGAAUGGUUGAUUGUCUGUUGGAGAGACAUCUGCGGUUCAAAGUUGAGGUGGCGUCUGGUCUUUGGGCAGUUGAGAGGUAGUGGAACUAGUGUCAUCCGUUCAGUUGUGUGCUGCCGCUGCACCAUAGCCUGUCGAGGAGUUUAAUUUUGUCUGUUUGUAAGAACUUAUAUUGAUCACAACUCGAACAGCCUUUAGACGUACUGGGGUUGUUCAGAUUAUUUUUCGAAGGAUAAAGAGAAAUAUCACUACACCAACAGAAGAUGGGCGCCCGGGAGGAGCAGGCAAGUGCAGUAGAGAAGGCGACAGUACAAGAGCUGAAGAAGAAUAAUUCCAUGCCGUCGGAGAAAGAGGUGACCUUGAAGGACCUUGCCCGCAUCAUGGCUGGCUUUGCCGCUGAUCGUGAAUGGGACUCGUUUCACAGCCCUCGUAAUCUUCUUCUGGCUCUCGUAAGCACCUCGCCGCUCAUUCAAUUUCUUUUUCUUUUUCUUUUAACUGAACUUACUGCUGAGCUGCUUCAGAUCGCUAUCAGUAUCUUGCUCCUUGUUGCUAAGACACAAGACCAAAUUCUAUGUUGAUGUGUCAUGUGAAGAAUUGCACUGCUCUUGAAAGGCCUUGGCAAUCUUGGCGCCCGCUAACAACACUUGUGCAAAACUUCUAUCAUAAAAGUCUUCCGGGAAAGACACUGACGUUUUUGUGUGAUUAUGAAAUGUAGGUGGGCGAGGUGGGAGAGCUUUCUGAAAUCUUCCAGUGGAAAGGAGAGGUACCCCGGGGUCUGUCGGACUGGGACGACGAUUCCAAGGAGCAUUUGGGCGAAGAACUCUCUGACGUGUUACUCUACCUCGUUCGUCUAGCAGAUGUGUGCAAUGUAGACCUCGGUGAGUCGGCUCUCCGGAAGCUCGAGAAGAAUGCACAGAAGUAUCCAGUGGACCUCUGCAAAGGGAACGAUAAGAAGUACCGCGAGCUUGCCAAGAAAGGUCGUGAAAAUGGCGUCCGCCGCAACAUGAACAACACCGAAAAUCUGGUCUAUGCUGACAGGCGUUAACAAUUUUCCCCCUCUUCUUUUUUGCUUCAAACAAUCUCGGCUCCUCUCACAUUGAUCACAUUUUGUACCCUUAUUGAAGAAUCCGCUAACAUUAGUAGAGUUCAGUGAAGGAAGUGCACUGCCCACAGCCAACGGAGAUGCUCGUGAAAUUUCUGCAAUUUGCUUCUUAGCCAAAUGAAUUCUCACUGUCGAAAUCUUCACCUCGGCAGUAUCAUUCAAGUCACAGAAGCAGCAUCACCCCCUCGUACUGCAGGAGCUGGUCUGAAGAAUGUGUGGUAGACUCGGUAAAUCCGCAAUCACCAUUCAUCAACCAACCUAAGUAUUAGGAGACGACCAAACAAUUUUUGUUUUUGUACUUGAGCUCCGGCAUCCAAUUAAUCUUUCCAUCACCUUCGCCACCAGGGCGAUAGACUAGUAAACAAAUAAAAAAUUUUGCUGUUCAGCACGGCCUUGUAUUCGAGUUGCAGGAAACGGUUUAGUUUCAACAUCCUGGUGUCGUGAUUAUUUAGAGUGCGGGUCGUUCGGACUUGAUGGCAGUUACAGCGUGCUAGCAUCGUACAGUAGACCAGGUAGAGUAUAAAACUAUGUGGAACUUACAGAUAAUAAUUUGUCUUCUUUUGUAAAUCACAGAACCCAAACUGCUGUGUCCCAAACCAUGCCUUGUUCAUGAGACCUUAUGCUUGCAAAUUACAAACUGUGAUUUAACUUUUGCUUAGUGAGCAUCAAUUAAAGUGUGCACACUGGUCACAAGUUCCCGACUGAACAAUUUUCUUAACUGCUGCUGCUCGGUAUACACACACCCUCUUUCUCUAUUUCUUCUUGUAAGCUUCCAGAUCAGUUUACAGGCUCUUGGGGUUGAGCAAAUACAUCCCGAGCCGGGGAUCUCCUCUACGUCAUUACACAUUGUAGGGAAUGAACAUCCACACGGAAAUUAUCCAAAUCUAAAGAAAAAUUGGAAGUCAUGAGGUGGACAUGGAAGUCGAGCAGCAAGUGACAAAAUGUCCAUCAAAAAGCACAGGGGAAUAUCACAACACAGAGUAGUACUUUACCGCACAAAAGAUCAAGAAGGAUGUCCUUUACUUUCUUUUGGAGUAAGACACUUUAAGUACUUCACGUGUAGAGUUUAAGACAACUGACUUUAACAUGAACCCCUCCAUUGAAGCAAUCAUUGUCCAAAAUCUAUCAUACUUUAUGCAAUCACAAGCAAUAGAAAACCCAUUCCUCUCUGAAUAAAGUCUGGGUCCUCUCUUCAUUUUUGAGUUUUGAGGUUGAUAAUGAUGCUUGAAUGAUUCAGGUGGAAACAUAUCUUGAGUAUGUGGAGAAGUCUUCAGUGUACUUGGUUCAGUCUUUAAACCAGUUAGCAAUUCCACAGCUGCAAAAAUUGUGCAUGAAAAAGAAAGAACCAAAAACACUGUGUCUGGAUGUUCAUGUAACAAAAAAGAACCAAAAAACACUGUAUCUGAAUGGUCACUUAAUAAAAUUUAUCUUUCUUGUGAGCAUGGAGGCUACUGAAUAAGACUGGCAACUUACCUGGGCUUACAUGUCAAGGGAGCACUGUCCCAGACUGUGAGAAUAACUGCACAUGGUACCAUAUAUUUAUAUAUAUAUAUAUAUAUGUAUAUAUAUAUAUUGUUUCCUCCAAAUGGGAAUCAAUAACUGGAAAACCAAGAACUAUGUGGGGAACCAAUCCAGACUCCACAUCAUGGGCAGCAGGAACACACAAGAACAUGAUUUUUACUGUUCUGGUUUGACCAUUCUUGAAGUGAGUUAUAUAUACAUUUUUAAAACAAGGCAGGGAAGAGAAAGAGUCCAUAACUUGAGGGGCUGCCACAGAUUUACAUUGCAAAUUAGAGUUAUUAAUUGUAUUUAUUAUGCACUUUUGAUUGAAGUACAUAUAAAUUUCAACACUGUCUUUAAGAAAUGUGGGGGGUAGUCAAAGAGACCAUAGCUAUCAAGCCACUUGGUCCUCCUCAUUUUUUUUUAUUUUUUUAUUUUUAUUUUUUAUUUCCUUUUGGAGAACUAGCAGUAAAUUUUAGUACUUACCAAGGGCAAGACAUCUCACCAGCAGUUUUAUCUUGUGUACUAACUCAUAUCCUCACUCAAGUCCAAAAAGCCUUGUGUGUGCUUUUGUAUAGUAACCUCUCACCUAAGCUCUCUCAUCAAGCUUUGUCAGAACUUGUCCCAUCACUGCCUUCUUUGUUGUCCAACAGCAACCAAAGCCCUCUCUCUUUCAAAUCCUAGGGACAAAAUCUCCACCAUUGACAACACCACGCCAACACUAAAGUUCAAUUAACAGUCUCCAACCCUCUCUCUCACUCACUCCCCCCCAUAAACCCAUAAACCCAUAAACCCUUCCUUACCUGAAACUCUAAUAACAACCCAAAAACAUUGCUGUGUUGAGGGGCAACAGGAGCUGUGCACACAAGGGGCAGGAGGGGGGGGGGUCCUAAAUAAAGUGGGGCCUCUGACAUAAAGCAGCGGAAGUUUUUUCAUGCUAUUUAAUUUUUUACAUUGAUUUAUUUAAGCUUGAGCUAGUGGAUGAGGUUGAUGUUUUGGAUUGGUGGCUCAGAGCUCUAUGAAAAACAGACGUUGCAGAUUAGAGUCACCCUGCAGAAUCCCACCAAACAUAUGGAUGGAUGGAUGAGGGGAUAGGGAACGUCAAAGAUCGUUUCCAUGGGUGCCUCCCCAAAAAUGCACUAGGAAACAUACAAAUCUAAGAUAUUUUUAACAUUUAAUUGAAUGAAAAAUACUUAAAUACAAAUAUAUAAAUAAAUUAUUUUUAUCAAUGGAAAAUCCAGAAAUAGUAUUUAAUAAAAAAUCAUCUGAAACCUUACUGCAAAUUUUCUAAAAACUAUACAUAUUUAUAGGCAAACUUCAAGGUACAAAUUUACAAAAAGAUAUUGACCUUGAAGUCUCUUGCUUUACCAGAUGAGUGAUUGUUAAAAGCAACUUUGAUAUAUAUUGUAGGAUUGCCUGUAUUUAUCUUUAUCGAACAUUUAAAAAAUAACAAAAUUUGUAUUAAAAAAAAUCUAUAAUCAUAGAAUAGAUUAUAAUCCACCUCAGAGUAUGAAAAUUGUAAAUCUUCUAAAAAAGUCUAAGAAAAAAGAAAAAAGGAAAAAAUAUAUUUUAAAUUGACCUUUAGUCUAGUCCUUUCUAUCUAUUUAGAAAAGGCUUGGACUACAAGCAUACCCCAAGUUGCUAUACACACAUCCAUUGCAUCUAUUCACACAUCUAAGGUUUUUGGUUGGCUCAUCCAAAUCCAUUAAUCCUUAUCCUAAUGUGAGUCCCAUUGCUUCUCUUCAUUGUCCCGGUGCAAGUCCCACUCCUUCACAAAUCUAGCUAUAAGUACUCCUAGAAAGUUUGUCUUCUAUUGCCUCAUAUGAGGUCUUCUUGAAGUUGAUAUAAGUAAUGAGAAUGUUGCAUUCUUCUCAAGUUAAUUGCACCUGCUUCUUAUACAAAAAGGUCCUUCAAAAAGUAACCAAAUUCCUCAAAAAAACCUGCUCAACUUCAUCAAGAGUACAAAUCUAGACUAAUCUCAACAAAUUCAUUUCUACUUCCUCCAAACAUUGACAAUAUAUUGAAGAAGACCUAAAUCAAUGUUGGACACAAUUUGAAAUAAGAUCUAUAUUAGCCAUGAAAUCUCUUAAAGAAUUUUUGUUGAUUAACAACAUAACCAAAUAACUUCAAGAUGCUCUUUAUUUGAUUAUUUUUUGAGAGCAUCUUUUAUGAGUGUGUCUUAAGAUCUCACUGCCAAGAAAGAUAACAAGAAUAGUUGGUUGAAGAGGGAUGAAAUAAAUUUUAGGAAAUAAAGAAGGAGAGUUAGAAAAGGGUGAUACCAUAUUAAUGCAUGAUAUUGCAAAGUAUUGGCUCUAAGCAAAGAUGGUAUAAUGUUUGGCUCUUGGCAAAUUUUUGCUACUUUUCUUUAUGGUGUUUGUGUUUAUUAAGGAAGGCCUUCAGUUCCUAAGCCUUAAUUGUCUCUUUUUCAUUCUCAAACUUCAGCUUAACUAUUGUUUCUUCCAACUAUGAUAUCUCAUUUUCCAUCUUCCAUUUUUCUUCUUCUUUCAUAAUCUUCAUACAAAGCUCUUGCACAUCAAUAAAAAAAAAUGUCAAGGAGGACCAAGACCUACAUCAAGAUAAGAAAAAAGGGAUUUGGAUGAGCCAAGUAGAAGCCUAAGAUGCAUGUAUAGACAUAAUGGACAUGCGUAUAGCAACUUAGGGUGUGUUUGUAGCCUUAGCCUUUAGAAAAUCCUACUAGCAUUCAAGGUUAUUACUAAUAACCUCCCAAAUUUUGUUUCAUUUUAAAUUCCUUAAUGAUAUGAAAAAAAUAAUCAAGAAUACUAUGCAGGCAAUCAAAUGUCAAGACAUCAAAAGUUGUGGUUUCAAAUUGUGUAACCAACAAAAUUUCUCUCUUUGAAUAUUGAUGUGCAAUGUAAGCUUGGAACAUGAGAAGUGAGAUUAUGAAAAGUAUCUUUGCUGAAUAAAUGAUAAAAUGUAUAUAAAUAUAAAUAUAUAUAUAUAUAUAUAUAUAUAUAUAUAUUUUAAAAUAAUUUUAUGAAAGAAGACUUUUCAGCAGACAAUGAUCUAAAAAGUUUCCACAGUUUGUUGAAAAGUAAAGACUAAGAGCCAUUAGGGUGGUGUAGCAAAAAAGAGGUGUAGAUUGGAGAUUGCUAACAAAAGAAUAAGGACAUCACACAAGACUUGAGGAAUUUGGCUUGUUUUUAUAUACUUGCUUGCCAUGGGAGCAGUGAACAUAGCAUGUCUUUGGUCCAAAACUCAAGGUCCUUAAAACCUUUAGAAGAGUGCAACUGUAGGUAACAGAAGGCAAAGAUCUUCAUCAACAAAAGUUCACAUAAAUCAUAUACAUAUUAAGCAAGGACAUCCUUUUCAAACAGUGCUUCCUUGACUUUUGACUCUGUCUCUAUAUUGAAUCUUGUUUGAUUGCUAACUCAAUUUUGUACCCAAUUUUGAUUUUUCUAAGAAAAUACAGUCUACCGCAAUGGGAGUGGUUGUCUUAUAACUGUAAUUGUCCAAAACUGAUGAUUUUUAAAUUUUUUUUUUUUUAUGAUGAGUGUUAGAAUGUAGAAGUCCUCGUAACAACAUCAAAUUGAUUAGAUUUUAUACAUUAAGAAUUGCGUUGAAGCUUGUAUUUUGAUAGAGGUUGUUUUCUUCAAUAUCAAGUAAUGUAUAAUUUGCUUGCAAAGCUACAUCUUCAAAAUGUUUUAGGGUAUGAUUUGGACUUGGAGGAUAAAAAAACAGAUUAAAAGACAAAAAUAAGUGGAAACAAAUAAAUUAGGAAAAUUACCACCAAAAUUCAUUAGAUAAAUCUUUAUAAGUUUUAAUACAUAUAACCAAAUGUUUCUUUAAACAAAUUCCAAAGAGAUAUUUAAUGAAUCAAAUAAAUUAUUGAUUGAGAAAUAGUUGCAUAUUUGUAUAUAGAUGAAUUUGACAUAAUGUUUUAUAGAUUUUAAUGAAAAAAUAAAAUUAUAUAAAAUCAGAUAAUAUAUAUAUAUAUAUAUAUAUAUAUAUAUAUAUAUAUUUGAAAAGGCUAAAAACUUGUACACACUUGUAAAACUAUGUUAUUUCUAUUUUACAAUUAUUUAUUCUAAAAAUAAUUAUUUCAAAGACCUAGUCUUUAUAUUGAUUAUAUAUAUAUAUAUAUAUAUAUAUAUAUAUGUAAUUUCAAAUACAAGUAUAUAGAAUAUAUAAAUAUUAUCAAAAAAUAAUUGACUUACUUCUUUGCAUGUAUUAAAUUUUAUAUAAGAAAUAUUACAAUUGCAAAAAUUAAGUUAGAAGAAGUUGAUAUAUUUAUAAUAAAACUCAUUGAAAUAGCUUAAUAUGGCUUUUAAGUUAGGAAAUAAUCAAGAAAUAUUCAUUUGUAUUGAGUCUUUGUUUAAAAACAUAUUUUAUAAAAUAUUAAACUUUUAAUAUAUUCAAUAUUUAAAAUUUGAAGAAAAAGCUUAAAUAGGUUUAAUUUUUUUUUGAGUCAUAGUGUCUUCUUGGUAAAAUAUUAUGUUGUACUUAAAAAGUCAUAUAUUUGUGCUUGAUCUUUUGAAACAUAUAAAGAUCCUUUAUUUUUUAUUUUUUGACUCAAGUUUAUUUAAACCAUUAUAAAGCUAAUUUUUAACUUCAUAAACAAGAAGGGUUUUUUAAUAUAAAAUUUUAAGAAACUUAUCGGAGAAUAUAUAUAUAUAUAUAUAUAUAUAUAAUUAAUUAAAUUUAAAAAAAUACUAAAUAGAUACCUCAUUUCAUAUUACUUAGACAGCAUUUCUCUCACAUACACACCUCUAUAAUAAAAAUAAAUAAAUAAAAUAAAAUAAAAUAAAAUUUCUUUUGAAUUAUAAUUCUUAUUGUGUUUAUUAUUUUAAUAUAAAAUUUUAUAUAAAAUUAUCCAUCUAUAUUUUAUGGUUCUAUACUAUCUCACUCUUUAAUUCUUUUUUCCUUGUAAAUCUUUGUUCAAUUAAUUUUUGAAUAAUAAAUACAUAAAAAAUAUUGUACUUUGUUAUUAUAAUUAAUUAUUUAUUUUUUUAGGAAAUUUAAUGUUUAUUUUAAAUAAAAAAUAGUCAUUUUCUUUUGGAAGCAUGUAUACAAAGGGGUGUCUACCCAGCAUUUUUCUAAAUUUUUAACUUUAUAGCACAAAGAUGCAAUUGCUUUGGUUUCAAAAGAAUGAUUUUUAAUUAUUCAUAAGUUGUAUCAUAUUUUUUUGGCACAAGUUAAGAAUGCCUAGACAUAUAUUUUAAUAAAUAUUAUUUAUUUUUCUAAGACAAUGCAUAAUACUAGAUACAAAUUGUGAUAUAUUCAUAUUUUACAAAACUUGAAAAUAAUGCAAGACAUGUGCUAAUAUAUAAUACUUAAGAUGCUUAUAAUUAUUAUAAAUUAUGACCAUACUAAAAGUGUUGUCAAGAUAUUAAUGACAAUUUUUAACUGAAUAUUUAUUUUUAAUUUUUAAGGUAUAGAUUAUUAAGGUUAUUAGUAGUAGUUUAUAAAUUAUUAAUAAUUUAUGAAAUAUUAGUUUAUAAAAAAAAAUUAAAUCAAAAAUAAAAUCAAUAUAUUUAUAAUAUAAGAAAAAUGAAUUAAUAAAUGUAAAAUUAUUUUUUUGAUAUUUAUUUUUGGUUUUCAAAGUUUUUAUAUAUAUGAAAUUGUAAAUCAAUUUAUGUAUUAAAAAAUCAAAUUUUAUAUUUUUUAAUGAUAAAUCUUAUUUUUCUAAAUUAAAAUUAAGUAUGUAUAUAUAUAUAUAUAUAUAUAUAUAUAUAGAUGCAAUGACUAGUAUUCAAAUAUACUAAAUUUGAAAGUAUUUGGAUUAAAUAAUUUUGAGGUUGAAUUUUAUUUAUAAGUUGUACUUUCUUUAAAAAAUAUUAAAAUUUUAGUCUAAUACUAUCAAGCUUUUUUAGAAGAAAAUUCUUUAAUUCUUUUGUAGGGUUUUUUUUCUUUUUUCUUUUUUCUAUAAGAUACUUAAGGUAGUACAAUUAUAGAAGAAAGCAUUGCCAUCUUUAUAUUUUUUUAUUAAUAUUUUUUAAUAUUAUUUGAGGUAAAAAAUAGAAUGGAUAUAUUAGAGGUAGAAAUGUUUUUUUACUUAUUUUGCAUCUAAGCCAUAAUGUUAUUUAUUUCUACUAAUCAUUUUAUAAUAUAAAAAUCUAAGGAUUUGUACAUAAGUCAAAGAAGAAAAAAAUAGAAAUAUAGAGAUAAUAUUAUUCUAAAAAAAAUAGUCAACAAUCUCUAAAGUAUUCUAAUACUUUUAUAAAAAUAAUAAUACUAAUACUAAUAAUAAUAAUAAAAAUUUUAUAAAAAAUAAUCAAGCUUUAACAAUAUAUGUAUUGAUCUUGUUAUACAAUUAAAGAAAUGAAUCUAAAAAAAUUUAUCAAUACAUUAUAUAUAUACAUCUAUUAUUAGAAAGAAAAGAAAGAAAAUAAAAUCAAAAUUAUUUUCAUAUAUAUAUAUAUAUAUAUAUAUAUAUGAAGAUAAAAAAAAUCUAGAAAAUAUUGAACUAACAUCAAAAUAAAAGACAAGCAUUUAUAAGACUAAAGAUACCCUUAGUUUUGCUUCUAUAUGCACCAACUAAUAAGGUCAUUUAGAAGUUUUUUAAAGACCACAAGACUUGUUGCCCAAGAGUCUAAAUUGACCAAGUUGAAUUAGAGCUUUGAGAUGUAUAAAUAGCAUAAAAAAACUUAUUUUUUUGAGGUUUUUAUAAAUUUUCUUUUUCUAAUAAAUAGAUUCUUGAUUUUCAUAACAGAAGACACAAUUCUUGUUUUGGUAUUAACUAAAGUAAAUCUUGAGAGAAUUUAAGACUAUUUACAGAUUUUUUUUUUUUCAAUCACAUUGGAUUCAAAUUAAUAAAAUUAAUUUGAGAAUUAAUAAUAUUAAAAAUCUUUUGUUCAAGUUUUUAAAAAAUUAUUAAGUUGAAUUUAAUUUAGAUCACUUUUGUUGUAAAACAUUAUUUCAAACAUGAAAAAAAUAUAUAGUUAGUUAGUUAGUGAUUCCAUAUUUGUUUACAACAACAGUUAAUACUAUUUAUUCUAUUUUGGUGAGAUAUUAAAGAGGAGGGUAUGUGCAAAUGGGCCAUCAGAACAUCUUUUUCAUUGCUAAAGUAGAAAACAGCUGAAAAUGAAAGGAAGAUGUAUCAAAGAACGGUUUCAUACAGAAAUAACGUGGUUUAAUGGAAUAGCAAUGGAAUUGAGAAAAUUGAAAGUACUGACACCAGAACUUGAAGAUACUGGCACAAAUUUGAAAGAUUGUUGGAAGGAAGAAUUUAAAUGCUUUGUUUUUUCCAACUCCAUUGUUUUCCCCCUAAACAGCACAGAGAAAACAAUGUUACACUCAAAAUAGGGAGGCCCCCAAUCUGGUUUAUAACCAAUCUCAACCCAAAAAGAAAUUGAAACUUCCUCUAACCUCCAAAGAAAACUGCACCGUUUACUGAAUACGCACUUUUAAAUCUAAACAUGAAUAUGAAUUUUUUUCAAAUUCAUUCUCCAAACCACCCUCCUUUGCUUCGUUGCUCAACAUUUUAGCGAAGAGAUUAAGUGCAAUAAGAUCAAAGGAUUUUGCUGCAGCUGUCAACUGGAUCAAUCUUAUAGUUAUUUGUUACUAGUGGAUUGAUGUACAUGACAAGUAAAUGAGGUGCUGCUUGGAGUUCAGACGUUGGAUUAGUCCUUUGAAAUUAAGUGGGAUCUAGUCGGAGACUUCUGUGAUUGAUUGACCAAGGAUCUCGCACAUUUCUCUUCCUUCUAAUCGCGUAGUCUGUAAAUGAAGAACUUGGAUAAACUCAUGUCGACAUGAUAAUGGUGUUGUUCUACAUAUCCUACUGAGGGGUGUAGUGUUCACAGAACAAAGGAGAUUUCUCUUAGUAAGGAAAAUUAGAUUGAUGUUUUUGUUGCAUCUUAAAACCAGUUCCUCAAAUUUAUGAACGAGACUGGUGCCCUACUACUUCGGCUGAUUAAGUGUCUGAUAUAGAUGUGGAGGUACAUCAUUGUUUCCUCAUUAGACAAGGGAGCUUUUCUUUGAGAAGUGCUCGAAUACGCCACAUAGGAAGUGUGGUGAAAGCGAAUCUGAAGCUUGGGAGAGGUAAUGGGACUCCGAACCCCAACGAAGAGCUUGGGUGCUCACAUCUAACGACGAACACAACCCACCUAGUUUUGUAUAACAUAAUGGACCUGAUCAGACGUAAAUCGAUCAAAAGACCUAUUCAGAACUUGAUUCUUAUUCAUUUACAUGUUACUCAAACUCUGCACCAGGUAUCUAUUCGCGCGUCAUGAAUAAAAAAAAGUUACAGUCCUAUUUUCUUAGAAUUUAAAGAACUUCUUUCAUAUCUUUCGAUGUUUACAUUCCAUCGACCUCAGAGUUUCAUGUUCAAUAAGCUAUGAGCCUUCGAAUUGAUAACAUCGUAUGCAAAUUUACCUCAACCGCUGCUGUUGUCGCCUUUGCAUAGGCUAUUUUCUUUGGUGGUGUUGAGUUCAUCAAACUAAGUUCACUGUCUUCAACAUACACACACAUCUCAUUUGAAGUUGUUGACAAGGGUGACAAACUUUCUUCACAAAAUAAAGCAUUGUGCGGUGGUCCAUUCUUCAGCAACUGUUGUCUGUACAGUUCACCUAUUUCGGAUUGCAAUUUUGUGUCUGAUUUAACAGAAUGCUACAUAUUUAUUAGCUUUCAUCAUCAAACCAUUCAGUUCCUGAUAAAGUUCAUGAUAUUCUCCAUGCCUUGGCGAGUAUUGAUGCAAAUCUCCCAUUCAGUGCUCUUCCUUGAAUCAUUGAAGGCUAGUAACUUUCAAUCAAUCAGGUUAUGUAUUUCUGUGGUGUCUUCAUCCCUGUCAAGUGUCUCCAUUACUUGUUUUUACUACUAGAAAGUUUUGCAAGUGACCUAUUCUCAUUUUACUCGAACCCCUAGCAUUUACCUGUUCAAUUUAUUGGGACCAAAAAAAUCCCUCGUCUGUCAAGGUGGGAAUGAAUUCCUCAAGCCAGCUGCUGAUCUAUCAUCUCUGCUACAUAGUAGCCUUGAUCAGUAUGUUAAAACCCUGGAUUAUUUCCGAUGCAUGGAGCUAAUCGGUUUAGUCUUAGCCAAGGAAUUAUGCUAAGACCAUUACUUUCAGCACAAUUGAUACAAGGACCCAAUUUCCCUGAUAGUCUCUCUGAUAAUAAGAUUAACUACAGAAAUUAAGAGUAGCAGACAAUAAGAGUUACUAUCAGAGAAAUUGGGUCUUUGUGGCAUAGUCCAUCAAUCUAGUAGGGUGCCGACAUACUCAAUGAAGAAUCCCAUUUUAUUGGGACACCUCCUGCCAAGUACUUUUCAAAAGCAGCUAAUCUUUUUCUUUCUUUUGCAUGAAUUUGGGAUUUGCACUGGCAGAGGCUAGCACAUUUUCAUGUGUGUUGCACGUGCCCUGUUAAAAUGGCUCUGGGUGAAGCAAGGAUAGUCGUGAUCGAAGCUACUGCUGUUUGGAUGCCUCGUCCUACACGCUACAUGAAUGUUGUGUUAUUGCAAUGCAAGACCUUCGGCUGUGAUCCUCGUUGCAAAUUUCUCGAUUACUUUUGUCCUGAUUUAGAGAGUUCGCAAUCAGUGUGAUGUCUUUUUUUUAUCUCCCAAUUCAUUUGCUCCAUGGAAGGGAAAAAAAAAAAAAAAUCUUUUUUCUGACACUCUCUCGAAAUGCUAGACUGAAAGCAGCUAAGCUACCUCUCCUGGAAUCUUCGAAAAUAAUACUGCCAGUGCCGUGAAACGUUUGGAUCCACUGAGCUUAAGACAUAUCUCAGUGUGCAAAAUUUUGUUUGUUUCCAAGACUCGGUCUGACGUUUUUUUGACAGUUCCAUGGGAUAAGAGGCAUCAAUGUUUUGAUAUCACGUCUCAGUAGGUGAGCAUACUUAAUGUUUUAUAUGAAGUCCUCAGACUGAGGGUAGCUCUCCGGAGAAACCGGUUUUUCCAGACUGCCCUUUAAUUCACAUUCCCUGCAGAAAUUUGUGUACUUGAGCACCUCGUGAACUCAGCUAGUGGCUGUAGGUAACUGUGCUCCUAGAUGUUCCAAACCCUUAUGUGGAAUUCAAAAGCAUGUGACCCUUACUGAUGUUGGAAGAUAUUGUCAGCUAGUCAGUCCGUAGCCACUCGUUCAUCUAGAAAGUGGAGAUAGACAGGUCAAAGCACGUAAGCGAAUCUUUCUCUGGGUUUGAUAUCAGCUGCAUUGCAUUAGAUUUACUGUCUGAGUUGGUCCACUGUUGCUCUUGUUUCAUCUUUUCGCAGGUUAGGAUUUCGAGUCACACCAGCAGGCAACCUUCUUCAAACCUUGAAUGGCUCUAGCUAUUUCUUCCGACUAUCUAGAAUCCAGGUUUGAGUCCUUCCACUCCUUUUGUCGUGCAAAUAUUUGCCUUAAUGAUUGACUUUUCGAGAGCAACUCAGCUUGAGCAGGUUCUUGGGUUCAGCAUGUUUUCCUUCCAAUCAGCUUUGUGGAUAAUCUUGAAAGCAGCUCUUUUGACAAUUAAUGCUUUUGUCUAGCGCCUACUAAUUAUAUUUUGGCAUUAAAAAUUAUCCGAAACCCCCCCCAAAGAAAGCGAUUAAAACACCAUCAGAUCCAAACUCCAUUAAACGUCCCAAUCACUACCAGAGCCUAGCAUCAAACUCUCAUGGAGUGCAUGACAACUACUGAUCUUAUCUCCUGGUUCCUUGGUACUCCACUUCAUGAUGGAGUCCAACCUUUGUUGAACCAGCCUUGAGGAAAAGAAAAAUAAUUGAUUGAUCUACAAUUCUCAAAAACCUUUGCCCCUACUCUGUGAAACUCACUUGAAAAACAAAACUAAAUUCAAGUGAAGGAUUGUCAAAUAUGGUGGUGUGUGGAAAAAGUCCAAGAAUUAUUACCUUGUUCUUCAAAACCCAUAUUUCAAAAUCAUGAAUUGAGGAGCAUGGGCGGUAGGGUGAACAACUAGCACUAUGUGCACACACGAGUUUCUCCAAAACUGAACCCAUUUUCCUGCUUUGUAACCCCUACUUUCAGACGAAAUCAAAUCCACCACGAUUCUGGUAAGCAAAAUGAGUGAGGACCAUCACAAGGAACUUGUUCCUGGACCACGCCUGUGCAGUUAUUGCAAACAAUGUAGAGAAGCCAUGUCAAACAGAUAAGAAGAUACUACUCUGAGAUUCACGUAAUUCUUAUACUGUUGAAGAGGCAGCCAUUUGAUGACCUAACAGUGGAAGAGAAGAUUCAGCACGGCAUCAAAUGGCUGCCAUCUUGACGAGCCUGCAAGCAUGAUGCGCGGCAGAAUAUUUAUCCUGAGGACGACAUUUACUUGUAUUGUGUUGAAUUAUUAUUGGUAAGAAUGCUAGAAAUAAUAUUAAUAAUAUUAAUAAUAUUAUUAUUAUUAAUGUGUGUUUGAAAACUAUCAGAUGUGCAAAAUGGACUGUAUUGAAUGGCAUCAAGGACGUAACUGAACGUUCUGGGCGGCAUCACAAAAUAAGGUUCAUCCAGCGCUUGGGUGGAACAUCGAAUGGACUUCAACCCCUUUGCACAUAGCAAGCAGAAUAAAGAGAUCCCCUCGCACUAAAGCUCACGCCCACCAUGGAAAGUAACCAGGUGGUGAGAAGUAGAGCAUUUGCGCAGUGGAUAAGAUGGCCCAUCCAAUGCCAGCUAGCACUGGCUCUGUUCCUCCAAGUGGAAUCCAUCUGCAGGAGCAACCAUGAAAACUAAAGCUUGGGGGGGGGGGGGUCCCAUCUCUUUCUCAUCUUUAAGGCUCUUUCGCAAAAAGACCCUCAGUUCUGUCCAUUUCUUACUUGAGAUUAGCAGAUGGGUUGUCAGUGCAUCUGACCACCUUAUCCACGCUUCUUCUGCUUCAUUAACACCAUCGUGCCUAAUCCUACUUCAACUGCCACUUCUAGGAUGGAUAUCGUUUCGAAUAAACCACACUUGUUUAGUGUAGCAACCGGGAGUCAAUUCUUUGGACAGAAUAGGCCAAACUUCUGAACCGUAACGAGAUUUGCAAUCAACAUCGUAAGGUGCCGUUUGAACUUACAAUGUGCAUGUUUAACCGGAUUUUUAGUAUUUCUCGACACAAAAGAAACUGUGCUGAGAUGCACACUGGAAACUGGCAUCUUCCUUCGAAGAAGAAAGUGGUGGUUUGCUCAGCGAAGUCUACGCACAUUCAGGGCCAAAUCCUCAUUUUGAGCGAUGCACGACUCAAGGUAGAUUAGCUUGUGGAAUCCACGGCAAUUGCUAGAUAUGAAUGAGUCAUAAAUGAGAGGGAAUGCAUAGAGACAAGGUAGCCUUAUCUGAAAGGAAAAGAGGAGAUUGGUCAGGCAGAGAUGGCACGACUCAGCGAUCCAAUGGUGCAAGCUACAUGGCGCCGAAGAUCUCCGAUUGCACCCCAUUUCCUUUGAAUGUGAAACGAACCUCCCCGCAUUGCUGCUUCGAACACAGCGGUUUGUGCGGGCGCGGUUGACGUGGGGAUUGAUCGCCGAUUCUUUGAAAGCGAAAAAAAAAGGUGGGACCCUAGUAAGGACAAUCAUGGAUAUGGAAGGAGACUCGACGGGAAAAAUCAACAGAGUAUGGUUUCCGUUUGUCAGGCUCCGCCAGACACUGUUUCUGCGGUGGUUAUUCAACGCCGCUCUGAGAGGAGGCUUGCUGUGGCCCAUUCUGUGGACGGCAACAUUGCGGCUCCAGCCGACGCGUAAAGAAAUCUUAAACAUACAGAAACUCUGUUGAAUCUAAGCCACCUGUGGAGAUUCAGCGGUGGAUGAACAACAGUUUCCAACCACACGGAGCUCGACCAACCAACCCAGUGCCGUGAGCAUCUUCCUUAUGGCGGAGAGUUUCCGAGCAUUUUGUAGGUCAACAGUUCGGUGAUUGUUUGCUGAAGGAGGUUGAGAUUCAGCCAACUCUCGUGCUCUGGAAUUCCAAGGGCGUGAGAGAACUAUGCAGUUUUUCUCGGCGACUUGAAUCAUCGACGCAAGUGUGUGUCCCUCUUUGGCUGCAGUCCUUCGCUGCUGUCUUACAAAACCAAAGAUUCUAGUUGAUAUCAAAGUUUAAUAAAAUGGAUGCACAAACAAAUAAGAUCCGACGUGGACUUGAAUUCAUGAUUUAUUCUACGCCCUCGUCUUCUUAUUAUUCGUCGUUUGCAUGUGUUAAUUUGCGAUCCUUGGUUUGUCCUGUCUAGUUUAUUCAGCUGUCCAUAGCUAUGUCUCUUCAUGCUUUUCCUAUUCUGGAGUACUUUCACAAUUAUGGCUUGCGUCUGAGUCCAGGUGUGUGCUAAUUCAUUAAAUUGUCAGAAAACUGUCCAUGGUGAAGAAACGCAUGAAAAACGUGGCAAUGCCUUUCCGUCUACAAGCUCUAAUUUCUAAAAAUAAAUAAACAAAUAAAUAAAAUGUAGUAUCCCUAGUAUGCUUGCUUUUCAUGUGAGUUAGAUAUUCAAGCCUCGUGAGUUAAAAAUAGAAAACAGCGAUUUUUUAUUAUUUAAGUUCAAAUGAAAUCUUAUUAUUUUAAUCGCAGAUUAGGGUGUUGAAGGUACAUGAAUCGAGCAGGUCUAAGUAUUUAAAUGGACAUGACAUGGCUGAAUUAAAGAAGAUGAAUAAGUGUCACAAUAGAAUACAUGUGCAUAAUCUAAAUAAAGCACACGGUGCACUGAAAAAAGAUGUUUGUAUGUCUUGGUGUAGCUAUUAUGUUCGAUACCCGGUUCAACAGUGGUGUGUAGAGUCAUUUCUUUCAACUUAUUAUCCCUGUUACUCUUCAUGAACAUUUAUAUCACUAUACGGCAGUAACAAACACACAAAGAGGUAUAACGAUAUUAAUUAUAUUAAUAUAUAUAUAUAUAUAUAUAUAUAUAUAUAUAAUCAUUCACAGUCGCCAUUCAUUACCAACGGAGGAGAUCGGUAGUGUCAGCAUUUCGAUCGAAGCCGAAGCCGUAAUACCUGCAACAGUUAGCCGAAUGAAGUCCGACGGGGAGGGGGGCAGACGUCGGCGACCAGCGCCUUGCAACGCAGCGUGCCAAUGCUAGCAUCGCCGUGAUGCCCAAUUCCUAUAGAAGAAAAGCUUGAGCAGCCUCAUCAUACCAACCAACCAACACACACACACCUCGCUGAAACCAGAAACGACGACGCCACUUGUUCGCACUAGAAUUGAAGCCAACUCACACUAAUAUAGGAAAGUGCUGACUUGGCUUACGCUUAGUGGAGGCUGAGGUGCUGUAACAGCUCGACAUUUGGAUAAGUGCUUUGGGGGGAUAGGAGAGAUAUUAACUUACUUUUCUGGAUCAUUCGUUUGAAGCUACGGUUUUAAGAGUGUGAGCCACGGCAGUCAGUCCUACACACUCUUUGGUUUAUUUAUUGGCUGUGCUCAUUGUUCAUUUUCCCCAUCUCUGAUUUUAUUGUGCCUCUUCAACUUUCACUUUUUUAUUAAGUACAAAAAGUGAUCAAUGUCAAAGUAUGUUUGAGGUAUUACCGAUUAUUUAUUGGUUUGUAAUUUGUUUGUCUAUCUCCACAUGCAAUUUUUCAAGUUCUAGUAUUUUUUAUUGAGUACGCAUUUGGGGGUUCAUUCAUGGCACAUUCACAAAACCAAAUAACUGGGGUUCAACACUUGACAUAUUCAAGAUCACUCGAAAUAUUAAAUCAAAAUAUCAUAGUUCAAACUUCAUUACCCCUUGAUAUUACCUCUUGCUUCAAACUUUAUUACCCCUUUGAUAUGGAGUUAGAGAGAGAAGAGAGCUGAGGCAAGCGAUAUGUUUUUGAUAUUUGACCUCCCCUCUGUCAAUAUUUUGAUUUCAAAAUCACCCACCUUGCAAGGUGGGUGAUUUGGUGAAGUAUUAAGUAAUAUUUUGAAAUAUCACAUUGAUAUUUUGAGAUCUCAUCACAAGUGAAAUAUCAUCCAAAAAGGUCAUGUUUGCUUUGUAUUCAAACUAAUUGGUAUACACUAUAAAUAAUUUAGAUGGAAUUGGUUUGUUCAAUAACAAGUGUUGAACUUUGAAUUCAUGUGUGCAUUAUUUUGAAUCUGUACUUUAAAAGUUCAUAACAGUAAAAAAUUUCAAUUGAUAUUAAUAUCUAAUUUCUCAUUUUUUAAAUGAGAAAAUCUACAAAAAAAAAAAAAAAAAAAAACAAUGGAAUAAGAUUGGAUGUUCUGCAACUGAAAAAUACCACUUGAUUGAGAACAAGUUGGAUUUUUGUUUGAAAAAUAAUCUCAAGGAUGUCAUCAGGUACAUGUAAAAGAUCAUGAUUCAAUAUCUUUGUUUGUGCUGAUAGAAAUCCAAGUCAAAUGUUACAACUUUUUAAUGUGAUUUUUUAGGAAAAAUAUUUUUAUACAAUUAUCAAAACAAACAAUAACUGACUGGAGCUUUCAAACACAUUGAGUGCCAUACAAGACUAUAUCACUUACAAUACAUAACUCUGCAAUAUCUUUUAUAUGUAUAUAUACAUAUAUAUGUAUAUAUACAUAUAUAUAUAUAUAUACAUAUAUAUAUAUAUAUAUAUAUAGUAAAUGUGUAAAGAGAGAGUGAAGUAAAUCAUCAUCCUUGCAAUUGAGUAAUCAAACUUUAGAAAGAAAAAAUAUUGGAUUCCUUUGAGUUAGGGCCAAAAUGAAGAUUGUAUGUAUAUGUAUAUAUAUAUAUAUAUAUAUAUACAUACACAGUUAUAAAAUUUUGUUGGGUUGCAAUCAACUAUAAGCUUGAAUAACGUGGUUGAAAUCUAUUAAACAAUACAUGGAUACAGUUAUGACAAAGACCAUUUUAACACUUGUCUUGUUCAUUUUAAAGUUAAGUUAUAUUGACUAUUUGAUUAAUAAUAGAUAAUUCCAGAUGAUCGAAAUUGGUUAAUCACAGCCGUUUUACCUUAUCUGGAUCAAAUUUCAACUCUAUUGUGGGAAUAAGCAAGUAUCAUGUGUGUUUCUUGGGGGUUCAACAUAAACAACUCACUACCAGUUUACAAGCUGUCUGCAAUCAAAUGUGAACAGAAUAAAACUAAAAUUCAAAACCUGCAUAAAAUUGAAACCCUACAUUAUUGUCUUUCACUGGUGCUAAGAUUUUUCUAUUCAAACAUCAAAAUCAGUUUGAAAAUCCCACAGAGUAAUACUUUAUAUUGACUGCUUUUGUAUGAAAGUUGCAAAAAUUAUACUAAUAUGCCACCACAUAGUUAUCUAUGUGUGGAAGCCUCCACAAAUGUGCUGUACAAACCUGCUUUUACAAAAAAAUAUUACCACUCUUUGAUGUGACAAAUGCAUUGAAGCUUUUUGGACUAUAGGUGUUUGGGAUGACACCUCAUAAAUUGUAUGGGUCAAAGUAAUUGGCUCUCAAAUCUUAUUGCAAACAUUAUGGGAUGAUUAUUAUCAGCAGAGGCUUGUCACCAAGCAAGCCACUCUUUUGUUUGAUUUUUUGUCUACACAUGGGUGGUGACCUCCACAUCAUCCCUGUCAUCAGAGCUGGCGUCUAAUUUUACUUAAAUUUUCUAAUCAAGUGUAUGUUCCACUGAAAGUGCUGAUCUGUUCAACAGCACAAGCAUCUCACUCCAAUUCCAACACUUAUCAUGUUUCCCUAAUCUCACCCUCAAACCCUAAUUGACAAGUUUAGCAAGGUGUUAGUAAUAUGGCACUUGCUUCACAGGAAAAAUGCCUUCCCAUGUGUUUCAUGGCACCGCAUCUUCGCAGAAGAAAGAAUGAAAGGAAGCCAAUAAGAAAGCAGAAAACACGCAAGGAAAGAAGAAUAAGAGAAUAAUAAAACAGAAUGCCGCAUGACUGGCUGGAAACACAAGCAGAAGAAGACGAGGAAGAGGAGCUGCCCGAUGUUGGAAAAAGCUGGAGCAGCGAUGGAAUGACUGGCUAGGUUUCGAGAGAGGACCGCGGCCACAACACUUCGUAACCGCCCCCAUCCCACGGAUCACAUGAAAAACACUUGCGGAACAGUCCAAAAACGAUUUCCAAGUGGCGAGAAGCUGGAUUUGGAAACCGGAUUCGGAAGAGAUUUGACGUGGCCUCGGACAGGCGCUGCGGUGAACUGUUUGUAAGUCAUAGAUGUGCCCUUGGCUCCGUCGUGUAUCACUCCUCGCGGCAUGAUUGCGUUGAUCUAUGGAAAGGUAGCGAGGAUCUACUCAUUAUCUGGACCGGAGCCUCGAUCGCAAGUCCCUUGAACCGUCCGAGAGAGCCACCACACCAUUCCCUUUAGUUUUUUGGGUUUGCUCUUCCUCGCUGCGUUGUUGUCGUUGAAGCGGAGAAGGCGAGCGUCGAGCUCGACACCCCCCGGACUCGUGUCAAUGCCCUUGAAGUAGGGUGGGCUUUGAAACGGCGAGGGAAGAGGGGUGGAGAGCGAGGCGAUGUGGGUUUCUGUUGCAAUUGAGUCAGGAGGCGGGUGAAGGCCGGGGAGCUUGAGGGCUCCGCUGAAGUAUUCGUGGCAGAAUCGAUGCUCUCUGUGGUGGUAUCUGAGGGAGUUUGGUUGGCGUCGGUGGCAGGUGGGUUUGCGUGGGAUGCAGGUUCAAUGUGUAGUUGCAGGAGUCAAUGGGGCCUUUGGUGUUUUCUUGUAUCCGGCGGAGAAUUUUGGGUAGAUUUUAGGUCGGUUGGGGGAGGGGUUGAGGUGUAUGGACGAGGGAAUGAAAUGUCUGAGGUUCUAGAGAGAGGAAUGGAGGUAAAAGAUUUCGGGAUGCAGUUACGUGGUGGCGGACUUGAGCGGUUGCACAAUGUUUAGUGAGCGUGGAUUGUUGAGUCAUGAGUAGGUGACGGGAAUUCGGUUAACAGUGAUUACUCGGUGACAAGGCGGAGGUGCGUUCCAGGGUUUCGUCUGAGUUUGUCGUUCUUGACUACUGGGGGAAUUUGGAAAGCUCAUGACUCGCCGUUAGAUGGUCAUGGACGUUGUGCCGCCACUGUUGAGGGUACACCCUGUGGCGCUAUGAAAAGAAUAGAGUGUACUAGAUAGCGUUGCCGCUGGUCGAAGUGUUUGAAUUGUCGGGGUUUAGUGCUAGGAAUUGCGGCGCCAGCCACCACCACUCCGCCUAGAUUACUGCGUUGGAGUCCGGUUUUGGCUGUGUGGUUUUUUAUAUUAUUAGCCACUGUUACAGUAAUCUUCCUUCUUCUUUAAGAGGAGUGUCUUGCAGAAAUUCCUGCAUCAUUCCUCUGCGCAUUCUAUCACCAUCUUUCUCUCAACUGUGACUAUUACUGUGGCGAUUUUUCAGCAGUGAGGUACAUGUGAGAUGUAGAGAAAUACGUCAUGAACUCAAGUCUCUACACCUGUGUGAGUGUUUUGUGGUUUCUGCGAUCGCUACUGAGAUUGAGAUUGUUAUCUCGAAGAGUCCUCGGUGUCAUCUUAGAACACAUAUUGCAAUUGAAUCUUCGUUCAAAGAUUGCUAUUUUCGUUUGGGUGCUUUUAGUUUCAGAGGUAGCCAACGAACGAACUGAGAUAACGUAUAGAAUAGGUUAUUAGAUUCACAAAAAUGAGCGAGUUUGUAAUCUUUUGUACAAUCUUGUGGAGGUUUAUGUUUUGAUAGAUUUCUUUGAUCUUUUUUUCCCAUCUUUCCUGUGAAAGAGAAUUACUUUGAUAGUAGGAGAGGCCUUUAGUAACAUGAAGAGACAUAUCAUUGCAAUUCCUCUUAGAGGAAAUGGUGUUUUUCUUCCUGAGUGGUAUGCUAUUAACUAGAGGAUCGUAACUGAUCUGUGAAGCGACUUUCUUAACCAUCCUUAAAUAUCUUGACAUGAUUGUGAGAAAUGCUAUUCAGAAUCAAAUCGCUGUUCUGUCUUUUGGAUUAAUGAGUUAUGCUUCGUGCCUCGGGAUCCUAUGGAUUAUUAUGUCUCUGCCACGAGUCCUAUGUUAUCUGUGUCACGUAUCUUUCGUUCAUUUUCAUAUACGAAGAGUUCCUCACACUUAGCGGAGCGAUUGACUAACAUCUUACUCAUUGCAAGCUUUUCUCUUGCUGUUUUGAAACUCGAAUGUAACGUUCUCGAUUCUCGCUGUGUGAAUCAACACCAGUAUUCGUUAUUUUAAUCCAUUUGAAUUUAUUUUUGUUAUCGGAUGAUUAGAAGCACUAAAUCGACAUUUUCUUUGGAUAUCAGUGUGAAGGGAACUGUCAAUAAGGGAUCUUCUAGUCUGCUCGUGGCUAAAGUGUGAUCACCAAUCGCCAGGGUUUUCGUCAGGGGCUUUCCUCAGAGGUAUCUCGAUUUUCUUACAAGCACCCUGACAUUGCAUGUAGUGGUUUCUUUAUGUGACAGUCUCAAUUCUCUUGUCAUGUGUUUGGCCUAAUGAUAAAAUUCAAUCGGCUGAUAUUACUUCUGGUUUUUGGUAUUAGGGUCCCUUCCAAGGAGCACUCACUUUGGUGUGUGCUCCAGCUCUGACGAGAGCUUUGUGCAGAAGAAAUGGAUGCCGCUACUGCUAAAGUAAACUAUUUCUCGUGGGGGAAACCCGCAGUGAUGGAGACUGCUGCGGAUAUGAUGUUUUGUAUGGUGCCUUUUUGGGUGGCUACUGCAAUUGGUCUACUAGUUGGUUGGUUGUGGAAACCUCAAUGGGCUAGCAUUUUGUUAUUGGGUGUGAAAAGUCGCCCCCGAUUAGUAUGGGAUACUCCUCCUGGGUUUGGAGCACGUCGGUUUUGGCUGGCAAUUAUGGCCUUGUCCGCUCUUCCCAUGUGGAAAGAGGCAUGGAAAUCAUUUAGUGCGUGGAUGUGGCCGUCUGCUGAAGUGUUGCUUGUGCCCACUGACGUCCCGGUUGACGUUGCCGGCCCUAGGUGAGUUACGCACAUGAUUUUCCUUUAGGAUUAUGCCUUAAAGGGUAUCUUUUCUGGGUAAUCGGUUUCUUGGGGGCUGCUAAGACGUACUUGAAUGUUCGUCGAUGUGCAGUGAACCUGAUGCCAAAGAGAGGACUAAGAAGGAAGUGGUGACGAAUGAGGAUCUAGAUAAGCUAAUGACCUUGGCGAACGGCAAAGACGGAGGUCCUGAAUGGCAGAUAUUUUUAGACAAAUCUAUUCAUGACCUGAAGUAUCAAGCAUGGCGUCGUGAACCCGAGGUGAACAAUUUAUCUGGUGGACUCUGUUCAGGGCUUUCUAAUUCUGACUUCUUACCAUGACGGUUAUUGCCAAUGUUGCUAACACUUCAUGAAACUUUGCAGCAUGAUGGGCCAACUGAAUAUAAGACCAGAACUGUGGUCGAGGACACAUCCCCAGAAUUGAUGCGAGACUUUUUUUGGGAUGACGAAUUUAGGUGUCAUUGGGAUGAAAUGCUGAUCUACACCAAAACCUGGGAGGCAUGUGAAGAGACUGGUUCAAUGAUAGUUCAGUGGGUGAGGAAGGUACGAGUCUUUGGCAAGCUCCAUUUCCACUGAAAUAUGUUCUGCUAUCUUGUUUUCAUAGCGCAGGAGCAGAAUCGAAUGUUUUAUGUUGAUGAGAAGUGUGAGUGCAAUUACUAUUGUGCUCUUAGAUAAGAGGAAUGAGGUUCAUGAGAUUUGUGUUGAUUUUUGUUUGAACGUGUGAAUCAGUUCCCUUUCUUCUGCAAAGACCGGGAGUAUGUUAUUGCCCGUCGUAUGUGGGAGACCAACAACACAUACUACGCCGUAACCAAGGUAUCUAUACCGUUCAUGCAAAUGCUCUUACAGUUUAUGUCCGGCCUGUUCUCAGUUUGUAAGCCUGACUUUUAUCGACGUUUUAUGAAUUUUCUUUUGAUUAGCCAGUUGUUGAUGCUUGUGAUUUCAAUUGCAGGGUACUCAGUAUGCUCCAAUACCUAGACAGCAAGCGCCAAGGAGAGUGGAUACUUUCUUUUCAAGUUGGAGAGUACGAGCAGGUAUGUUUGAAUGACAGAAAUAUCAGCUAGCUGAGAUGUUCUGUGCUCUGGACGCUGGAGUGAGUAGUCUGUAAUUUAGUAAAUUACGACGUGUGAUUUCUGACGUCUUAUUGUGUAUUACACAUGUUAUUGUUAGAUUCAAUUACCUCUUUACAUGGGAAAAGCUUCUGAUUGUUUUGGUCGGGUGCAGUUGAGUCAGCAAAAGGUGACGGGCAGAUGACCGCCUGUGAAGUCUUGUGCUUUCAUGCGGAGGACAUGGGCAUUCAGAGAGACCUUGCAAAGCUUGGCAUUCGCCAGGGCAUGUGGGGGUGUGUAAAGAAAAUGAUGCCUGGACUGAAUAAGUACAGAGCGGAUCGGAAGGCAAAUUUGCCCCUAUCGCCAUCAGCAAAAAUGGCAAGGAAAUUUUGGAAAGUUCCUCGCCAUCUCCUCAGCGAGCCUGAACGUUUGACGAAAUCCUUUGAUUCUGAGAAUGUUAGGAUUGUGGCUGUGAGAGACAGUGACAUCCAGCAGGAAAACAAAAAUUACGUGAAAUGGGUUAUAUUAGGAGGUGCUGUUGCUCUGGCCUGUGGCAUCGAUAGGGGUGCUGUGGGCAAGUUUCUCGUUCUUGGAGUCGCAAGGCGCCUAGGCAGAAUUGGAAGAAGACUGUAACAUAGGUUAGUGUAACAAAGAAAAAUGCCCGGGUUCACCUUUGUCCCCACACGAAUGUGAAUGGAUCAGGUGGUUCCUUUCUUUUGCAUUUGAAUUUUGUAUUUUAUUUUAGAUUUGGUGUACCUACUCAGGCUUUCUUUUUCAUCCAUUUUUCUCCCCCUGAUAGCCUUUUCUGGGCCUGAUGAUUUCACUCCCUUCGUGAUAUAUGAUUUUGUGCACAGUUUGUGUUUUACUAUUCUGGUACUACUGCUGUUGCGUGUGGUUUAUUUUUGAUGUGCCCUUUAUUAUCUUGAGAAAUUCGAAACCAAAUAUGUAACUGCCUCAGAUUGAGGCAGUGAUUCGUGAUAUGGAAAGGAAUUUGUGAUAUUACAGUAGUUGAGAAAUGUAUAUACUUGAUUUAAAAAUAAAUAGAAGAUGGGAGAACAAUAUCUUGGAGAAAAUGUUCAGGGUAAUUAAAAUUUAAUGGAGUAUCGACAAAAAAUUAACUGGAGAAUGUAUCAAGUUAGAGGAAGAUGGACCAUACUUUUAGGAAAAAACUGAGUCCAAAAGUGAUGAAAUUCAUGUAAGAUUUUUCGAUUUAUUUCUUAUUUUUUUAAUAUUUCAAUAUUGUAUCUUACUAAUUUUCUUAGAAUUCUUUUUUAUUACGAUGAAAGUAAAAGAUAAGAAAAACAAGUAUAUGGUAUAGUUGACAUAUUGUGUAUGAGAUUUACUCUUUUGAUAUGAUUAUGACGUAUUCUAAGUUUUCUAUUAUAUUUGAUGCAUCUUUAAACUUUGUGUAAGUUUUAUCUUUUUCAUUAAAUUUAAUACAAAAAAUUAUAGUCCUCUGUUACAUGCAAUUACAUGAAUAGUAAAUAAAAAUAAAAAUAAAUCUGUUGUGUACAGUUUUGUUUGACAUCCACUCCACAUAGGAAUUAUUUUAAAGAUGAAAAGCAACAUUUAGUAUUUAUUACAUAAUGUUCAUGUUCCAUUACCUAUUUAAAUAAAUAUUUAAUUGAUAAUAAAGAUUUUUGUAAUAGCCAACUACAUAGUACGAUUCUUAAUGUUUUAAUUGGUAUGUUUCUAGUUUUUAUUUUUAAUUGCACACAUAAUCAACAUACAAAUAUAUUUGUGAAUUUUAAAGAACAUCAACAUUUGUAAGAUAUGAGAUUCAUAUAUAGGAAUCUUAUAUAUGUUUUACACACUACUAUAUAAUCUAUAAAUUUGUUGAACAUAUACUAUUCUUAUUUUCGAAUGCAAACAUCUUGAUUAAGUAUAGAUUAUUUUAAUGUUUUGGUAAACAUUUCUUAGACUAGUAAUGUGAAUGAAUCCUACAUUGCACAAUUUUAUCCACAAUUAUCCUUUGUGAUUUUGCAUGGCUUGCUACUUGCUUGUUGCUUGAGGGUAGCAAGCUAGGUAGCAUACAAUUGUUUUAUAAAUAUUACUACAUUUGUAGGAUCCAUCACUACUUGGAGAAUUUGGAAGUGGGGGCGUUGGAUUAGGGAGACACAUUUGAACCCCAAGGCACUAGGUUUGAUUUCCAAUGGCAACAAUUUUAAGACGAAAGUUUAUCAGUGAAGAAUGGAACUUUGCCAUUCUUCUCCUUCCUCCCACCCCUUGGCUUCUCCUCUUCUUUUCCUCCUCUUCUCUUAUUCUUUGAAAUUUGUGAUCAUUAGUCCUAAGAUCCCAAUUUGUGUAGACAAGUACAAACAUGCAUAUCAAAAUAAAAACAACAUAAUAUUAAAACUGCAUAAAUAUUAAAACUGCCCAAUAUCUAUGAAUGAAUGAAACUUUAAAAGAAAAACACCAUGUCAAUGGAGGACGAUUUCUAUUAUCUUCCACUUUAAUAUUUGGAAUUAGAGCAUGUGUAAAUAGCAUAUUUAAAUACAAACUGCCAUGUUGUUGACACAUGUUCUAACUCCAGACAAAAGCUUUGAUAAUUACACAGAGAACCAAUUUCUAUUUUAUAUAUGUUUUUUAAGAUAUUUUUAAUUUUUAUUUGAGGCAAGUAUUUUUAUUGUUAUUUGGUGGUUUACUACCAAAGAUCACAUCUUACUGUAUAAAUUUCUAAUUUUGGGAUUGAAUUAAGUAAUAAUGAGUUUGCUAAGAUUAGAAAGGUUGGCUCCUGAAAUAACAGAGGAAAAAAUGUGUUAAUUUGUGAAUGACGUGGAUUAUUGUCUAAGAACAUUGCACAUUCCUACAGUGAACUUGACAGAGCAUCUGGUGGUAGUAGCAGGCACUUCUCACAACACACAAAGGGAAGUGGAACCAUCUCCUCCGUUGUUGACUAGAUCUGGUUAACAAACCCCAACCCAAGAUUGAACCCCAGGUGGGAAGAACUACAAUAGAAAACUACAGUAUUCUACAAUAUUACACUCUGAGGAAAUCUAGAAAUUUUGCAAGAAAAGACUCCAGAAUAGGGGAAUACCAACGUUUCACACCUUUUGAGGAGUCAGGCAUCGAUUUCAACACGCAGAACACGAUUAACCACACAGAUCAACCAGGCAGUAGUGUACUUUUCUUGAUACCAACAGACAAAAACAGCACCCGAGUAAUUCAUGACCAAUACAAUUAAAAGGCUACAUGAGGGUACUCUGCUCAACUAAAACACAUUUCAAGACCAAAAAUAUACAUUCCACAGAAAAGACCUCGGUAGAAAUAAUAAUACUGGGAUGUAUUGUCUGUCAUGGUUUAAAAUAUGUUAAGACAGACAAGCAUGGUAUUAAAUCACCUACUUCAACCCACUUUUGGUACCUGUAGCAUUUGGUAAGGAUUUGAAUCUUCACAGUUUUCAUUACAUACUACACAUACGGGAACAGCACCCAUGGAGAACUAAAGAUUGACUGCAUAACAGGAAUGACUCCACAGUAACGUCAUGACAACAAAUUUCUGCGUCGACCUUCGCUUACAGAUAGGCCUGGAGUCGGAUGGUAGGACUACGUAAUUUAAUGUAACCUAGUGAGCUCCUCUACUGCUUUGUGAAGUUCUUCAACAGAAACCUCGAGCGAAGUGGCAAUUUCUUCCAUCUUGUUUCUACUCAGGUCCAAGAAAGACUCUAUUAAGUCACCAUCUAAGAAGUUCCGAGCGUCCACAGUUUUCCGCUCAUUGCUGAAAGAUCGCCAUUGCUCAUGGCUUAAACCACCAACACCUUUAAUCACCUUCACCAAAGCCUGUUGUAGCUUCUGCAGGAAUAAGAACUGGUCUUGUGGUAGGGAAGCAAUGACUCCUAUAACUCCAUUCACGGUUCCAAAGAUGACAGUUGGGAUUUGGCUAGCUUCGCUGUCAGGAAGUCGCAUUACAAGCGACCCAUGGCGAAAUCUGUUAACAAACUCGCCAAGAUGGUACUCACCGACAACUUCCAAUCGACCUCUUUCUUCAUCUGUAGCUGCAUCAUUGUUUUUCCUUACUGUGAAAAGAUUGAAACUAUUUUCUGCUCCCAGGUAUGUGUCGUCAUCCAAAAUCUCAACGGCUGUCAUCCAAUUAGCAUUGUAGUCUCGAGCUCUCUCCUCGAUUGCACCCUCUUCAGGCUGUCAGAUACAGUAAAGAAUAUCAUCACUUCAGGCGAUAAACAAUUCCUCAUUUCAUAAUCCUUGAACUCGUCAAAAAAGAUGAAAGUAGAUGGGGGAAAGAGCUUAGUCUAGAGGAAAAGGACCAAAUGAAACAACUUUGUGCUGAUAUAUUCCAGUAGUUUGGGAAGUACUAACCUUGUAAAUAAGAAGCGAAAUUGAUUUCAUCAAAUCUCCCACAACAAUAAAAUCUCCACGUGAUUGAACAUACAGAGCCAAGAUAUGUCCAUGGUGAGAGGACUCGUACUGCAACUCCCUUGUUCCAUCAUCUCUUAGUGUCCACUUGUAUAAAGCAAUCUUCUGGUUGAUGCCUGCUAGCAAUUUCCCAUUGAAAGCAUUCAAAUUGUAAACAGCACCCUUCACUUCCUUCUCUGCUACCAGCUGGAUCUUGCCAUCCUCCACCGAGAAAACAAGAAUUCGACCCUGUUUCAACAAAACAUUUACUACCAAAUGAAAAGAAGAAAACUGUAACUGCGAACCAAAGCCGGGUUUGGAGCCACGAUUUGGGGACCUAUACUAAGAAUAAAGAAAAUCAUGAACAUUCUGAAGUGAAAACCAACCGUGUAACUUUCUCAAAGUAGAAAAGGUAGAAGGCAUCUGGUAAAAAUGGCACUGACCUUGCUAGGUUCACUUUCCUCAGGAAGAGCAUAGGCUGUGCCCACACAAUAGUAUACAUUGGAGUCGUCAGUGAAGGAACAUGUAAUAAUGGAGCAUCCGUUUUCAUACGGGUCGAGAGGGAACCCCGAUAUUAUCUCAAACGUCUGGUCUUCAAUUAACCGGACAUAAUGCGUUUCCAUGUCUUCACCGUUGGACCCUGGUGCAUACUUGGCCGAACAUAUGGCAAACGUACGAGAUUGUUCUUGAUGGGCGAUACGGCGAGGGUGUUCACCAAGAGGAACAGUGCGAAUGUGUAGCUUCUGAAUUUCAUCAAUAGUGCCGAUAGUGAGCUCUCCUUCCUUCCCGAUCGCAAGGCUGGAGACCACAUCAAACUGAGUCAGUAAAGAUUGUCCCCAUUCAAACAUAAUCAGUACCAGAAUUUAUAACAUAAAAAUGACAGGAAGUACUCUAUUGCGAACGUUGAAAUAUAAGCUGCAUUAGGAUGGAGACUUCAGGCACAGACAUCCAGAACCGACCCCCUUAAAGAUGACUGCGUUUAUUAGAAAGUCUGUAACGAACCUGUCUGGAAACGAUGCCGAGUUAAAGGGGCACAUGUGAUUGACUUCCUUCAAAUUGACAUUGCUAUACAAAAGUUUUUUAUUGCUGCUGUAUAUCACAGUCGGACGAUCUGAGGCUGCAAACACAUGCGUGGUAUUUUUGGAUCGAAAAGUCCGUAAUGCUAUGGGUUGUGUGCCAAGAGAUAUCUUCUUUCUAUCAGAUAAUUCUCCCGUAGCAGGGUUCAGCGUGAAGUUGAACAGGUGUCCAUCCCCCAAAGCACACAACAAGUACGCAAUCUGUAUACACACGACGUGAUAAGAAUCUGAUAAAAAAUACAAAAACCCAAAUGAUGAUCAAAUCGGUUAUUGAGGAAGUUAUAGUUUCACCAGACAGGAAAACCAAUUUCAGUAAACCAGGCAACAGGUAAAUUGAUCAGCUGCCAAAGCUAAACAACCGAAGAAAUAAGUAAACAGAUCAAGUUCUUCGGGCUUAUUUGAGGACUCUAUCCCCAAAGUAGGGUCAUAUUGUAUGGACAGGGUUCACUCUCAGCAUACUAGAGUAGUAAUCCCAAUGAAAUAAGAACCAUAUUUCAGUAGAAAUUUCAGCAUCAAAUACUUUUCAAAACACAAACAGGUGAACAAGAUUAAAAGGCCUCACCCCAUCAAAAGAGCAGAAGAGGACAGAACGGGGUAUGAUUUCUCCACCCAACAUUUCUUUGGUUAUCAAGGUAAGUGAUGGUAAGGCGAAAAUUCGAAUACUGAUGUCUGUCCACAUGCCGACUGCUACAAGGUUGCUGCGCUCAGGAUUAUCCCCCACAGGAUUGAUAUCUAAACACGAGAUUUCAUACUCCAACUGUACAUGUGCCACCUCCACCAGUGUACCUUGCCCUAUUUCAAUAUAUACAAGAUUUCCACCUCCUGUUGCAAGCAAGACCUGUUCAUCCAUAUUCUGGCUAAGAUCAGCAAAGAAAAAAAGUCCUGCCAAACAACGACGAUCACCACACAUAACAUAUGGCAUAACCUAUACAAUAAGUGAAAAAAGGAUAAGAAUGUCAGUGGUUUAGCUCAUCAUAACAUACAGAUAGAACUUCAAAUCAUGAAAUCUUCUAGUAACACAGAUCAGAACAGACCUGAGACGCGUUCGCCGUAGCAACGUUGAUAGUCAUUGGUGCCGGGGCUUUCCACUCUGUUAGUUGUCUUCUAGUCUUUGCAUCAACAAGACGCAACGAGCCUGCUGUGACCUGCGUUAGAUGAUAGAGAGUCAGGAAACAGUAUGAUGGAACAUUACAUAAAUCAAAUCCGAGAAGUCAUUGCAAAAAAGCCCUCACAUCAAAAGUAGGAUUAAACUAAUACAACACCUGUUUCGUGUGGCUUCGCAAAAGAAAAACCUGGAAAUAACUCAUGGUCCGUACCUGUACAAGUUGGUCGUGGACCGCAUUAUAACAAAAAAGGGUCUGAGCUUCAGAGUCAAAGCCAUCGAUCUCUGUCUCCUCAAGUUCAUCAUCCGUGUUCAUUGCCAAAAUACGUGUCUCACUUAUGAAGCUCACAACAAGGAAUGUAUCAUAGACAUCACUAGAUGAUGCCCGAAGAGACCACAUGCCCUUUAUGCCUUGAAGCUCUGCAGAAGCCUACAAGAAUCAACUCAUAUAUGGCUUGGUCAGUGCAAUAUACUCACAAAAUGCAAUACGAAUUACAUCAUCUGCUAGAGAGAGAGAGAGAGAGAGAUAGUUACAAGUAACCGAGGAUUAAGUGACCUUAACGAUAAAGGCCUGGUAGACAGAAAUUAGAAUGUAUGUUAAACAAGAAAAAAAAAGAAAAAAAAAAGGGGGGGGGGGGCAGUACAGCAGGUAGUAAUAUCUGAAGUAUUUACAUGGCAUUAACAGUAAUAGAACUAUCUCGGACAACUUUGAGCGCACUGCACUAAAAGCUAACCUGCUCAUUGAUGCCAAUACCGUUUCGCACGAUACGCAAAGAGCCAUCUUUAAAAGCACCUGAACAGGUUACCACUUGACCUUGACCUUGCCUUUCAAGAUCCACAACACAAAGAUCUACAAUAGGACCCAAAUUCACAUAGCUCUCCAAAACCUCGACAUAGGAAUUCUUGGCAUCUGCCUGGUGGUUUAAUCUGAUGAGCUGCAAAAUCAGAUUAGAAAAAUCACCUUUGGGCAUCAGAAUGUUAUUGCGACGAAAACUAGUGUACGCCUGUAGAGUACACCGAAGACACUAGUAUGCACAUUUAGAAAAUACAAUAUGUGAACCAAGAAACUGCAUCACCAUAAAAAGGGAAUACCAAAUGGGAAGAGCUAUUACCCAUAUGAUUGUAACGAUAAAUAACUCACAAUUCUAAAACGAGGAACGAAGCUCAUUUGAUGCAACAAAACAUUAAAACCUGAUUUAAGGCAGAGAAGAGAAAGAAUAAACCCAAAAGAAGCUAAAAGAAAAAACAAAGAAACCGACCUGUGAAUCACCAUAGCUGGAACCAACAAAAACUACACCAUUGUCCAGGUAGGACAAAGUAGAAGCUGCUGAUGUCUCCCCAAGAGGCUCCACAUUUAAGGCUGAUACCCUGUGAAACCUCACCCACUCAUAGUAUGUUUACCAAUCAUACAUAGUAGUUACGCGCAUACUCCCCAUCCACAAAGAGGAAAAGACGAAAGAAGGAAUUAAACCAAGAUAAGUGCAACACCCUCGAUUGAAAGGUGCUCUCAGGAAAAUGAUGCUGCUGGGAAAGCAAAGCACUGACCUUUCCUUAUCAUGCGAAAUAACAAGUAAGUAUAACAUGCCAUUAUGAUCGCUCAGCAAAUAUCGCGACCCAUCACUAUCCACUCUUCCAUAAGCCUUUGUAAUUGACUGUGAAUACCUCCACCAAUCAUGUCCACCGUGAGUAUCUCAACAAAGAUAGACCCGAGAUAGUUCACAAAAUGCAUAGACCUCAGCAGAAACGACAGCAAAACUCUUAGCCUUGUUCACUUGAAACUCUCAUCGAACUCUACCACAUAUUGGUAAACCAGCUCACAACUUUACCGCCACAAAAUAAAGACCACGCAUGCGACUUUUACUAGGGCUAGAUUCUGAUUUAAGAUGUCCAAGCUUUGCAAAGACUCGUUUCAGCUCAAAUUAUAACGAAACUCAAAUCCUAACUGAGUCUAGAAACGAAUACUGACGAAAGACGUCUCAAGAAAAAUAAACGUGAAGUAUUAUACCGGUCGAAUAGGAAUGGCUUUAAAAACAGAACCAUUAUAGUAAACAAUAGUCUGUUCCCCAAUAAUUAUGGCACCGCCCAACGGAAGUGGAACAGGAAUCAACAAGCCUGCGCCAUUGUCCAGGUUAUUUUGCAACCACGGACCCUCUCCAAAAUCUUUUUCUUUCAGUUGCACCUCGUACGUCUUGACAUGUCUGGCGUCUUUGUUGUCCUGAUUGGUCACAUCAGAAAACCACCAUCAGUGCUACCAAAGUCGAAAUUUUCCCUUCAAGAAUUAUGUUUAAAAAAGGAAGCAGUAUGUAGAUCUGUCAGAUGUACAACGCAUGACCCACAAAAUUUGAAAAAAAUAGGUGACAAGGAUCAACCUGAUAGAGAACUGCAAUAGUAGGUUUAGCACAGCCAUAAAGAAACUUGAUGUCCAAAACUUGCAGCUCUUCCAACCUGCGCGACGUAGACCUCUUAAGAAACCAAAAAAAAAAGGAAAAAAUAAAAACACAAAGAGAAAGAAAGAAAUGGAAAGAUGCAGAAGUAGAAAGAAGAAGGAAGAAAGAAAACAGCGAUUGCAAGUCACAUUCUUCCCCACUGCACCAAUAGUGGAAAAGAGGGGUAUGAUGCCUUAAGGACAACACCCAAUCUGUUAUACAGCGAGCGUCUUCAAAUCAUACAAAGCAAGCCAACAAUGUUUGCAUACCUGAUAUUGAAGGCUUCUUUCAGUUGACCUUUGUUGUCAAUAGGAAUCACCUAAAAAUAUACGAGAAACUGGUCAUUGGAGAUCAUUCAAUUUCAACGUAUUGCAAACAUGUCAGAAAAUGACAAGAGAAGACGAAUAAUUUAAGACUGAUGUGUACACCAGCAACUACUGAUAUCUCCAGAAAAUCUACUCUGAAGAACUGGGUGCAGCUGAGGGACUUUCACCACUCUCAUAUAUGUCCUGCUAUUCCCUAGUACCGAACAUUUGAAGCAGCCAAAAUCCACGCAAGAGAAGCCCUCAGACAUAAAUGACUAAUUAAGAUCAAUUCGAAAAGAAAUACUUAAGCAACAACCAUAUCAACAAUUCAGAUCAUCACUAACACAGCAAAUAUAUUUGAAACGAAAGGCGAACCUUGAACAGCCCAUCAUAAAGAUGCAGACCAAUUAGGCGGCAGUCAGGGUCAACGAUGCCAAUCUGGAAAAAAAAACAAAAUGUAUCAUACUAUCAUUGACAUUCAUACAAGGAAAAUCCCAAACCCUGCUAGUGAACUUCAGAAGCAACAUGACAGCAGAAACGCAUUAAAAACUAGUGAAAUAUUAAACCUCUAUUCCCAACAUGCCCUAAGAUUACAAGCACUAAACUGCCUCCUCUCCGCGUAAUCUUAACAACAAAUUUAAGUAUGCACCUGUCCAUUAUCUGUAGGUCGACCAAUUCGAUCAGAAACAUCUCCCAUCGCUCUGCAGGAAUCCAUUAUACCAUUUGAUUGGGAUUCAAUCUUGUGAUUAAUCUACCACUAGAAAACUUCCAACACAAGAAGAGUAGAAGGGAUUGAAGAGUUAUGAGAGGAGAAGUUGAGACAUGUUUUGUAGGAUCCAACACCCAAAUACCUAGACCUACUGAAGUAUUGAACAGUAUCACGAAGGUCCAUAUUUUUACCGUGUAACGAGUAAGCCGGUUUCUGCAUCCCAUUGAAGUACACAAAAUUUAUAUCUCUCGAACGAUAUAAACAGUACGUCCUGUGAUUCCCCCUGUAACCGAAGCACAGAAAAAAGAACUCAUGUUCAUAUUUACGUUCCAUCUGUCGAUUAGAUCAUAUGCUAGCACAAAGUUUCAUGCUAGCAACUACAACACCCAAUACUUCCUCAACUGGUAGACACAACUGGUAGACUAAAAGGCUUGCUAGCGUAUUCGAUUUGCACCAAACAAGAAAGCCGUAGGUUUAGAAUCGCAAAAUUCAGCAAAUGUUUCUAGUAAACCAAAACAGCUCACUACGACUCACAACUACAAAGUAGAUUUUCAGCUUCAAAGCAGGAAACACCAUUCAACAACUUACAGGAGGCCGAAAAAGUUCCAGGGUGGCAAUUCGACCAUAGAUGGGGACGUCGAGCAUGGGCUGCAUUUCGAGAAAGCAUGAACAUCAGCUGUUUUCUACAUAUAACAAAGCUAUUUAUGCUUAUUAAAACCCGGCAUCACAGGGUGUGCGGCAACAUAGUUACUCCAAUCGUGAAGAAUAUCCAUGUCGCAAGUCGUGCAACGUUUGAGUACACAAUCUACCAAAUGCCAAGGAAAGGUAAGCUCCGGUUCCCUUAGAAGUAACCGCAGCAUUAAGAAUGAACUUGCAUAUUGCUUUGUCAAACACGAUGAACAUACUAAAACCGUGGAAAAAAGGAUAAGCAAUUCUUUGUUCAUUCAUUUGUUAGAGAAUACUGUCUUCUCGCGCACUUUUGAUCAACAAGUGUACACGAACAGUUGAAUGUACAAUUGGUCUCAAAACAAUAAGCGCAGAGAUACUUAAGCACUUAUACAAGUUCCUGCAAGGAACACAUAUUUCCAUAAUAAUUCAAAUCUACAUGAGUUUUUCAUACAAUUUAGAGGGUUUGGGGAACAAAUUAAAUACUUACUUGGAGCCCUGACGCCGUCAACAGGUGAAUCUCAAUUCGAGUGCAUUUUCUAAAAUAGGAGUCAAGAAUCUCAUUGACAAACGAGUCUUUAGUAAGACCGUGUAAAUGGCACGAGCUGUUGAGAUAAACACAAACACAAGAACUGGCAACUUCAUACACAGUAGUGAAAUAGUUCUCCACUCUGUGAGAAACAUAAAUUGUUAACACCCCGAACGAAGCAUAAUCACUCCAUGUGCACCUUCUCUCCUAAAAACCCCCUCUAACUCCCGAGAAUAAAUUCAAUCCUAAACCACAGAAAUGGGAAGCACGAAAUAGACGCAACACUUUCAAAAGAGGAAACUACGACAUAAUUGGCAGCCUAUUGUCCUCCCGUUCUCAACCAAGUACGUGCUAGCAAACAUUCGUAUGGUAGACGCAUAAACAAAAAAUUAACAGUCGCGUAAACUGCCCGAAGCACAUAUACCGCCGCUGAUUUCAACGUCUAAAGAAAUUCAAAUGCCUAUACUUCCAAAGUACGCGAUGCUGAUUCGUAAAAGUCGUCAGGGAGCUCAAUUUCGUCGCAGUUCAGUACAAAUAAACCUAUCUCAACCAGAUUAUUGAGUCCAUCAUCGGAACACACGCAACCACACCACUGACCUAAACAUGCCGUCCGAUAAUAUCAAAAAAAUUCUAGUAUCACAAGCAUUCUACGCCGAGGGCACACUUCCGACAACAGAAAUUGGUGCAGCUCAGUAGAAAUAAAUUAAAAAAAAAAAAAAAAAAAAAAAAAAAAACACACACACACAAGCAUAACCACAAAACUAUGUAUAAACCAUCGUAAUUUUCACUCACCAAAAUACAAAGAGAUGAAGACUCUCGUGAGAAAAAGGGGAAAAAAAGGAUACGCGAUGAUAAGAUUGAGCUCCUGCGGAUUAGUGAAGUAACCGACGCACGAAUGCGUCACAUUGGUGGGCUUGUGCGCCGUAACUACAUAAUUCCAGCCACUCAUAGCUGCCUCUUGCCAAAGAUCCUUCACCACCCGUCCUUUCUAGCCCUUGCACAAAAUUCCCCGAAAUCUGAGCCUGAAGCUUUCCCUCUGCCUGCUUCAACUCGUCACGUUACUCACCUCACCUUAGAAACAUCAAAGCAAACCUGCGACUGCAUGCCAUCGAUGCACAUAAGUUCGUGAGCAACUGAGCUUCACAGCAGGAAACACAACCUCUCGGAAAAAAAGGAGCGUCUAACCCUAAUGAGUUUUUUUAAAAAACAGAAGCAUCUGAGAACGCAAUUACGAAACCCGUUGAUACCCUCCCAGUCCAGCACCCAGGUAUGUGAGAAGUUACGGCUUGUUCAAUGACAUUCCACGGGGAACUUCGUUCUAAUGAUCACUUUCUUAAGAAUGAUUGUGAGCAUGGCACUCUGCUCGAGUAUUACCCAGGAACACUGAUAGGGAACGUGAGGGAACGCAUGUAGUGACGUUGUGUUGUGAUGGAUGCAAAUGAAUUGUGUGGGAAAACCAUAUUUGAACAAUGUGACCAGAACAAUAUAACAGGGUUGAAAGAGGAGAGUAGUUUGUUAGCUCUGCCCUUUGAAGUUAAUAAUACAACCCAUUCACUUCUUUAUUGCCGUCCAAAUUUUGCAUAUGUAUUGAACAUAGACAUAUUGUCGACAUUGAUGGAUGUAAAUUCUAUAUAGCAAUACAUGGCCACAAUUUGACCAAUUACGUGAAAUUCUUUCAUGAAAAUUUAAUAUACUAAAAUUUGGGACAACUUAAAAAUUGAAUUGAUUUUUCUAUUCAUUAAUAUUAACAUUAUUUGGACUUCACCAUGCAACUUUUAAUUACUUUGGUAGAUAUUUUAGUCUUUCAUAGAUGAAACAAAGUAAAAAUACCAUUUUAAUGUCUAAAUAUUUAACAAUUGUGCAUUGAACAAUAUGUAUUAAUUAAUAUUACUUCAAUUUUUAUGGCCAUUUAAUCUACUUGAAUUGAUCUAACAAAGAAAAUUUUGUACUUUAUGUAAUUUGGAUUGAUCAUAUAUAUAUAUAUAUAUAUAUAUAUAUAUAUAUUAUUCUUUUUAUAUUCUGAACUUAAAAAUAUGCUUGUUUUUUUGUCAUAUAAUGAAAUAUCUAAAUUCUUACCACAAUAAUUAUAUAUAAUCUAAUAUAUAUAAAUAUUAGAAAAUAAAUAAUUUGGCAUUUAAAAAAAUCUUAGAUGAAUAUUAAUUACAAAAAUAAUACAUUUUAUUUAUUAGAAUAAAGAAAUAUAUUAGAUUUAUAGAGAUUUUAAUAUAAUUUAUAUUUUUAUAAGAACCAAUUAAGUAUAGUAGUAAUAUCUAGAUGAAAAUUAGAACAUAUAUACAUUAUAUGUAAGAUAAAACUAAUUUUGAAAUUUUUAUGAAUUAUAUUAAAAAAUAAAAACUAAAACUUAUGUAUAAAUUAGAAUUAAAUUAUUCUAUUAUCAGAAUUAUUACUAAAUUUAUAAUCUACUUCAAAGAAUUUAAUAUAUAUAUAUAUAUAUAUAUAUAUAUAUAAUAAAAUAUUUGACAUCAUAUUUUAAUGAAAUGAUUUUUUUUAUUUUUUUAAAAUAAUAUUUUUUAUUUGAAUUAUUUAUAAAAUUCUUAUAUUCAUACAAAUCAAAAAGUACAAUCAAGACUUUCUAACCAUUAAAGAAAUAAAAUUUAAUUCUUAUACAUAAAAGAUAUAAAUAUAAAAUAUAAUUAUAAUUAUAACUAUUUAUUUAUACAUGAUAUGUAGUGGUAUUUCAUUAUAAAAAAUAAUUUAAAAUUUUAAACUAAUUUAUAUAUAUUAAAAUCAAAAUUAUUAUUACUAUUAUUAUCAAUAUUAUUUUUAAAAAGUAAUCUAAAAUAUUAAUUAAAGUAUUAUAAAAAACAAAAAAUAGUCACUAUUUUUUUAAUUAAUAUAUAGAAUUCUUAUUGUGGACAUUCAUAUUUAUUCUCACAAUUGUGUAGAUAAUAUGAAUGUAUAGAAGUAUGUAAAAGUGGAUAAAAUUAAUAUAACUUGUGGAAAAGCUUUAUAGAUCUAACUUUGACUUUGGCCAUAGCCAUUAUAGUUUAAUAUUUUAUCAUCUUUAAGUGAUAUUCUAGUCUUUUUGAGUGACAUAAGAGUGUUUUGAUAUCUUAAUUCUUUGAAGUUCAUGUCCUUGACAAUUUGAUAAGAGUGCUAACUUAUUAUUCUUAUCUUGUUUCAAAACUGAGUGAAUUAUUCCUCUUCUAUUGAUGUGAUUUGAAGAUUGUGGAUUAUCCAUCUUUGAACAAACUAUUUAGUUUUCCAACACCAAUUUUUUUUCUUAAAAAGAACAUAUUAUCCUUUUUUGUGAAAAAAUUUAUUUAAUAUUCGAUGUUGUAGAUUAUUUUUUUCUAAUUUGACUUUUUGAUUUCUUAAGUUAUUUGAAAUAGAAGGAAAAACCAUUGAUACUAUACUUGGUGGAAGUAAAAAUAGAUUUGCAAUUGUUGCUGAUCUUCACAAACUUAUCAACAGUCUUAGAGUGGAAAUUUCAUGCAUCACUAAUGCCAACCACAGAAAUAUUAAUCCUAUGUAUAUAGAAGAAGUUCAGAAUCUACAAUAAAAAGUUGUGUAGUUGAAAGAAUGAAGUAGAUUGACCUCACAACCAAAUCUAGAAAGUUUUACUUUUACAAGUAUAAUGGAGACACAGAUUAGUAUAUCCAAUAAGUUUGAUAGAACAAGAUCAAAAUUUCAAGGAUUUUUGUAAUAAGUCAAGUUCUAUCUAAGAUUACAUCCCUUCCAGUAGUGUGAUGGAUUUAUUCAAGUUGAAUUCAUAAGCACACUUCUAUUUGGAAGUGCUCUCUUUUGGUUCAUAUUGUUAAUGGAAAAUGAUUCACAACUCUUUUAUGAUGUGAAUUCAUUCUUAGAAGUAUUUAUGGCUAUAGUUGAAGAAAGUGAUUGAAAAAGAGUAGCAAAGACUAAGAUCUUAUCCUUAUAAUAAAAAUCAUGGUCAGCUACUAUAUAUGCUACUAAAUUUCAAAAUCUUGCUUGUAAUGUGGAUUGGAAUAAUAAAGCCCUUAUCAAUCAAUUUCAAUAUGGAUUGAAGAAUAACAUCAAAGAUUUAUUAUUGACAAUAUCAAAAGUAAAAUCUUUAAAAUAGUUUAUUCUUCAUGCCAUUACAUGCUUCAAUUAAUUAUUUAAAAGAUGUCAAGAAUAAAGACUUGGCUAGAGAAGAAUAAGCCAAGUAAUAACGAUAGUUCCUAAGUUUUCAGAAACUUAUUUAUCAAAGUCAGAACCAAUGCAAAUUGAUACAAUAUAUUUUAAACUCCUCACUUAGCAAGAAAAGACUCAACAUCAUUAAGAGAGUUUGUACUUAUAUUGUAGAAAAGCUAAGCACAUUGCUCAAUAUUGUCCAAAGAAGUAAUGCAAUCACAAAAUAAGAAACAUGAUUAUCAAAAAAGAUAAUGUGUCCAAAAACAAGUUUUUCUAACUAUUAUAGGAGCUGUGUGGUUGAAAUCAUGUGUAACUUCUAGUAAAGGUUAUAUUCUCUCCUCAGAUCACUCACCUUAUUUUACAAUAGAUAAAUGUUUAGGACCUAAAAAUGACAAAGACUUUGCAUUAUUAGAUUCAAGAGUCCCAGCCUGUUUUAUAGAUUAAGACUUUGUUAAAGAACAAGAAAUAUUUUUAGUCAAAAAAAUUAAACCCAUACAUGUAGAAGUUAUAGAUGGUUUUUUGUUAUUUUUUGGAGAUGUUACUCAUGAGACAAUUCCUUUAGAUGUAGCAAUCAAAGACCAUAAUAUUGUAAUAUUAUUCAAUGUGAUAAGAUUUCCUUCUAAUCUAAUUAUUUUAGGAUUAUCGUGGUUUAUGAGUCACUAAAUUAACUCACUUUGAUAUUUAGUAUAAAAAAACACUAAUCAUGCUUAAAAUCAUAGAUUUAGUGAGUUAACAGUAAAUUUUUUAGGAAAAAUAGAAAAUAGAUUACUAAUAGCAGAUAUAGAAUCUAGGGUAGAAUUUAUUAAGAUGAAUUUCCAUAUUGGAGAUAUUUUUUGUAUCUAAUAUUAGAUGAUGGCCAAUGGAAAUAUUCCUCAUUGUCAUAAAAAUAAACUCUUAUUUUAUUAAUAGAUCUUAAAACAAAUAUAUGUAUAUGUUAUGGAAAAAAUAAAAAAUAAAAUAAAAUAAAAAGAUCAAAAGGAGUAGAAAGAAGAAUAGAGAAGAGAAGAAGGGAGAAGGAGAAAGAAGAAAAAGAAAGAGGGGAAGAGAAGGAAAGUAGGACAGAAGAAAAAAAAGAAGGACCGAAGAAAAGAAAAGAAAAGAAAUGAAAGGAUGAAAAAAAAUAAAAAUAAAAAUAUAAGACAAUUAAGAAGGCGAGAGGCUGCCCCUGAAUGGCGGCAGCCUACUUGUUGAUAUGAGUCGGGGCAGCCUGGGCUCCGAUCGUUCGAAUCUCCUUCCUGAGCGUGUUCUCUCCCGAGAGUAUUCCUUUUCUGUACAUGUGGGUGCAUGGCGGCACUUGUUUCUCUUCAUUCCGUCAAAGUGUGGGAACAAAAAAGAAUCUUUGUUACGAUCAGUGCACGACGUCAAGGUUCGGCGUCGUUGCUUUGUGUCCUUUGUAUUGGGAGUGCUGUGGGGCAGUUGUUUCCCUUUCGUUUUUUUGUUUUGUUUUGUUUUGUUUUUUGUUUUUUGUCUUCUCCAUGUGCGUGGUGGCAUUUUGUCUCUUGCCCCAUUGAGGUGCUGCGGUGUAGCGGCCAAUUGUUAUCGACUGGGUCAGCGAGGGCUUAAUCGAGUUGCAGCAGUUGCAUUGCUUGCUGAUUAUGGUCGUGAAUGAGGAUGAUGGCUAUGGGUGCUUCUAAGUUCUUUAGGUGCAGCGUCGUCGAUUAAGUAUGGAGGCGUGGAGGUUGGUCAUCAAUUGUUCUCUCUCUCACUUGGUGUUGGUAAUCUAGACGACUUGACACGGUUUACUGAGCCAGUUAACUCGACGAUUGGUCUACAAAUGGAGGUGGCGCUUCCUGGCUCAAAUUUACUCGACCUGUGUAUCGACGGUAGCACAUCAAGGCGGCGGUUUCUAUUUUUUCUCAAAACUAUGCGUGCGGUCGACGACAUUUGAUCUUCCACAAUAGCAAUUCGCUGCGUUUAAGUAUUGUAGAAGUUCGUGCAGUGAGGCGGUUGUCCUCAUUGAUACUGACUCAAUCUAUUUUUUUCCUUCCUUCACUCAAGAUUCUGGCAAGUUACAUUGAUGUGGAAGUUUUUUUAUCUUCUAGCUGCUCGAUGAUAUUGAGCGAUGGCAGUAGCAAGCAAGCGUCCAGUCUAUACUCAACGAUGUGGAAAAGCCAUCUGGGUAGUUGUCGACAAGUUGGAGUUAUGAUCCUCCAUUAGCAGCCGCAAGAUUGACAAGGCGACAGGUUCCACAGUGGUUGGAGCUCGGGGUGUUUGCUUUGAGGAGGUAGUCGGUGGUUCCAGAAGUGGCAGUUGUUUGUAGUAGAAGGCAGUUUCUUCCAUCAGCUGCGACCAGUGCGAGCUCCUCCAAACGGCAAGACGUGAUUAGGUUAGCUUUUGUUGGACGAAAGUUAGGCUAGAACAAGGUUAAAAGUGGAUGAUUUUUAUUAGGUGAAUGAUGAAAUAAAAGAUGAAUUAUUUAAACAUUGAUGGAAUUUUAAAAGUUAAUGAAUUAUUAUUCAUGGAUGAGAAGUUAUUUACGGAUGAGAAUUUAUUUAUGGAUGAAAAGUGAUUUGUAGAUGAUAACUUAUACUUGGAUGAUUUUUUUGGAGGAAUUUUAAUAAAAUAAUAAAAUAAAAUAAAAAUUAAAAAAUAACAAUAAAUUAAUUAAUAUAAUUUAAGAAUCAAAAGAAAAAAAAAAUCUUUAGCAUGCAAUUAGAAAUAAACUUGCAAGAGUGAGUUAAUGGUAGAAGGUUGCUUAAUAUCUUGGAUAUAUUUAGUUCAAAGAAUGAUUUAAUUAGGAUUUAAUUAAAAGUUAUAAUUCAAUAAAAUGGUAUAAUAAGUUCACUUGUUGUAAAUUAGGAGAACUUUGAGUUAGUACAAAUUGAUUUUUCUUACAUUUAGUAAUUUGAGUAAGUUAAGAGUGAAUGAAGUGAGAAUAAAAUAGUCUUUUGUUACAUAUGUCACACCCAUUUUUGAUGGUAGGAAGACGCCAAGUGGUAUUCCUAGUAAGUAUCAAGAUUUCUAGGAUGUUUUUAAAAAAAACAAAUGCAGAUAUUCUUCUAAAGCAUUGAUCCUAUGAUUGUAUAAUUGAUCUAUAAGAAAGAACUUAACCACUAUUUGGAUCAAUCUAUAGCUUAUUGUAAAAUGAAUUGGGUGUACUAAAAAAUACAUUGACAAGAACUUUGCUAAAAACUUCAUAAGCCAUUCAAAAUCUCUAACAGGAGCUCUUAUUUUAUUUGUAAAGAAAAAAGUUGGAUCUCUACAAAUGUGCAUAGGGUAUCGAAGACUUAAUAAGAUCGCCAUGAAGAAUAGGUAUUUUUUACCUUUGAUUUUAAGACUUUUUGACUAAUUCAAUCAAAUAAAGAUCUACACAAAAAUAGAUCUACAAAGAGCAUACAAUGUGGUCCAUAUUAAACAAAGAGAUGAAUUGAAGUCUACUUUUUGAAUUAGGUCUGGACAUUUCAAAUAUAAUGUCAUGCCUUUUGGAUUCACAAAUGUACCAUCUGCUUUUCAACAUCUCAUGAAUGAUAUCUUUUGUAAGUUUUUUAAUGAUUUUGUUAUCUAUUAUUUAGACGACAUUCUAAUCUACUCUAAGAACAUGAAAGAUAAUGAAUUUCAUAUUCAUUAAGUAUUACAAAAAUUAAGAAAUAUAAGAUUAUACACCAAUAUGAAAAAGCAUCAAGGACAUUAAUAUCAAAGAAAAGAAAUCCUCAAUACACUAUAGAAUCUUAGCCUAUGAUAGUCCAACUUAUCAUAAGGACAAGUAGUCUUGAUGUUACAAUGAAAUAACCAUACCUUGUCAUCUAUAUUGAAUUGUGAUUGCUUGUUGUGAUAGGCAUCCGCUGUCAAGUUGUGGUUCGGCUACCAUGUGAAAAUAAUGUAUUUAUAUAUUUAAUAUACAAUUUACUUAGCAACAUGGUGAGAGCUAUAUUACUAGAUUUUAAUUGGUUGUAGAGUGUGGUUAAAUUACUACUUUAAAAAGAUGUUAUUUAAAAGGAUUACUAUUAGAAUUUUUACAACUUUAUUUUCUUUUGAUAUUGACUUUUGAAGUUGGUAUUAUUGGUAGUAACUUUUAAACAUUUAGAGUCACUCUUCUUAGACAUUGGUGACCUUUGAAGUUUUAUUUUGGUUCUUUUAUUUGAUAUUUAAGGCAUAUAAUAUCUAAAUCUUAUAUGAAAAAGAAUUGAAGAGGUAUUUUGAUAGCAAAAAAGGUAGUUAGGGCACCCAUAUGAAUGAAUGGAGAUGGAUGAUAUAAAUCUCUAUUCCUAUUGGUCAAAAAUCAUAACCAAUGGACUUCAAGGAGGCUACCCGAGGCCAUAUUAGGGAUUAGGAUUAGUAUUCUGAGGGAAUUAGAAUAUUGAAAGCUAGGAUUAGUAAGUUCAAUUUUUUGGCUAUGGUUUUGGUGUAAAUUUUUAGUCAUUUGGAGUUUUUAUGAAGGAAAUAUAGGCACUCGAAGUCAAGGUAUUGGUUUUGUACCUACUAUCAUUCUUUUGGAUAUAUUGGACACAAAUAAAAAGUAAUAGAGGAUCAACGACUAGGAUUGAAAAAAAUACUUUUUUUGACUACAUUUUAUAUAUAAUUUUCAAUGAAUUCUAAGUUGAAAUGAGGGAGAUAUUGGAAGUUGAAGUCAGCACUUGGAAUCUAAAGAGUAGUAAGUGACUUGAAUUGCUAGUGGUUGUGUUUUGAGCUAUAUCUUUUGUAAUUUGACAAGAUUUUGGUUAAAACUUUCUAAGAAUGUAUAUUUUUAUGUUACUAAACUUUAAACAUAAAUUUUUUGGUAUUUGAAUUUUGGGUUUGUGAGAUAUGAAGAAAAUAGUACUUAGAUGCUUAUAAAUUAGGAUUUGAAGCACUUGCUAGGAUUUUUAAGAUGCUAAAAAAUUGAUAUUAAAUUUAUAAUUGAAUUUUUUUGUAGUAACUCUUGAGGAUAAAUUCUAUGUUAUCUAUAAAUUUGAUAAAAAUUGAACAGUUGGAUCAAGAAUUAUGAAUUUCUAAAGUUCAAAAAGAAGAAACCUUUUAUAGAAAAAAUAAAAUUUGAAGGGGUUUUAUUAUAAUUUGAGCAUUUUAUACUAAGUAAAAAAGUUUUUUGGAAGUCAAGACUUUAUAUAUAUAUGAAAGAUGGAUAUAUGUAGCUAUGAUUAAAUUUUGAUAUAAAGAUGAGCUUUUGAGAGAAAAUUAUGGAUUUUCUUUGGAAUUAUUGAAAAUCUAACUUACUUGCAAAUGGUUAGUUAUGAUUUGGUUUAGCUAAGAAUGUUAGGAAAUUUUUAGAUAUUUUAGAAAGCCUUAUGUAUAAACCUUCUAAAAUAUAAAAGAUUUUAUUAGUACAAUAUCUUUUUGAUAUUAUAGUAUUUAUUUGUCUUCUAUUUUAAAGGUUAAAUAACUUAUUGGAGCUUGGCCAAUAAGUUAAAAUUAAACUCUCUAUAGUUAGAUAUCCAAUGUAUUCCUAGAUAGAAAAUCAUGCAAUAUGACACCACAUUGAUCUUUUGUUGAUCUUGAGCUUUCUUUAAUUGUAUCUUCAUUAUUACAUGUAGCUCUAACAAACAAUUUGCUAAAUCUUUUGUCGCAAGAUUAUCAACUAUUGAAAAGUCAAAAGUAUUAAAUCAUAGAUGAUAAUCAUAAUUAGCAAAUGAAGGUGUUCAUUGAAUAGAAGAAUAUACCAAAUUAUUGUAUGCAAUGACAAAAGAUUUGUCCAAUCAUCUUGAUGAUAGUUGAUGAUACACCUCAAAUAUUGUUCCAGAAUUUGAUUUAUCCAUUUUCUUUACCCAUCAAUUUGAGUAUGAAAAGUUGAAGAGAUUUUUAUAUUCUUCUUUAGAAUCUUGAAUAUGAUUCUCUAAAAUCUUGAUACAAAUUGAGUCCUCCUAUUUGAUAUAAUAUCCUUUGAUAAUUUAUGAUAGCGAUAGAUAUUAUGAAUGAAAAGCUUAAUUUUUUUGUCACCUGAAAUAGAUUUUGUAUAUGAUAUAAAAUGUGCCAUUUUGGUGAAUCAAUCUAUGAUUACAAGUAUAGAGUUAUAUAAACUUAAACUUGAAAGAUCUAUAAUAAAAUCCAUAGAAAUAGAAGACCAUGGUUAUUCAAUUAUAGGCAAUAGUUGAAAAAAUCCAUAGGAUUAAUGACAAGGAGUUUUUGAUCUUAAACAAACAUCAUAUGACUGGACAAAGUUUUUAUUACCUUUUACAUUUGCACCAACUAAAAAUCUCUAGAUAUAAGCUUUAAAGUCUUAUUGUAUCAAAAAUGUCCUACAACUAGAAAAUUGUGAUGUGCUUAAAGAAUAUAUAAACAUGCUUUUCUUUCUGGAACAUAUAAGCAUCCUUCAAAUUAGAGUAGGUUGUUCUUGAACUCAAACUUUGAAACAUCAUGAGACUUAAAAAAAAAUUCUUAAUAUCAAGAACAAGAAGAUCAAAAGACAUACUUGAUUGAAUUUUUUUGACAAAGAUUGAAUUAAUAGUUAAUAUUGAUUUCAUUGCUCAAAGAUGAAAAUGCUCUAGUUUUAAGAGGAUUGUUCUUUGUUGAUCAAAAGAUUUGUCUCUUUCUUUUGGUGCAAGAUAAGAGCAUCUAAUAAACCUUGUUAUUUUUCAAGUCGAUAUGUGAUCUUGAAAUCAAAUCUUGAUAAUGACAUGCUUGAACGGGCUUGGUGAUGAUUCAAAACACGAAUCGAUAUAAAAUACUUUGAGGUGCUUGUGAUCUAUAUAUAUUAUCACUAGAUUUGAAGCACCUUUUAGAUGUCACAGAUAUACAACUAAAAAAGAUUUUAGAAGAUUUUAGAAGGUUCGAGAAGAUUUUAGAAGAUUUCAAAAGAUUCUAGAAGGUAUCAAUAUGUUCUAAAAAGACUCUUGAAGGUUCUAGAAGGUUCUAGAAGGUUUCGAAAGGUUCUAAUAGAUUUUAAGAAAGUUCUAGAAGGUCAUAAGAAGUCAUAGAAGGUUCUAGGAAGCUUUAGAUGAUUUAGAAAGUUGUUGAAGAAGGAUCUUAGGCUUACUUUAUUCUCAAGCCUCAUAAAAACUUCUAAUUGACGCUUUGUGACCGGCUCCUCACUGUUAACUCUUCCAUCAAUUUUGCCACCUUAGCUUGUAAAACUUUGAUUUUGAACCUCAACUUCUCCGUUUUGCAUCUAGAUUGAUCACUCAAUAUCGCUUUCUCUUUCGUCAAUAACUCUACCUUGUCUCUAUCUGCUUACAAUUGACAUUUGAGUUUCUCUUGUUCCAAAUUUCAUGUCUUGCAAUUUUAGAUCAAUUUGUCUCGUCAUCCUUCGAUAAUCUAUAAGAUGUAUUCACCUCUCCCAAAAAAAUAAAAACUUGGCCCAAGUAUUAUGUAUUAAAUAACCAUAAUUGAUGGCCGAUGAAGUCUUCCAAUUGAACAGACCCAUUAGAAAAACCUUCAAUCACCUGAUAUGACCCAUGCUAGCAAACUUGAAAUUUAUCCAGAAAUGAUUAAACCAGCUAUCAUAGAGUAAUACCAAAUCAUUCGGCAUAAAAUUCUUCGGACGCAGUUUACUAUCAUAGUGACUCUUCCUUCGUUUUUGAGUUGCUUCCAUAUUGAAAAGAGUUGUAGCCCGUAUUUCAUCCAAUUCUUCCAAUUUUGUCAACCAAGAGUGUAAUGACUCGUUGUCACUAAGACGUUCAUCGAAGGUAAUCCGUAAACUUUGAACUUCCAACUCGAUAGGUAAAAUUGCCUCUUAUCCAUAAACUAGUUGGAACGGAGUAGUGUUAGUAGUUACUUUAUAUGUGGUACAAUACGCCUAUAAAGUCGCAAAGAGUUUGGUCUCUCAAUUGGUACCUACCUCCAAAAUUGUCUUAGUCAAGACCUUGUACAAAAUUUUGUUGGUCUUUUCUAUUUGCCCAUUUGUACGAGGAUGAUAUGGAGUAUUUUUUUGAUGCUUAAUUUCAUAUGUGUUUGUUAAGGCGGCUAUGGUAGCAUUUAUGAAAUGGGUGCCGCGAUCAGUAACCAAUUCUUUCGGACACCCAAAUCGAGUUAUAAUAUUUUCAUAAAAAAAAGUAGCCAUCGUACUGGCAUUACCAUGGCGGAUAGCAAUAGCCUCUGUCCAUUUGGUUAUAUAGUCCAUGGCGACUAAAAUAUACCGCUUCUAGCUAGGUUUUGAUGCUGGUGUAAUGGGAUCGACAAAAUCAAUACCCCAUUUUACAAAUGUUGCUUGUACCAAGAUUGGUACUAACGGCAUGGCUAAAGUGCUAGUGGAUCAACCCAUUCAUUGAUAGAGAUCACAAUGACAAACAAAUUAGUGUGCAUCAGAAAAAAUUGUGGACCACUAAUAUCCUGCUAUUAAAGCCUUGCGAGCAGUGUUGUCUCCCGCAAAAUGACCACCACAACUAUCCAAAUGGCAACCCUCUAAUAUCGACUGUAGUUUACUUGGAAAGAUAUAGUAUCUUAAAAUGCCAUCUUUGCAUUGUUUAUACAACGCAUUGUGAAUCAUGGUAUACGAGGUACUCUUCAGAAUGAGUCGCUUCUUAAGCUUCUCAGUGAAAGUCGACAAAAAAGUGUGGAAGGUCAAAAACUAAAUGAUUUCACUAUACUCGGGGGAAAUCACAUCCACGACAAAUAAUUUGACGUCAAGAAGAGCAUUAGGGACAGGCUCGUUGCCAAGAAUAUUAGACAACCAGGAUAAAUGAUUAGCAUUUGCAUGUUUUUUCCAGGUCAUACACCAAUUGUAAAAUUGAACUCUUGUAGAAGUAAUAUCCAUCAGGCAAUGUGCCUACUCAAUUGAGGCUUAUUAAUCAUGUAUUUGAAGGCAUCAUGAUCUACAUAAAAUACAAACAAAUAUCUAAGCAAAUAGUGCCAAAACUUCUGAAUCAAAUAUAUCAUAUCCAACGCUUCACAUUUAAUAGUAGUAUAAUUGUGUUUGACAACCACCAAUUGUUGACUGGCAUAAUAGAUAAGAUGAUCCAAACCCUGGUUAUCCUUAUGAUUUAGCACCAAUCCAAUAGCCACAUUAGAUGCAUCAAUAUAUACAUAGAAAUGCUCCGUCCAACAAGGUGCUACGAAUAUUGGAGCAGAGACUAAUUUUGACUUUAAUGCCUCAAAGGCUAUGGUACACUCUAUGGUCUAGAGGAGACUAGUUCCAUUUAAUGGACGUUUCUUUAGUAAGUUCGUUAAAGGUUGACAAAUAACUGCAAACAAACGAAUAAAGCAGCGAUAAUAAUUGACAUGGCCAACAAAUCCUUGAAUAUUGGAGAUUGUCUCUGAUCUAGGCAAGUUCAUUAUAUGCUACACUUAGUCAGGAUCCAUAGCAAUACCACAAUUAGAGACGAUAUGUAUCAAUAAUUUUUUAGAUAAAAUGCCAAAUUGACACUUCUUUAAGUUCAACGAUAUUCCAAACUUAGCACACUAAGUCAAACAUUUGCCUAGACAACUAAGAUGAUCUUGUUUUGUACUGAAUGUACAAAAGUCAUUUAAAAAGAUCUCCAUAAUUUUCGGAGAUAGUCUUGGAAGGCCUGAGUCAUCACUCUUUGAAACGUAAUUGGGACGUUGCAUAAUCCAAAAGGCAUCACGCGAUAAGCAAAUAUGCCCCAAUCCAUAGUAAAGGUUGUCUUGAGCUGGUCUUUCGAUAUAAUUUGAACUUAAUUAUAUCCGAAAAAUCUAUCGAGGAAAAAAUAACAUUCGUGACCUACUGCGACGUCCAAUAUACUAUCCGUGAAAGGUAAUGGGAAGUAAUCUUUCUUGGUGGCCGCAUUAAAUUUUUGAAAAUCCUAACAAAUUCGGAUUUUUUUGUUCUUUUUCAGCACCAUCACGAUUGGAAAAACCCACUCACUAUUCGGUACCGGGUAAAUAAAACCAACUGCAAGAAGCUUGUCCAAUUCCUCUUUCACCAUGAGGAAAUAUUUAGAAUUAAGGUGAGGUUGGCUCUACUGUACCGGUUUAGCGUUCUCCUCUAAAAUGAUAUGAUGCUCACAGACUUCAGUGGAGAUAUCUUUUAGAUCAUCAUAAGUCUAAGCAAAAGCUGAUUUAUGAUGCAAGAAAAAUUCUAUCCAACAAGUCAACUCUUGUUCCUUAACACAUUCGUAGACCUUAAUUGUCUGAGGCUCUGCUGUGGUCGCCAAGUUGAUAGUUUGACAUAAAGGUGCAACGGCGAUGUUCUAUUUCAACCUCCACGUUGGUUAAAGAUCAGUUAAUAAGUUCGAUAUGUGUGAAGUAUUGAAUCCUGUGUUUAGGGCAAUAACAUGAUGCACGUCAUACUUGGUCAUCCAAUCAAUACUAACUUAAGCAGAGAUUUUUGAAUUUGGUGGAUAUAUCAAAUAUUCCACCGGACUUCUACAUUGAUACACCAUUCUAGGAUGUUGGGCUACUUCCAAGGGCGCCUCCAUAAUCGGUGCUAUUGCAUCAUCAUUGGAGCUAAGCUCAUUAUCCGACGUCAAUUCAAAAGAUGGCAAUUGAGACUUCCCGUGAUAAUAUACUAGAUACAUUUGUAAUACCAUUAUAUCUCCAUCCUUGCCAAUUAUCAAAGUACCCCAAUUCCAAUCGUUCUUGGCCUUCAUUUGAUAAAGCUAAGGUCAUCCCAAUAAAAUUGGAUAUGAUAAAGUUGAACGUUAUAAUUGAAAGAUGAUGUAGUCAAUUUUAUAUACAAUACCGACAAUUAUAGUUUGAAUACUCCGUUGUCGUAAUAUGUGAAGUCUUGAUUGAGAAUGCUCCAAGCAUUUGGCUGUGGAAGGAAGAAUGGAAAUUGCAAUAACAAAAUCCUAAUUCUAAUAGAAUACUAACAAUGCUCUAAUUAGACCAUAAUAAUGCUAAGCAAGCUUAAUCAAAUUUAAAAAAACCUCAAAGAAAUUUCAAACAAAUAAUAAGAAUUCUUAAAGAAAUAUUAGAAGGAUGACAAAUAUCACUCAAAUACAUCUCAAUUCAAUCUUAAUUUAAUUCUAGUUAAAAUCCUAUUGAACUUCAUUCAAACUUUCGGCCAAAAGUAAUUGAAUCUUAAAUCCUAAUAAAAUCCUAAACCCUGAAUCAUACCCUAAACAAAUCUUAAACCAAAUCCCAACUAAAUCCUAAACCAAAUCCUAAAUCAAACCCUAACCAAAUCCUAAACCAAACCCUAAUCCAAACCCUAAACCCUAAACCAAAUCCUAAUCCAAAUCUUAAACCCUAAAUCAUACUCUAACCAAAUCCUGAUCUAAACACUAAAUCCUAAUCAAAUCCUAAACCUUAAACCAAAUCCUAACUAAACCCUAAAUCCUAAAUCAAAUCCUAAACAAACCCUAAUUUAAACCCUAAAUCCUAAACCAAAUCCUAAACCCUAAAUAAACCCCAACCAAAUCCUAAACCAAAUCCUAGUAAUUCCUAUAAUAGAUUUAAAUCUCAAUAACUAAUGAAUAAACCGUUGAUCUAAACUCAAAUUUUGCACACUUCUAAAAAAAUAAGUUAGAAACAAGCACAAAAAAAUUGAAAAGGAUCGGAAUUACCAAAUUGACGAUAACCUCAAAAAUGUGCUCGUGUAUUGGCUGGCCUCCUUCUCCAAUCUUGAUGCCAAUCUUCCAGAGCCAAUAUCUCUCUUUUGCGCCUUUCGAUUGAUCUCAAAAUUCUCAUACACAUAGAAAAACAAGUCUAAUAUCCUCUAACAUAAGUUUCACUCCAAUCCAACUAGUAGAUUGUAAGAAAUCUCAAAAACCCCCACUGGACCUAAAAUUCUACUUUCUAAGAUCUUAACCCACUUAAAUCUCAAUAUUCCUCAAUUUAACCGUUAGAUCAAGCUCAAAUUUAUGAAACAUAUUAAACAAAAUUAUAACCAUAAACCUACAAAAUUUCACCUAUAGAUCUUUACAAAACUCUUGAAAUCAUCCAAAACAUAAAUCCUAUUUUAUUUCAUAAAACCUAAGUUAUCCGAAACAAACCUUGACUUUGCAAAGCUCUUACAAAGUC